rnacentral:lncRNA from 1 species
AGAACUCGGCAAGAUUGACUGUCCCUGGAGGAGCUAGUGUGGCAUGCAGCACAGCUAAAGCUGUUGAGUGGGACGCUGCCUGGAAAAACAACCUUGACCCUUCAGGCCGGGCUGCCUUGGGGGUUCAUCUCUCAGCUUAUGACGCAGAGACUCCCCUCAGCAACAAGCCAUCCAAGGUUAUUGAUAGUAUACCACGGAUGGACUUUCCUGGAGUUGCCAUACAGAGUUAAUGCCUGCCUACUGGAAGACAACAGAAUGUAUGAAUUAUUUAAUAAAAUGAGUAGGAGCUGUGGCAUGUCCAAAUGUAUGAAGUAUUUAAUAAAAUGAGUAGGAGAUGUGGCAUGUCCAUCAAACUUCCGAAUACAUUGUUGUAUAAUAUAGGUGAUAUUUACGAGUACUAAGAGAUUCUGUGAUCGUUGCAUCAUCUUUUGUUAUCAUCAACCUAUUGGUUCUUUGUGUUAAGUGUGUAAUCAAUAUUUUGUAGUGGAAGUUAAUCAUGAAUGAGAAUCUUCCCUUUUGUUGGUGUAAUUGCAAAAAUGCUUCAGUUCUUCCGCUUUACAAAAAUCUUGCCCUCUAACGACUGUAAUGUUAGAUAACUUGGAACUAAGCAAUAAUUUGAGAAGAAACAUGUUGUCCCUACUAGAUGAAUCGGGCAUUGAAUCGGUCUAAUUCUUGAAGAUAAUAUCAUAUUUGACUUGAAAGAACCAUAUGAUUAUAUCAUUUAUUAAGACACAAUAUUAGUAAAGUGCAGUUUUGCACCCUCUGCAAACCUAUCAAAAUUAGUAACUAAUUAUAGAAUGAAGUAAAAGCACAUACAACUUAAUAGAACAAGACAGUAUAAAAGAGUUGAUUCCAAGUAUCAGGCAAUCCAGGGAGGCACCAAUGGCUACAAUCAGCUGUGCGGUCUGGGUUAGCCCUCUGAGUAGGGCUUAAGUCACCACUGUAGAUUGAAGGGUGCCCAUCUUUCCUAAGCUCAGACAGCAUUGUUAUGUCCAACAAAUAUGUAGGGACGUGCAUUUCUCUAAUGACUUCGUCCACCACUCUCAUCUGGUCAGGGUAUGUGCCAGGAUACGUAGUUCCGGUCAUCGGUGCUGUUUCUCCGUAACAGUUUUUCGUUACGGUCGCAGUUGCUCCGGUACCCCAUUCACUCGGACUGUCAAAGGCAUUUCAUCAAGCUCAUUGUCAUAGAACUUUUAUAUCCAUGUUCGGAUAUAUAACAAAUUUAAAAUACUAAAAAAAAUCGAAAACUAUGGACACUCAUGCAUCAUGUGCUCGGAGGCAGUGGUCAAACAAAAAAUUGUAGUCAGGCAAUGUAUGGCCCUUCUGCAGACCUUUUUUAGUUACUUUAUAGUGAAAUUUGUAAGGAUAAAGAAAAGGUCAUUUCCCACCGACAACUAAAGGGGUUAAAAAAAGAUACUUUGGCUGCUCACUAUUUCACGAGGUUACACGGUUGUAAAGAAAAAACAGUAAAAAUCAACUAAGCACUUUUAAUUAAUAAAAAGUAAUUUGACUAUCUCAUGAAACAUGGGAAGACGAAGGUAGAACGUAUCGAGGGCAAACCUAAAAAACAUCAACCAUCUAUCAUGCGGGAAAAAUAAAUAAAAAAAAUUCUCCCAUUGAUGCCUGGUCGAGUGAAGAACAUGUCAUCAACUCAUUCUUGUGGUUUUUGUCGGUUUGGUUUUUAAUAUUAGCAAACAUGAAAGAAAUCCGUCAAGACUCUUUAACAGAGUCUUUCUUGCAAGAGAUAAUACCAGAAGCAUUGAGAAUUCAACAAAGAUACAGAGAAAGUGAUAAGAAAGUUUUUCAGACACGAUCUAGUUUAGUAACUCCAAGUUGUAUGGUCACAUUUAUUAUAUAAUUAUAGCAAUUUCAACAAGUUGCCAUUGGCUUAACCCAUCCUACCCUACCCUACCCUAUUUUAUUUUUUUGUUUCUCUACAGUCUCUGUCUUCAAUAUUAAAUAUUGAGUUGGGAUAAUCUUAGCAGACAAAAACUAAAUUCAUCUAAGCUCACAUUGGAUCGAAUUUCUAGUUCUUGGAGUCCAAUUAUUAGUUUUUCACUCCAACACAACAAUAAUUAUCAAUCAAAGAAUUGAGUCCACUCCAUAUUCUAAUUAAUUUCCAUGCAAUUAUUUAAGAGAGAAGGAGAGUGUUACUCGUAAUGCGUGGGGGAAAUAGACUGGAAAAAGACUCUGGUUCUAGUUCUGUCGACAUAGGUGUCCACCCAAUUUGACCAUGUUCUCAACCCUUUCUCCAUUGCAACCAAACGAUCCAUGUCCUUGUAAUAUUUUCCCCCUGACUCAAUUAAAUCCCACCUGUCCAGUUUCACCUCAAGCUAUUCAAUUAACCAAAGCACAUAGCCCAGUAACAGAGAAAAAUGGUUGUAGUUUUUUGUCUUUUUGGCCUACCCUUGGAGAGAUCCUUUAUGAGUCCACCAAUGGCCUGUGUUAAAUACCAGCACGUCUGCCAUUCUCCAGGCGUUCCCAUUUUCAUCUAUUCCCUCUAACUUGAGAAUUCUAGUCCCUUGUACCACGUCUAUGUCCACCAAAUAUGGAGCCCUGUAAAAUGAUAUGGAUAAACCAUAUUCCUGCAUUUUAUCAUUAAACAAUGAUUCAAUUAUUAAAGGUAUACUUAAAAUUCGAAAGAUUGUCAUUUGCCAACACAAAUCGAACCAAUUGGACCCUGGUAACUUUUUUGGCAACAUAAUGCUCACUUUGGGUCCUUCAGGCUCAAAAAAGGAUUUCAUCUCUUCACCAUACCCCUAAACAUUCAUUUUUUUGGGGUUAAAAUAUGGAACAGAGUGCUUGAAAUGGCUUUGACCAUGAAUUGUGAGAACAAAUGAUUGUAUUUUAAAGAGUUAAGGAAUAAAGAGCAAAAGCGGUUUUUUCAUAAGACUCACAAGGAACCUGAAGGUGGAGAGAGGGUCUCCUCUGAUCAUCUGAGUCUGCAUUUUGGGUGUUGAAGCUGAAAUCAUACAAAUCAGAGACUCCCAUUGAUUCCUUCCCAGAGAAUCACCAACAAACAUCACGUUUUUCCCUCUCAUUUUCGAUAGAUACACAAGUCCAUCGAACCUGACAAAUAUCAUCCCUCAAUGUAAAAGUAAAACAAAUUACAAUGCACUUUACAUAAAAAACAAAAGUACUCCAAAAUUACCUUGGAAGCACACAAUUGAGAGGCUGCCAUCGAUAUUUGAGGUAAUCAGAAUCAGGUCUUCCAUACAGUUGGCAGUUGAAUUCUGCAUCUAUGAUUGGACAGUUGGAAUAUUGGUACAAUGGGUAACUAUCAUCGCGAACCCAAGUGCCUACAAACAAUGCACAAGUGCUUUGGUUCGUUUGGAACAUUGGCCUUCGAUGUUGAGGGUGGCCAGGAUGGUUCUUCAAGCUCAUUAUCAAAGCAGAGAAACCAGUUUGAAACUGAAACAACAAGGCUACAAAAAGAAAGGGUAGACAUGACUUAAAGACAUGACAAGAAGGAGAUUGAUCGGAAGAAAGAAGGGUCAUUUUGCAGAGAAAUGAUAGUGAAGUUAAAAAGCUAGACGAAGAAAAGAGAGGGGCAAAAUUAAAAAAAAAAACAAUAGCAUAUAAAAAGAAAGUGGGGUUUAUCAGUUCCUGGUGAAGGUUCUUAUAAGAGAUGAUGAGAGGGAAGCUUGGUUUUGGUGUGUUGUGAAGGUAAGCUGAAAAGGGUUUCACUUCACGUGAGCUUAAAUGGUAGUGGUGGACGUCAAUUUAGACCCUUUUGAACCAAGUCUUAUUGGGGGAACAGGGACUCUUACUUGUCUGCAAGUGUAUCUCCUUCCAUUUUCAUUAGCAAAUUCACAGAAAAGGAAAUGGUGCUACUGCAACUGCAUGAAGGAAAGUCAGAAAAGGGGAAUAAUGUCGGGGAAUGGGCCCAAAACUGGCAAUGACCAAAUCAUGCAUCUAAAUUCAACGAGAAACCAAACAAAUACUCUCGAAUAUGGGCUUUGGUUGGCGCCACAAUCUUGGAUUCUGUUGCUUGUUUAUAGAAUAGAAAGAGAGAAUACUUGCUACCAAAACCAUGAACAGAAGCAAAGUUUUUUUUUUCUUUUCUACUUUAUAUCAAAGAAGGGGCAAAUCCUUUGAAAAAGCUAAAUGUUCUUUGCUUUCCUUCAUCCCCAUGCAUAGAACAUCAUUCAUUAAUUCAAACCCUUUUUUUUCUUCUUUUGUCAUAAUUUAAAAUAAAGAUAUAGUAAUCUAUUUUCCUUCCAACUUUACAAAAAAAUUAUUUUAAUUUUUUAUUUAAUUUUCUCCUCCUUUUAGUCUUUAAUUUGUACGAAUUGUCAAAUAACCUUAACAUGGAUAAAAAAUUUAAUAUUUAGGAACUGUUUUGAUGUGACAUACAAGUGGAAUAACACAUGAAUUUCAUGUCAGACAAUUAAUUAAAUUUUUUGAAAAUUUAAAAAAUUAAAAAAUAUAUAAAUUUAAUUUUUAAAAAAAUUAAAAAGUAUAAAAUUAUAAAAAUAUUGAACCACCGCCGUCUCCUCAAUUUCAAACCUUUCUUCCAUCUUAAUUCCUAUAUAAAUAAUAUAGGAAUAUGUAAAAAUAUGCCAUGACUUGGAUCUUAACUGAAGAUUAAUUUGGUUUAUUUUUUUAAUUAAAUAUUUAAAAUUUAAAGGUUAUACUAUUUGUAUAUUUAGAAUUAGAGGUGUUCAUGGGCCGGUUUAUCCGGCCCGGCUCGAAGAUUCGCCUGAAAUGUGAGAGGGUUUGGGUAAAAAUAUAGGCCCAAAAAAUGAGUUUGGACAAAAAAAUAAGACCCGUUUAAAAAAUGGGUCGGGCCUCGGGUAAGGUAUUUUUAGCCUGGGUCCUGUCCGGCCAUGGCUCGGCCCGGUCCGGUCUUAAUUCACUAAAGGACAAAAAAAUAUACAUUUUUUUUAUUUUUGAAUGUUAUUUUCUUGUUGUUUUCUCUCUAUUUUGCUACUAUUUUACUAUUAUGUUGCUACUAUUUUGUUAUUAUUAUUUGGAUAUUGUAUAAAACUUAUUUUAUUGUUAAUUUUGUUAUUAUUUUAAAGGCAUUUGUUAAUUUUUUUAAUUAUUUUAGAGGCAUUUGCUUAUUAAGUUGCAUCUAUCUUAGUGUUAUUUAAGUCUAUAUAUUUUUUAAAUUUUAUUUUUAAUUUGUUGGAAAAUAUUUAUUUUGAUGUUUUUAGUAUUUUUGAUGUAUUAUAUAUAUUUAAAAAUAAUAUAAAAAAUUAAUACGGGCAGGCCGGCCCGGGUUUUAGUAUUUUUAUUUGGGUCGGGCUUGGGCAUGAUUUCUUAGUUGAGGCCGACCCGGCCUAUGAACACCUCUAUUUAGAAUUUAGUCUUCAUGUUUUUAUCUUUAAGAAUUUAGCCUCUCUAUUUUUUUGAAUUUAAAAAUCUAGAUCCAAAUUAGUAUCAUUAAAAUUCUUCUGUUUAAUUUGUUAGUAUGACAUUCUAUUUUUUUUUUUAAAAAAAGAAGCACUCACUCGAUAAUUAUGUUGUAGAAAAUGACAUUGUAAUGUAUUUUAAUUUAACAAAAAAUUUAACAAUGUUAACAAUUCUUUAAAUUUACAUAUGCACUUUAAUUAGAAUAAAAUAUUGGGUAACUUUCACCAACAGUCACUCAACUUUGAGGUAGCUGACAAAACAAUCACCUCGGUUUCAUUUCAGUCACUCAACUUUAGAAAAAUGACAAAACAGUCACUAACGUUAUUAAAAAAUGACAAAUCAGUCACUUAUUAUCAUUUUCUGUUAUUGGCUUAAAGGGACCACUGAUAUGGGAAGUUAACUAGCUGACGUGGCCAGUUAGCUUGCCACGUUGGACAAGUAGUCAAAGGGUAAAAAAAAAAUUAUUGGUUAAAGGUAAAAAGAAGGAUAAAAGGAAUGGAGGGAAAAAAGAAGAGAAGAAGGGAAAAUGGAAGUUGUUCAAUCUCUUACUCAAUCUCUGAAAGCUAAAUGGAGGGCUAGAGUGGUGGAAACAGGAAGGGAAAAAAACCUUAUCUUUCCCAUUUUGCAAAUCAAUGGCAAAAAACCCUAAAAUCAACCCUCCCAAUUAAGCUACCUCCUCCAAAAAGAAAAGGUUCCAACAUUAAAAAAAAAAACACAGAACUAGAUCCUGCAAACAAGAAAUGUAAAACGGGAGCACACAGAUUAUAACAAAAAACCCAGGCCAAACAAAAGCACGAAAAUCCAAACUCUUAACAAUGCACAAACACAAAAACCAGUCACAUUCAAGAUUAAAAUAAAGCCUUUUUUUUUGGUGUUAUACUUUUUCGUAUUUUAAUUCGAAACCCAAAACAAAGAGAAAAAAAUCUCUAUUUUAUUGAAAUUUUUACAAAAAAUAGGUGAGGAGAAGAGACUUCCAUGACUUAGUGUUUCAUUAGGUUUUAAAUCUCUCGCACCGAGAAGACUAAGACUUCUCCAACCGGUUAAAACUUUUAUUAACAUUUUUUGGGAUUUUUUUUCACAAAGGGAAAGAGAGUUUUACUUGGUUUGAAUUUGCUGUGAAUGAAAGUUUUAGUUAUGGUGUGAGAAAACAUAGGAGAGGACUGGGAAAGUAAAGGGAUCUGGAAAAUUUUUUAUAAAGAUUAGCAAAUGAGAGAGGAGGUGGAGAGUGUUUACAAAAUUUUAAUGUUGGAAAUAAAUUUAAAGAGAUUGAGAGAAAAAAAUAAAAGGUUUACAUUGGUAUUGAUAGGGUUGUUUAUCCUCUUCUUCUUCUACUACAUAAACUAGCCAGUUGGAUGGUUAAUGACACCAAGCAAGUUGUCAUCUGUCAUGUCACUUUACCGUUACGUUUGUAGCGAAAAAUGACAAAAAUGACUGUUUUGUCAUUUUUCUAAAGUUGAGUGACUGAAGUGAAAUCAAUGUGACUGUUUUGUCAAUUACUCUAAAGUUGAAUGAUUGUUGGUGUAAUUUACCCUAAAAUAUUUAGACUAACUAAUAACAUUAUAAAUAAUGAAGUAUUAAAUUAUGUCAAAAAAUAAAGUAGAAAGAUUAAAUCUCAAAUUUGGAUAAAAUAUAUAAGCUGAAAUUAAAAAAAUAGAGAGAAUAGAAUUAAGAUUUAACCAUUAAAAUUAAAAAUGUAAAAAUAAAAGAGUAGCAAGGACAAGUGUCAAAGAACGAAGGCGUUAGCGCCUUCUUUUAGUAUAUAUUAGUUAAUUGAUUUCAAUUAAUUAAUUAUAAUUUAUUUAUUUAUAUUAUACCAUGAAAUUACAAUCAAAUUCAGAAAAAAAAAUUGACAAUAUUAAGUUAGAGACUUUUGAAGUGGAGUGGGGUGUGAUAGGACGGGAUGAAAGUUGUAGUUGUUUUUAAGAAGAUACACCCAUAAUGGAACAGGACGGAUGAUAAAGCAAAACGUAUUAUUUAUAGAGAGGUAGGGAAUUGUGCAAUUCGUCCCGGCCUCGCUUCAUUGUCAUCCCUAACUAUAAUAAGAUUAAAAGGAUUUAACAAAUAUUAUUUAACUAGUCUUGAUGGCGAAAUCUUUUGUAUCGUUGAUUUUCAUUUUGACCAAUCAAAUCAGUUGGCUCUUUGGAGGAAAAAUUAAUUGGUAUGGUUUAAUUAAAUAAAAUUAAAAAUUCAAAAAAAAAUCUGAUUCAAAGAGUCUAUAUGUCAACAAUUCAACUUUUUUUUCAGAUUAUUAGAUUAGUAUAUCUGUUGAUGUCUAAUUUAACUAAUUCGAUCAAUCAAUCAAAUCUGAUUCUAAUAAUAUAAGGAUUGGCAAAUAAUUAAAAAAAUUAAAGGUAUAUAAAAAUAUAAAAGAAAAAAAGUAUUUUAUCACUCAUCUUUUUAAAUUUUAUAUACCCAGAUUAAGAAAAUAAUAUAUACCACUCAAGGAAAAUAAUAUAUAUGACGAUGGUGAUAUUUAGGAGCAAAUUCAAAAAAAAUUUUAACAAUGACGAAAUUUAAUUAUAAUUUUUUUAUAAAAUAAAAUAUAAGUUUUUUAUAUAUUAAUUUAUAAUUUUAUUAUUUUUGAAGGAAUUAAAUAUAUUUUAUUUUUAAUUUUAAGAGAUUAAAUUAUAAUUUUACUAUAUAUUAAUCUAUAAUAUAUUAAUUUAUAAAUUUUUUUUAUUUAUAAGAAGAUUGAAUUAAAAAUUUUUCAUCACUAUAUAUUAAUUUAUAAAUUCUUUUAUUUAUAAAAAGACUAAAUUGAUUUUUUGGGAGAGCUAUGGCCCUGACUUCUCAGAUUUGUCUCUGUUGAUAUUAAAAAAAUCUUAUUAUGUGUGAUUUUAUCUAUAGUUACUUUGGAUUUAUAUUUUGUAAUAAUGUUUAUAAUUAUAAGGAUGAAUUAUCGAAUUAACCACUCAACUUUCAGUACGCUUUUAUUUUAGUAACUUAAAAUUAAAAUCUUUACAAUUUAAUCACUGCCAUUAAAGAUGCUUUCAUUUUAGUCUUUAAAUCCUCUAACAUCAGUCCACUGUUCAUCUUCUUCUUCCUUAACCUUUUUUUUUUUUCUCCACGCCACCCUCUCACACCUCUUAUCAAAAAUUAAAUCUUUGAUUUAAUGACAAAUUUAGCCACUAAUGUUUGCAUGUUUUGUCAAAAUGGUCUUAAUUGUAUUUUUGAGCUUUUUUUUGGCAAUUAACUUUUAUUCUUUUCUUCAAAUUGCCUUUUGUAACAGAUUUAAUGAAAGUGCCGUUAAAAAAGUUAACGGGGAUGGUGUAGAAUUUCAUAUAUAGAAUAAUUUUUAAUGAGAUACAAUUUAUUACUUAAAUAACCCUAUAAGAUAAUUAAAUGUGAAAAAUAAUAAAAUAAAUAAUACAUGGAAUUAAAAAAACUCUUAAUUUAAAGAAAAUAAAUAUAAUUAUAUAAAAAAAUUAACUCACUAGAAAAACCUCUUGUAUGAAAGAUAGAAAUUUUUUGAAAAUAAAAAAGAUAUUAAAACCUUGAAUUUAUUUAUUAAUUUUGUUAGAAAAAUCAGUUUGAAAAAAAAAAUUGAUGGCCAAAAAAUGUUCAAAAAUAUAAAUAGGACCAUUUUGACAAAACAUGCAAACGAUAGUAGUCAAAUUUAUUAUUAAGCCUAAAUCUUUAGAUGAAACAAUUUCGUUAACUCAUUGCUACCUAAAAAAGCAAACUCAAACUUCCUUAACCUAAAAAAUUUUCUCAUUCUCUGCCUCCUACCUGUUUGACAUUGUCAAAGUCAAUCUUCUAAAAGAACUACUCAAAUUUUGUUUGAAGCAUCACCUAUCACUUGUGUCUUAUACCUUGACACCAUUUGUAAACCAAAAGAUGGUGGCUCAGAACCUAAGAGCUUAAUCCAAUUAGGAAAUAGAUGGCACUUGUCUCCCUCAUAAGGUAAGCAUUAGUAUUAAUCUUUUCGAGGGUUCAAUUUCAUACACUGGAAUCAAAUAGUUUAUACAAAUCCAUAAGCUCUUUCCCAAAACCAUUUAAGUUCUAAAUAUAAAGAAGUCCAAAAGCAAAAUAAAAAUUUAUAUGGUCACCAACUUCUUUCAAGACACUUUAGGUAAGCAGAUGGCGCUUGAUCCUUGACAAGGCCUCAUGAGGGUUAUCAUAAGUUGGUUACACUGUAAGACUCCUUCAACCUCUCCGAUGUGAGAAUAAGUAGCUUCCUGUCAUCUUGUAAGACAAAAAAGGAAAUGGAACAGGAGAAAAUUUUCUUGAUUCCAACCAAUGCUCAGUUGUGGUAUAAAUGGCAACCGCGGUUCUUCUGGAGUAACAUAUAGCCCAUCUUUCAAAUAGUUGUGUUGUCGUUCCUACUCAGCUUUUAGCUACAGGCGUGUCAAUCUGCCUAGGUUACUCUGAGCAAGGCGUGGGAAGAAAAUGAACAGUUGUGAGGGUAAAAAAUAUAGUCAAAAUGAUGACAUAGCAUGCACAGUUUUGAGUGAUUACAAUGAAAACAAUCUUUAAUGGCAGUGAUUAAAUUACAAUUUUUUUUAUUUAAGUCCUAAAAGUUGGAUAACCAACUAAAGAAUUUACCUUUUAUUGGUUGGUAGACAGGCAUCUCAUACGUUUGGUUGCUAAAAGUUGGAUAACCAACUAAAGAAUUUACGUUUUGGUUGCCUACGUUUGGUUGCUAGGGAUGUUCAAACGGUUAACUAAAUUAAAUUAAUAUUAAUCGAAUUACUCAAACUUUUUAAUCUUAUAACCGUUAACCGAAUCGAAAUAUUUUCAAAAAAUUUAACCAAACCAAAAUAUUUUCAUUAAUUUGGUCGGUUAACAGAAUUAACCGAAAUUUAUAUUUUUUAUUAAAAUAAGUAUAAAACAUAUAAAAAUUAAUAAAUUGAUAGUGUUCAUUUGACCGAAUUAACCAAAUUAAAACUACAUUAUUAAUUAUUAAGUUCAGUUAAUUAGGUUAAUUACUCGAUUUCAAACCUAAUUAAUCGAUAAUCGAACUUCCAAAAAAAUUAUUAACCUAUCUCUGACCAAAUUAAAUCGAUUUGAUCAAUUAAUUCCAUUUUAUCGAAAUUUAAACACCACUAAUGAUCGCACGCAAAGCAGAUAAAAUUUGCGAUCAGUUAAUCACAAUUGAAACCGAUAAUAACCAAAACAAACAAAUAAAUUAUUUAAACUUCAACAAAUAUUUUAAAAUCUUACUUUUAUCAUUGUACCCCUCCCCCCGCGUUAUUAAUUUUUUCACUCAAUUUUAAAAAUUAUCAUUUUAGACGUUAAUAUAUAAAUUUGUUCCCGUUUUGGUUAUCUAUAAUUAAAUUAUAAUAAAAAGUCUUUUUUCUAAUUGAUAUAAUAAUAUAUUUAGUCCUCAAUAUUUAUUUAUUAUAUCAAUUUGAUCUUAAUUCUAAAUAAUUAAAUAAAUUUAACCCCUCACAUUUACAAAUUCUAUCAAUGUGAUCCUUCAACUUCCUAACCAAAACUUUCAGCUUUUAAAACAGAGCCAUUCUGUAUCCAUUAAUUAUUUUAUUUAUGAUUGAAAUUAUCUAAUUUGAUACAUAAUCCUUUUUGUUUAUAUUUUUAAGAAAUUAACUAAACACCAUUAAAAAUAAUAUAAUAUAUAAUAAAAUUAUAUAAAUAAUUUAAUAUUUUUUAAAAAUAAUUUUUCACCUUGACUAGCAUAAUUUCAGUUUUUAAUUAAUUUGGUAAAUAGUUUAUACUAAACCAGAUUAUUAAUGAUACAUAAUGCUUAUUAUGAAUUUAAAAAUUUAAAAAUAAUUAAAAAUAAAUAGAAUACAUAAUAAUCUCUAAUGAGUUCAUAAAAAUUUUAAAAGAUCAUUAUCAAUGUUACAAAAAGAAAUUCAAUCAAUUCUUUCACAUUUGUUUUCUUACGAAAAAUUAGAUGUUAUAUAAUUAUUGAUUGAACAAUUGAAUUUUUCAAAACAAUAUUUUUUAACUUUGGAUUUAAUUUCCAACUUCAAGGAUUAACUUGAAGGAUUAUUUCUACAUACCUUGAAGGAAAUAUCAUAUUGCUAACAACAACAAUAAAUCUAAAGCAUUUUUUUAAAGGUUUUUUCAUUUUCUUUAGUCAAAAUUUUAUCAAUCAAAGGGUUAAAAAACACUACAUUUAAAAAAUUAUGAAAUAAAAAAAUAAAAUUUCAAGAUAAACUUAUUAAUAUCCAGAAUUAGCUCAGAAAAAUUGAAAGAUAUAUAUAUAUACCUUAGAAUAUACUUUUGUUAAAUAAAUAAGAAUUUAUUAUUUCGUCACCUUGCAUGCGAAACUUUUACAUUGUAAUAAUGUCAGAAACAAUAAUCUUUUUUUUUUAUUCAUUAGGAUUAGUGAUUGAUUUGUUCAAACAUUGUAAUUAGUUCAGUAUGAUAUAAACUUGAAAACCCAAUUGGAAAAAGAAAUAAUUGUUACUGUUUCUUUCUCUUAGUUUUUUUUUUUUUAAAUAUAGAUAAUUCCUUUUUAAUCUUCUUACAUGAUAUUGAAAAAAAUGAUAUGCUGAAUCCAUCUCUAUUAUACCAGCUAAGAGUUAUUGGAUCAAAGUUCAAAUAAUAUCUAGAGCCCAAGAUUAAGUUGACUUUUACAAAGGACAUUUAGUAGUAUAUAAGAUAAACCCUUGUAGUUUUCGGUGUCUAGCAUAAUCACAGACAAUCACUUGCAAUACGUAGAUUGGCACCUCACGUAGAUCAUAUUGUUUCCCUUACAAUGUACCCUGUGUAGAGGAGAGGACCAUGAUGGAACUCAUGCUUUGCGUCCAAGAUAAAUCAACUUUAUUGAGGUCCUAAGUAAGAUCAUCCCUUUUCCAGUCUUUCCUUCUUUUACCAUUACUCGCCUCAUCCUCCACCAUUAGAGUUGCACUAAACCAUUUUCUUUAGAAUCAUCACUAACUCAAGCUUCAAAAAGUGUUUUGAAAUCCACACUCUAGCACCUUUUAACUUACCAUCUUCUUACAAUAUUCCUCCCUCAAUUAUGUCCACCAAGAUCUAGCUAGCUUAAUUCACCUAGAAGCUUAUCAUUCAUCAAUAAAGACAAACAUUUGUCUUCUAUAGGAACCUCAAGUAAAAUGCCAUGAAUCCUAUCGUAGAAGCAACCUCCACCUAUAUCUCCGCCUUAGUUUCUACCACUUUAAUCGUGCCAACCAUAAAUGCCUUUGGCACAACCCAAAACUCCUCUAUAAUUAAGAAUAACAUGCCCCCUAUAUCCAGCUAAGGCUUGAACAUUCCUAGUGUGAAGAAACCAGUUGUGAACAUUUUAAGUAUUCUCUCUACUGUGAACUUGGGCUUGCUCACUUUAACAACCUUGUCCUCUACAUUUGUUGGAGCCUUCACCAUGCCCUUACUUUAGGCUUCUCCACUGGUCCACAGGCUUCUUUGUUUUUUCAAACCUAAACACCUCUCAACAGUUUGGUUCUUCUGAUAAGAGUAAAUGGUGUAUAUAAGUUUAGUUCAAAAAUAAGUAUUUCCUUGGCCCCCAAACAAUGUUCACUAUUCAUUCAAUGACUGCAAUGUACAAUAUUGUUGUCAAAUAAUAAUUAUAACAAAAUAAAUCCGUUAGAAAGUAUUUCGAGGAUCGAACUCAUAAGAAAAUGUUACGGACAACUUUAACUAAUUACUUGACUCACUAAUUAACUAAACUACUAAUAUAAAUAAGAAGAUAAUUAAACAAUGCAAAUAUCAAUAAUAUGUAAAAAAAUGAAAGCGCCAUAGGUGAAACAAUAAGAUAUCUUUUAUCUCUUUGGGUUAAAUCCGUUCACCCAAUAUGAUCUUAUUUAUCUCAUGGUAACAAUUACAUAUUCCUUCAUAAAAAGUCAAUUACUAACACACAGUAAUUAAAUCAUUCAUCCUAGAUAAAUAACUUAUAGCCAUGUUACUUUUCCAUCAACCAUGUAAUGCUUGUGAAAGGAUACCAUUUACCUUUUAUUGAGCAAUAAAUUUCACUAUUGUAAAUGAAGCUAUACCAUGCAGAAUUCAUAUACUCAACAUAUCGGUUUUCAGAUCUAUUGCCAAUUGAACUCAGGUUUUUAAUACAUCAAAGUAUAUGAGUCAUGCAGACAUAGUUAGUCGUUUACUCAGGAUUGAGGUAAGUCACACUAUGAACGUCACAUGUGAAUAAAUCCAUAAACAAAUCUUCGAUAAAUUCAACUUGGGUCUUUUCCGAUGUAUUGUCAGUCUAAACAAUCACACAUAUAUCUCUAUCUUCUAGGAGUCAUCCGCUCCAAUACCAAAGACAAGGUGUCUUCCCAAUUGAAGUAGAUAGACAAUAUAAUAGUCUUUGAAUCGAUUUGCUCAUUUUGGAUUCUUUCAACUAUAAACUAUUUGGAUUACCUACCAAUAUAAGUUGUUUUCUUGCAUCAUGAUUCGACCAUAUGACGCAACUAAAUAUUAGUUAAAUAUUAAGUAAUUGGUGAGUGAUCUGCAUAGUUUGAUAUGAGAAAUUAGACUUUCUCGGUAUACUUAAGGAGUUUAUUCUCAAGCAAAUAAACAUCAUUUUAGUAGUUUUUCGUAAUUUUUAGAUUUUAAGUUUGCCGAAACCAUUUUUUUGAAUAUGUCGACUUUUAUUUUAAAAAACGGAAAUGGAGUCGUCACCAAUCUUUUUUAUGAGGUGUGAUCGGAUCACCUUGUAAAUUUGAUCUUUUCAAUAAAAUAUUUUGAUUUAUUAAAACAAUGAUUUUGGUCUACGAAAUUCGAGAAAACAGACUCGAGAGUCGAUUACGUGGGAGAAAGGAUUAGCACCCUCAUCACGCCCAAAAUUGGUACCUAAUUGUUAAUUAAUGUCCUAAUGUCGAAAGUUGAAAUUUUAAAAAAUUUUAAAAUACGAUCCCUUUUUUUAUUAAUGUUCAUUUUAAAAAUGUUUGAAUUAAAUUAAAGCGAGCAUCAAAUGCCCACUCAUCCCGAGAUAACAAAAUGCCACAUCCCGUAAGUUAGGAUGCGACAUUUGAAUCCUCAAGAACAAGUUUACCUUUAAUUUUUAUCGAAACUUCAUGUACUUUGAAAUCUAAAAGGAUAUUUGGCUAUUUAGGUUUAACAAGAAAAUAGAAACCCCGUAAGUUAGGAUACGAUUUCUUGAAUUCCCAAAACGUAAAUAUUGCCUUAUUUUGAAAAGUUUCCUUUUUGAAUAAUAAUGAGUACAACACUUAACGAUGUGCGUUUAUUUUGUUUGGAGUAAAAUAAAACGAUCUAUAUUGGAUAAACAUAUUGGAUUUUAAUACACGAUGUGAUUUAAACGAAAUAAAAUAAAAAGUCAAUAUGGAGUAUGAAAUAAUAAUACAUGAAUUAAAUGCUAUGUUAAUGAAUGUCAACAAUAUGAAAAUAUUAAUAAAUAAUUUCUAGAGCAUAUAAUGGCAAUAUUCACAUAAUAAACCAUUUUAAUACCAAUAUUAACAAACAAAGAAAACAAAACAAAAUAAUAUAUAAAACAAUUUAAAGUAAAUAAUAUUUUAAAAUAAAUAAUUUAAUAAACAAUUUGAAAUAAAUAAUAGGACAGUUUCAAAUAAAUAAAAUAUAAAAUAAAAAACAUAUGUAAAAGUUUGAAAUAAAUAAUAUAUGAAAAAAAGGUUUAAAAUAAAUAAUAUAUAAAAAGAAAUUAAAAUAGAUAAUAUAUAAAAUAAUUUAAAAAUAAUAUAUAACAAAACAGUUUCAAAUAUACAAUAUAAUUUUUUUUAAAAUAAGUAACAUAUAAAACAGUUUAAACUAAAUAAUAUAUAAAAUAGAUAAAAGUUUGAAAUAAAUAAUAUAUAAAAAAGUUUAAAAUAUAUAAUAUAUAAAAAAACUAAAAAUAGAUAAUAUAUAAAAUAAUUCAAAAAAUAAAAUAUAAUAAAACAGUUUAAAGUAAAAAGUCAAAGAUUGAAUAUAAAUUGGAGUAAAAAUAUGGGGUGUAAAUCGUAAAUGAUAAAAAGGGAUGCCAAGGACCAAAAUAAAAUGCGCUUAAAGAAUGAGGAACUGAUUGGGAAAAUAUUCCCAGCCCUUAUGCGCAACGUUUCAGCGUGGGCCAAAGAGUACUAAAAAAUAAAUUAUUCGGACAAAUCUCAAACAUAUCAAACUAUUAUGGGAUCAAAUUGAAACGUACAAGAAAAAUAGAAGGAUUAAAAUAGCAAAUAACCCAUUUGGACUUAAAAACACGCGGAUCCCCCACUAAAUGGGUCGGGUUGCGAGUUAGCCCCCCAAAACGAUGCCGUUUUGGCGUUUGGGGGGCCAGAUUAAACUACGUCAUUUUAUGGGUGCUAUUUAAGCCCAAAUUUUUUUAAAAAUUUCAUUUUUAGCCUUCCACUUUUUAAAAAAACUAAAAAAAAAACCUCUAACCCUCUCACUUUCUCCCUUUCUCUGGCGAUUAGGCCACCAUCCAUCUGGCAUGGCCGUUGGCGACGGUGACCGCUGUGUAUGGCGACCUGAGUAGAAAAGAAUAGGUUUUUCUUAGAUUUUUUCACCUUAAGUCCUGAUUUAAUGUCAAAACACCCAAAAACCAACGAUAUUUACAAGAAAAUGAAAAUAAAAUGAAAAAAAGGAGGGACCUUUCGGUUCCCUCGUGCCACCGGUGGGGGUUUUCAGCGAGCCUAUUAACUCGGCCACCUUCCAUACCGGAGCAAUCUCUGACGACGGCGAUAGGUAACUAGCGUUUUUUUUUCUUUUUCUUUUAUAUGUAAAAAUACACAAAGAAAGAAAAAAAUAAGACGAGAACUUAAAACUAAAACAAAGUAAAGAAGAAGAUCACCUUUUAGACAAUUUAAUCUUAUGCUCGUAAAAAAAAAAGUUACAAGGAGAAGGUUGUGGCCUUUAAAGCCAGGUUACUAGACUUUUCUUUUCUAUUUUUUGUCUGUUUCUUCUUGUUUGCUAUUGCUAUUUGUUUGUCCUCUUUUGCUUGCGUGUUUUUCUUGCUUUGCAGGUGACAGAGGCGUCAGAAGGGCGUGGAGGCGGCAGUAGCAGACAAUGGUGGCAGAGGCGUACUGCGGCUGAAGUUUGGGGGGCUAAGGUUAGGGUUUCAAAAAUGUUUAAACAUUCUGGGCCACUUGGGCCUUCAAAUUUUGGGUUGUUAUUUUAAUUAUUUUUGGGCUUUCGGUUUGGGCUUUUGGCUUGUAAAUAGACUAUUCAUUUUUUGGACUUUUAUUUUUUGGGUUUUAUUUUAUAAACUGGGCCAGGCCAAAAUUAGCCUAUUAACUAUCCCUCUUUGCUCGUUGACGUGUAACGUGAAUGGAGGAAAGACUUCAGCAAGGGCUAAUUUUUCCUGGUCUUGCCGAAUCUCGACUUUUGGUGCUUCAUUUCUUCAAGUAGCCUGAUUCCAUCCCGUCGCAUCUUCAGGGGUAUAGGAAUUAGUGCUUCAAUCCACUCCACUAAAACUUCAGAAAGAUUAGACUUGUAGCUUCAAUCUUCUUUACUGCAACUUCAGGAAGAUAAGAUUUGUGGUUUGUAGCUUUAAUUUACUCUACUGCAACUUCAGAGAGAUAAUAUUUUUUAUCUUCAAUCUACUCAUCUGCAACUUUAGGGAGAUAAGACUAGUGGUUUCUAUCUACUCCACUGCAACUUCAGGGAGAUAAGAUUCGUCAUAAUAGAUUUGAUCUGACCUACUGCAACUUUAGAGGUAUAAGAUUUGUGACUUAUAGCCGUAAUCUAUUCCACUGCAACUUCAGGGAAAAAAGAUUUGCUAUCUUCAACCUGCUCCACUGCAACUUCAAGGAGAUAAGGUUUGUGUAUUUUUAUCCUACUCCACUGCAACUUCAGGGAGAUAAGGAUUGUGGCUUCGAUUUGCUCCAAUGUAAUUUCAGGGAGAAGAGGUUUGUAGCUUCGAUCUACUCCGCUGGAACCUCAAGGAGAUAAGAAUUGGUAAUUUCAACCUGCUCCACUGCAACUUCAAGGAGAUGAGAUUUGUAAUUUGCAGCCUUAAUUUGUUCCACUGCAACUUCAGGGAAAUAAGAUUCGCUAUCUUCAGUCUGCUCCACUGCAACUUUAGGGAGAUAAGACUUGCUUUUUUCAAUCUGUUUCACUGCAAGUUCAAGAAGAUAAGAUUCGUCAUAAUAACUUUAAUCUGUCCCACUGCAUCUUCAGAGGUAUAGGAUUUUUAGUUUCAAUGAUUUGUUACAUCAUUCUCUGGGUAACAUGACCUUUAGAAUCCAUUUCAUUAGCCUAUUUUUAUGCCGAGUGAUUAGGAUGUUAUGAUCAGAAUGAAUCAAAUGCUAUUAACUAAAUAUGUAUGAAUGAUAUUUGCAUGAAUGCAGAAUGUCAUUUUUUUUAGAAUAAUCUCCUUUAAUGCUUGGGUUGACAUUGCUCGUUGUUCAUCGAGGUUUUAUCACUAGUGUAUUAUGCACCCUUCUUGCUCAGAUGGUAUCUCUAAUAGAAAACCCGAAGAAAUAAUCACAUAUUGGGCUAUUCUUUCCCAAAUGUUUCCAACUCUUGAAUUUGGUUAGUUCUGACUAGUGGUCCCAUUUCAGGUCCUUUUACUAUUUAGAAGCAUUUUAGAGUAAUAUGCAUAACUCAUUUUGCUUGAAUAUUAUUAGUCCAUCAAUCAUUAUUUCAAUAAAAAUGCUUGAAAAAGAUUAUCACAAUGGACAAGAUUUUAUUGAGAGCUGUAAUGGCCUAAAUUCAAAAUUAUCGGAACAGUGGUUUCGUAACCACAAAUCCAAUUUAAAGAGAAAUUUAUUUCAAUAUUUUUACAUGAAAAUUGAUAUGAUUGGAAAAUCGUAUGAAAAUAUUGAUAGAAAAAUUUUACCGAUUUAGUGAUUAGAUAGAAAAAGAAAUUAUUGAAGAAAUUGGGUAAAAACAAGGUAUCGAGACCUCUAUCUCGUAAAACUGAGUAAAAAUAAUUUUAUAAAUAUUUAUGAAAUGUUAUUAAUGCAGUAUUAAGAUUUCGUUAGGAAAUUUUAAUGUUUGGGUAGUCUAUUAAAUGAAAAUGACUAAAUUGUAAUAGGUGUAAAAGUUACUAGAAUAAUUAAAUAGCUUAAAAGUCUAAUGAGAAAGGAUUUAAAAGGAAAUUAGACCCAAAAUUUAUUUGGGCUGGACGGCAAGGGUAUGAAAUCAGCAGAAAAAUUGAUAAAUUAAGGGUAAAAUUGGAAUAUUACAAAAUUAACUAAAUAAAACUAGGACUAAAUAGGAAAUAUCUAGAUUUCUCUUCAUUUCUCUUCAAUUCCAGCAGCUAAAAACGCCAUAGGAGGGUUCUCUAAGCUGGUAUUUCAUAAUUUUUUCACCAAGUGAGUUAAUCCUUGCCUUUUUCUUGUAAUUUUUGUGUUUCUAAGACUUUUACAACUAGGUCCUACUAUUAAAUUCAUUAGUUUUUGAUUUCAUGGAUGAAAUUGAAAGUCACCAUGAUUGAGUGCUGUAAGUUUAUCAUGAAAUAGAAUGAAAUUAAAGCUUUAAUUUGUUUAUGAGAUGAUUUUAUUAGGUAAUUUCAAUAGAAAUUGAUUUUUAGGACCUAAUUGUGAAAAUGCUUGGAAUUAAAGUCUAUUGCUGAAAUUAUGAUUCCUAAAGGUUGUAAACUAGUUUAAGGUGAUAGAAUAAAAUGUUGAUUGAGAAAAAUCAGAUCAAUUGAGAGGCUAAUUGAGUAGGGAUGAAAUUAUCAUUUAUUAAAAGCUUAGGGGAAAAAUGGUAAUAAACAGCUUGCACAAAAACAGUUUGGACAGCAGCAGUAGACUAACUUUGAAAAAUCACCAUAAACUUUAGAAAUCGAAUUAGAAGAUUAAAAAAAUAUGGCAUUAAAGCUUAUUGAGUCUAGUUUCUCAUAGAAGAAAUAGUGUAAGCAAUGGAUUUGUAAAUUUUGAGAUAUAAUGAAUUUUGUGAGAAAAGGUCAGAAUGAAUUCGGGUUCCCCUGUUAUGACUUUGAAAAAUCAUAAAAAAUUGAAUAAAAACAAUUAUGGGCUUAAAUUUAUAUGUAUAGAAUCCUUAAUGAGUCUAUUUUUAAGAGAAACAAACAAUAACAUUAUUUGAAUUCUGUAUGAAGAGAUAAUUAGUUUUUAGGGAAGAAGGGUCAGAACUGUCGACAGCAGAACAGGGGUGACUUUAAAGAAUAAACUGUACUUAUUGGAUUAACCAAAAAUUCUGAAAAUUUUAUGGUAAAAAUAUAUAUGAGUCUAGUUUGAGAGAAAAUUAACGGAUCUUAAUUUGGAGUUCCGUAUCUCAAGUUAUAAAUAAUUUAGUGACUAUGACUCAAGUAGACAGCUUUGAAUGAACUAUAAAUAAUAGUUGAAUUAUAGAGAAUGUUGCAUAUGAACAUGAAAUGUAUUAAAUUGAUAAUUAAAUUUAUUUAUUUAGAUCCGGAAGAUUCAAAUACGAAGCUAGAUCGAGGAAAGAAAAAAGUUCGGGAUUAGUAGAUUUUUAUUGUUUACAAACAAGUAUCAAGGUAAGUUCGUGUAACUUGAAUUAUAUUCUUAAAUGCUUGAGAUUGUAUGUUAUUGAUGUGAAUAUGAUUUGAGUGUUCAUUGUAUGAAAAUUAAUGAAACAUUGAUAUAUUUGAUAAAAUGGGAAGAAAUCUCGGUUGAAUGAAAGGAAAAUUCGAUGGAUCUCUGAAAAGGAAUUGACGGUAAAAAAGAUCUAGCCCGGACGGGUGAUCCUAUCCUGAUAUAGCCCUCCCGAAGAAUAUGUGUAAAAUGGAUUUAGCCCGGACGGGUAAUCCGAAUUAGAGUCUGAAUUUAGCCUGGACUGGUAAUUCAGAUCCAAGCUCAUUAGAGUAAUUGUCGUUGCAGGGGAUUUAGCCUGGACUGGUAAUCCCGACAAUACUCUAUGAGUUUAUAUUGCAGGGGAUUUAGCCUGGACUGGUAAUCCUGCUGCAAGGUUGAGGUUAGCGGGAGUGUGCUCUCUGAAAUGGAAAUGUGCGCACAUGAAUAUGAAUUGACGGACCCGGAAUUGUACACUAAAAGUGUACCUCUGAAAAUCCAUCGAAAUUCCGAUAAAUUCAACGGGAUAAAUAUGGAAAAUAAUAAGGGAAUGAAAAUCAUGGUAUUGAUGAGUACAUCAAUCAUGGUAUUUAUUAUUGGUACAUGGAAAUUAUUGUACUAACUUGAAUGUUGAGUUUGUGCAUAUUAGAGUAAUAAUGCAUUGAAUGGAUAUAUGGAUGUUUAUUGUAUUGUAUUGAAAAUAUUAGGUAAGUAUAAUUCUUGUUACAUGAGCUUACUAAGCACGAAGUGCUUACCCCGUUUCCUUUUUCCCUGUUUUGUAGUGUUAAGAGCUCGGAGGUCGGAUUUGGUCGGAGACACAUCACACUAUCAACCUCUGGAUUUCGGUAUAUAAAGAAACUUUAUUUUCGAAAUCAAUGGCAUGUAUAAGCUAACAAAGUAAAUGUUAACGUGAAAUGAAUGUAAAGUUAGCCAUUAGUAUGGUUAACAAACCUGGUUUUAGAUAUGUGAUGACGUUAUCUUAUAAAUAUGCAUGAAUUUAUCUUGAAAAUAUGUUGAAUUGAUUUGGUUGAUGUGGAUUGGUCUCGAUUUAAUAUUGUAGGGAAUGUUAGAUAUUUAUAAAGGGGCUAUAUUGAAUAUAAAAAAAAUUUAAUUCGUAAACUUCGAUAAUGCCUCGUACCCUAUUCCGGCAAUGAAUACAGGUAAAGGUAUUACAAGAGCAAAGUUUGAAAUUAAGUUAUCAUAAUAGAAAAUUUUGCUAGAAUACAAAAUGAAUAAAAUGAAAGUAGGUGCCCUAGAUACCGUAGCAUGAGCUUCUCCGCACAAAACUUCUCGAGGACCCUUUGAACUUGCUAUGUAUUUAAAAGACCUAAAAUGCUUUGUUGAUGCCCCAAGAUGUAACAUCCCUCCUUCUUGUUAAUUUGGGCAUUGCAAGACUACUGCAUGCCUCACCUUUGAUCAAAAUUUGAAUUGCCUUUUUCUUGGGAUUUCAAUUCAGAACCCCUUUGGUCUCAAGGCGCCCUUUGCGGGUUUCCGCCUUGGCCUCUCCCUUUUCUUUUCUUUUUCUUUUCUUUCUUUCUCUUUUUUUUUAAGUGAAGUAUUCCUUGAUUGAAUUCGAAUUCACAGGAUUAUGCAGGUUCUUGCCAUCCAUCUUGGUCAGUAUCGAUGUUCUUCUAGAGAAGGCCUUUUUUACCACAUAAGAUCCUUCCCAGUUUGGCAUCCACUUUUAUCUGAAGUCCUUUUGUAUAGGAAGGAUCUUUUUCAAAACUAGAUCCCCUUCAUAGAAUUCUUUGGGGCGAACCUUUUUUUCAUAAGUUCACAUCAUUCGUUUUUGGUACAUUUGACCAUGACGGAUAGCUUUCAAACCUCUUUUCUUUAAUCAGGUUCACUUGAUCAUAUCGAAAUUGGAUCCAUUCUACUUCAUCUAACUUCAGCUUAACUAAAACUCAGACGAAAAAAAUCUCAACUUCAAUGGGCAAAACCACCCCAUUCCAUAAACCAAUGAGAAAAGCGUUGGCCCAGUAGAGGUUCUGAUAGACGUUCGAUAGGUAUAGAUGGUAAUUUCUUAUGCCGAUCUUUGUAAGUCUCUGCCAUUUUUCCACUAUCUUCUUAAUUUUAUAAUUGGUUGUAUCCACUGCACCGUUCAUUUUUGGGCUAUGUAGUGUUUGAUCUUGAACUAACUGCAAACUUCUGAUAUCGUGCUGUUAUGCAUUAUCAGAUAUGAUCAUUUUUGGCAUUCCCUAUCGACAUAUGAUCUUUUUUUUUAAACAAUUUGAUGACUGCCGACUUUAUGACAUUACCGUAUGAAGCAGCUUCCACCCAUUUAGCGAAGUAAUGGACGAUCACACAGAUGAAACGAUGCCUGUUAGAAACUUUUGGGCGAGAUCAGCCCAAUGACAUCCAUGCCCCAUAUAGAGGAAGGCUAUGGAUUCCACUGACUUUUUGUAAGGUAAGAUUUAUUUCUCAUCUUGUUCUACCAUCCUUAACAAAUCAGGAGAUAAGCUAUAGUCUUGGUUAUCUUCAAAGUCCUGAGGUUCCUUUGGACACAUAUCUUGCUCAAAAUGAGGUUCUGAGUCAAUAGUAGUGUCACUCACACCAUUGAUAUUUGGAGACCUGUUGUAGGGAUGAAAAAAGAUCCAAAGAACGAAAGAGUCUAAGAAUAAUUAUUUGUAUGGUACGAUUAAAUGAAAAAAAUAAAAGAAUAUUUGCUCAGAAUGAGGCAAACAGAUGCAUUUUAUUUGAAAUAAUGAUAUUGGACAUAAGCUUAUUUCACAAAAGGUUUCUUAUUGCUCCUAGGCUUAGAGCAAUAAGUGUGUUUUGAACAUUACUCUGAAUUAGCUCUAAAAAAUACAAGGAUCUCUUCUACAGUCCCAUUGUUCAAAAUACUUUCAGGUAUGUAAAGGUAAAUGCUUGAAAAAUUCUUUUCUCCGGUUCUCUCUUUGGAUACGGCAUUAAUGUUCAGAUUCCCCAACAUUCUUUCUGGGCCUUUGACCUCUUCAAAGAAUUCCAACUCUUUGUUAUCCAUUAGACUUUGCACCAAAACUUUGAAUUUGGCACACUCUUGGAUUUCAUGACCUUCUUUAGCAUGGAACUCACAGUAGCUCCUCAUCCCUUUUGGUCUCUUCUCUGAAUUCUGAAUAAUUAAUCUCAUGUUUAUCAUUUGUUUCAAAACCCAUUUCAGUGGGGUUUUUACUUCUGCAACAUUGGUUUUGGCUCUCUUUUCUCCACUCUCAAUUAUCAUGUUUACCCUUGGGUCUGGAUGACUGGGUAACGAAUUUUCUGCCACAUUAGAUACCGAUGGAUCUUCGAAUUUUACGAUGCCCAUCUUGAUUAACCUUUCGAUUAAAUUUUUAAAUGUAGUGUAGUUUUCAAUUAAGUGUCCUGUUAUUCCUGCGUGGUACUCGCAUUGGGCAUUUGCAUCAUACCAUUUCAGGAACGGAGGUUGCAUGGGUUUCGAGUAGAACGGGGAUGCCACAUAUGUGGCAAAUAGAUUCUAAUACAGCUCUCUAUAUGUUAUCGGGAUGGGUGUGAACUGGAGCCUUUCUGUAUUUGACAUCGAUUUGGAUUCUUGCCUUAAAGGGCCUUGAUUACGGCCCUUUGCUGGCCUACAGUGAUCGAUUUGGGAUACCCUUUAUUAAACACUUACACGUUUUUCACUUCAUUUUCAUCUUUCUUCGAGGUUGAUCUUCUGGCACUUUCCUUUGCAUCUAUCUUCCCACUCCUUAUUGCGUUUUCAAUCAUCUUGCCGGAUAUUACUAUAUCUAAGAAGCUCAUGGUAGCACCUCCCAACACAUGAUUAAUGAACAGAGCCUUCAGAGUAUUAAUGAAAAGAAUGGUUGUUUCCUUCUCCAGAGGAGGUGGUUGGACUUGCGUCGCUACCUCUUUCCAUCUUUGGACAUACUGCCUGAAGCUUUCACUUGGUUUCUUUUCCAUAUUUUGCAGUGUGAUUCUGUCAGGUGUUAUGUCCGUCACAUGACUAUACUGUUUCAUAAAAGCCUGUGCCAAAUCCUUUCAUGAAUUGAUUUUGGCACGGCUCAAUUGGUUGUUCGUUUGGCUACAGACCCGAUCAAACUGUCUUGAAAGCAGUAGGUUAAUAAUUGGUCGUUAUUAACAUAUCCUGUCAUCCUUCGAUAGAACAUCGUGAUGUGAGCUUCAGGACAGCUACUCCCAUUAUACUUUUUGAACUCUAGAGUCUUGAAUUUUGGUGGGAGAACCAAAUCUGGAACCAAACUCAAAUCUUUAGCAUCAAUUCUGCAGUGGUAGUUAAUGUUUUCCGUUGCUUUGAAUUUUUCUUCUAAUCAUCUGCACAUAUCUUCAAGUUGCUUUGGCAGUUCCACUCUUACUUUUUCCAUUUCUACUAUAUCAUAUAGAUCCAACAACAGAAUUGAUUAGAUUAUCCCCCGGAUUGGAGCCCGAACCUAUUGGAUAGUUCGCUGGUGUAGAAGUACCAAUUUGGUAUUGUUGGGGUCUGAUAGUAACGGGUACCCUUCGUGGGCAGGCCUCUGGUUGAGUCUGGACAUUUAUCGGGGUAAAACCUGGGGGAUAGGUAAGGUCUUCAUUAUCAUCCCCCAAGUUAACCGCAAUAUUCUUCCCUUUUUCAAGUCCUCCAGCCAGUAAUUGCAUCAAGUGGCUUAACAUACUUCUUUGGGAUUCUUACAUUUGAUCCCUGAUAUCUUUUUGAAUUUUGGCUAAUUAUUCUUGCAUCUGUGCUUGCAAUUGAUAUUGCAUAUCUCUUUGCAUUUGUUCUAAUCUUUCCAAUCUUUGAUCUAUUGCCUUGGCUUUGCGGCGGGUACUGUAACGAUAUUUAGUUGGUAAACUCUCGUUAAUUUCCAGGGUAAUUGUCAUAAUUUUAAUUAAUUAGGAUCUCGUUGUGAAUUUUAAUGCAUAUGAUGCAAUAUAAUACAAAUGCAUGAAAUGAAUACAAAAAGAUGUGUUGAUUCUGAUUCAAUUCUGUUAGAACAACUUUACUAGAAAACAAAUCUAUUUACAUAAAAUGGAUAUUUACAUAUACAACUUUAACCUAAUAUUCAAAGUGAAGACAUCGAUCUUUUUCUUCAUAUUCAGAUGUUAUGAUCGAAUCUCGCGAAUUUUCUAAGGGAUGUUUCUACUAUCUCUUUUUGCUUGAUUCGGGCCGCGACCUGGCUCACCCAUCCCCAUGAUGCUCAUUAGCUUCUUUAAGAAAUUUGAAACAUUAACGACUUUCAAAUAAUCUUUGUCGGCUUGAAUCCUCGGGCAACAAAACAAAGUCGUGUAUCCCUUUGUCAGACUAUAACCCUUCUUUCGCUGUGUUUUCUCGGACCAUAUUCGGACGACCGCAUUGUCUUCCACUUUAUCAAGAAAUCCAUUUUCCAUGACAAACUUUCUAUUUAGCAACUGAACGUGAAUCAACACCUCUUUUCUAUGAUGAAAAUACAAUGCAAUAAUAACCAAAACAAAAUGAAAUAGGUUAGAACAAAGCAAAAGUAAGCAAGAAAAAAUAAAUAGAGCACAUAUUCGGGUGAACACUAGGGUUUGGUAUAGUUCUACCUAGGGUAGGUUUUUAGGCUCAUUAUAUGCUGUUUGGUUCUAAAGUAAGGGUACCUGAACUGGCAGAUUCCUCGAUCUUCACCCAUUAUAGGCUCAUGCGGAUUGAGUUCAAUUUAGAGGAAUACAUUUCCCUAUGGCUAUACGGAGAUGAAAAUCUCACGAAGACAUUGGUACGGAUGUAUCCCAAAAGCGAUCCACUACCCUAUACGGAGGUGAAGACCUUACGAAGGAAUAAUUUCUCACUCCCACUUAAUAGGGUAAAAUUGACCGAUCCUGCAAUGCCAUAUGUAGAGAUAUAUUAAAAGGGCUCAAAUCAAUAAAGUAAACAUAUUAUGACCAAAACCACAAAAAAUGACGGAUGUAAUGCAACGAAAAGAUCGUAAUUUUAAACCAGAUUUCCAAUUUUCGACAAAAAGACAGAAAAUAAACAAUUUGCGGCUUGAAUCUCUUAUUUUGUCCCUAACGGAGUCACCAAGCUGUCGAAACUAUUUUUUUGAAAAGGUCGACUUUUAUUUUAAAAAACGAAAAUGGAGUCGCCACUAAUAUUUUUUAUGAGGUGUGAUCAGAUCACCUCGUAAAUUUAAUCGUUUUAAUAAAAUAUUUUGAUUUAUUAAAAUAAUGAUUUUGGUCUACGAAAUUUGAGAAAACGGGCUUGGGAUUCGAUUACGUGCGAGGAAGGAUUCGCACCCUCAUCACGCCCAAAAUUGGUACCUAAUUGAUUAAUUAAUGUCCUAAUGUCGAAAGUUGAAAUUUUGAGAAAAUUUUAAAAUACAAUCCCUUUUUUAUUAAUGUUAAUUUUAAAAAUGCUUGAAUUAAAUUGAAGCGAGCAUCAAAGGCCCACUCGUCCCGACAUAACAAAAUACCAUAUCUGUAAGUUAGGAUGCGACAUUUGAAUCCUCAAGAACAAGUUUGCCUUUAAUUUUUACCGAAACUUCAUGUACUUUAAAAUCUAAAAGGAUAUUUGGCUAUUUAGGUUUAAUAAGAAAAUCGAAAUCCCGUAAGUUAGGGUACGAUUUCUCGAAUUCCCAAAAUGCGAAUAUUGCCUUAUUUUGAAAAUUUUCCUUUUUGAAUAAUGAGUACAACACUUAACGAUGUGCAUUUAUUUUGUUUGGAGUAAAAUAAAACGAUCUAUAUUGGAUAAACACAUUGGAUUUUAAUACACGAUGUGAUUUAAACGAAAUAAAAUAAAAAGGUAAUAAACCAUAAAAGUAAUACAUUCUAAUCUCAUACUUAGCAUAUUUUUGGAUGAUUUAUCAUAUAAUUUAGUGAAUUAGAUGCUCUUAAUCCUUUAAUUUCACAUUUUAUACUCAAGAGAGCAUAGAGGAACAAAAUAAGUAGAAAACAUGCCAAAAACGGAGAAAAUGGGCUGAUUGAAAGAUCCACACGGCCAAGACGAAUUCCACACUAAUUGAGCACACGCCCGUGUGAGCCACACGCUCAUGUGGUAGCCCGUGUCGAUAUCGCUCCCUAUUUCUCUAACACGCAGAAAAAGCCAAUUUUAGGGUUUCUGAGUAUUCUAAAGUCUAUAAAUACAUACUAAAAGAGGACCUAAGGGGACACACCGAGUAGAGGGCAAAAAUCACACGAAGGAAGCUGUUGGAAUCAUCUUAGAAACAGAUCCACCUCAAGAUUUAAGAUCUCCAUUCAAAUUUCUCUCGAAGUUUAUUUGAGUUUUUUAUGUCUUGUUGUUUUUCUAAAUUUGAGAUGUUUUCCUUUUACAUUAUGAACUAAACUCCCUAAAUACCUAGGGAGGUUGAAACCUACAAUGGUCUUGUUAUUUAAUUAUCUGAAUUACACGAUAAAUAUUUGUUCUUAUUCUUAAUUAUGUGUUAUUAAUUCUUACUUUAAUAUUUUCAGGAUAUUAAUUCAAGUUUGAUGUGCUUAUUCAGUGGAGCAAAAGUCCCUGUUUAGGAGUAGAUCUAGCAUAAUUAAGCGGAGUUGAUUGCAAUCCUAGAAAUAGGACGACAUAAAUCUGUCGGAUUAGAGUCAAAUCUAAUAAGGGAAUCCAUAGAUUGAGUUAAUGCGACUAUAGGGGUUUUAAUUAGAAAGGGAUUUCAAUUAAUCAACUUAGAGUCAGUUGUUUUUAGUCUCGAAAGAGAUAUUAACAUAAUUUAGGGAUUUUUACGGAUCAAGACAAGUGAAUAGAUCGUUUGAUUCAGAGUCAGAAUAAUAAGUAAAGUCUAGGUGGAUUCUUUCCUGGGUAUUGUCCUCUUUAUAAGUCUUCUUCAAGCAUUUUUCCCAAUUCACUCUUUGUUGCGUUCAGUAGUUAAUUAGUUAAUUUUAAAUUAAAACAAAUCUCUUAUAUUUUAGGUUAUAUAAUAGAAAGAUAGUUACUACUAGUACUUUUAGUCCUUGUGGAUACGAUAUUCUAGACUCACCAUAACUAUACUACCAUUUGAUAGGUGCGCUUGCCUUUGUCGUGAUUGUAAUCUAGUUUAGUGAAGCAUAAAACGAUUAAUACAUAAAUUAAAUACUAUGUUAAUGAAUGUCAACAAUAUGAAGAUAUUAAUAAAUAAUUUCUAGAGCAUAUAAUGGUAAUAUUCACAUAAUACACUAUUUUAAUACCAAUAUUAACAAACGAAGAAAACAAAACAAAAUAAUAUAUAAAAAAAAUUAAAUAUAUAAAAAAAUUUAAAGUAAAUAAUAUUUUAAAAUAAAUAAUUUAUAAAACGUUUUGAAAUAAAUAAUAGGACAAUUUUAAAUAAAUAAUAUAUAAAAAAAACUUAUAAUAAAUAAUAAUAAAACAGUUUCAAAUAUACAAUAUAAAAAUUUUAAAAUAAAUAACAUAUAAAACAGUUUAAACUAAAUAAUAUAUAAAAAAUAAUAACAUAUGUAAAAGUUUGAAAUAAAUAAUAUAUGAAAAAAAAGGUUUAAAAUACAUAAUAUAUAAAAAAACUUAAAAUAGAUAAUAUAUAAAUAAUUUAAAAAUAAUAUAUAAUAAAACAAUUUCAAAUAUACAAUAUAAUUUUUUUUUUAAAAUAAGUAACAUAUAAAACAGUUUAAACUAAAUAAUAUAUAAAAUAAAUAACAUAUGUAAAAGUUUGACAUAAAUAAUAUAUGAAAAAAAAGGUUUAAAAUAAAUAAUAUAUAAAAAAACUUAAAAUAGAUAAUAUAUAAAAUAAUUUAAAAAUAAUAUAUAAUAAAACAGUUUCAAAUAUACAAUAUAAUUUUUUAAAAAAAAUAAGUAACAUAUAAAACAGUUUAAACUAGAUAAUAUAUAAAAUAGAUAAAUUAUGUAAAAGUUUGAAAUAAAUAAUAUAUAAAAAAGUUUAAAAUAAAUAAUAUAUAAAAAAACUUAAAAUAGAUAAUAUAUAAAAUAAUUUAAAAAUCAUAUAUAACAAAACUGUUUCAAAUAUACAAAAUAAUUUUUUUAAAAAUAAGUAACAUAUAAAACAGUUUAAACUAAAUAAUAUAUAAAAUAGAUAACAUAUGUAAAAGUUUGAAAUAAAUAAUAUAUAAAAAAAGUUUAAAAUAAAUAAUAUAUAAAAAAACUUAAAAUAGAUCAUAUAUAAAAUAAUUUAAAAAAUAAUAUAUAAUAAAAUAGUUUAAAGUAAAAAGUCAAGGAUUGAAUUGAAAUCAGAGUAAAAAUAUGGGGCGUAAAUUGUAAAUGAUAAAAAGGGUGCCAGGGACCAAAAUAGAAUGCGCUUAAAGAAUGAGGGACUGAUUGAGAAAAUAUUCCCAUCCCUUAUGUGCAACGUUUCAGUGUGGGCCAAAGUGUACUAAAAAAUAAAUUAUGUGGACAAAUCUAAAACAUAUCAAACUAUCGUGGGAUUAAAUUGAAACGUACAAGAAAAACAGAAUGAUUAAAAUAGCAAAUAGCCCAUUUGGGCCUUAAAAAUACGCGGAUCCCCCACUAAACGGGUCGGGUUGCGGGUUGGUCCCCCAAAACGACACCGUUUUGGCGUUUGGGGGGCCAGAUGAAACUAUGUCGUUUCAUGGGUGCUAUUUAAGCCCAAAUUUUUUUAAAAUUUCAUUUUCAGCCUUCCCCUUUAAAAAAAAAAACUCAAACCAUCUCACUUUCUCCCUUUCUCUAGUGAUUGGGCCACCGUCCAUCUGCCAUGGCCGUCGGCGACGGUGGCCGCUGUAUAUGGCGGCUGGAGUCGAAAAGAAUGGGUUUUUCUUCUAUCUUUCGGUUCCCUCGCACCAUCGGUGGGGGUUUUCGGCGAGCCCGUUGACUUGGCCACCCUCCAGAUCAGAGCAAUCUCCGACGGCGACAAUAAGGUAACUAGCUUUCCUUUUUCUUUUCUUUUUUUUUUAUAUGUAAAAAUACACAAAGAAAGAAAAAAAUAAGAUGAGAACUUAAAACUAAAACAAAGUAAAGAAGAAGAUCACCUUUUAGACAAUUUUUGUUCCUUUUUUUAUUUAAUCUUGUGCUCGUAAAAAAAUUUUACAAGGAAAAGGUUGUGGCUUUUAAAGCCAAGUUACAAGACUUUUCCUUUCUAUUUUUUGUCUGUUUCUUCUUGUUUGCUAUUGUUAUUUGUUUUUCUUUGUUUGUUCUCUUUUGCUUGUGUGUUUUUCUUGCUUUGCAAGUGAUAGAGGCGUCAGACGCGCUUGGAGGCAGUAGCAGCAGACAAUGGUGGCAAAGGCGUGCGGCUGCUGAAGUUUGGGGGGCUAAGGUUAGGGUUUUAAAAAUGUUUAAACAUUCUGGGCCACUUAGGCCUUCAAAUUUUGGGUUGUUAUUUUAAUUAUUUUUUGGCUUUAGAUUUGGGCUGUUUGGUUUGUAAAUGAACUAUUCAUUUUUUGGACUUUUACUUUUUGGGUUUUAUUUUAUAAACUGGGCCAGGCCAAAAUUGGCCUAUUACAGAGUUAAUAAGUGCAAAAGUCUCAUUUUUACUCAUUUGUGACCCAAUUUGGCGGUAGUGCCAUUGGGGAACUAACAUGUGGUUGAGUGGUCUAAACACGUGUUGGAGGUUAAAAACGAGCGAAAAAAGCACCAAAAGAAAGGGUAUCACGAUAUCCAAACCUUUGAAUCCCGAUACCUCCAACAGGCUUGAAGAUUAGAGACCACCCUUCGGUGGGAUCGCAAUAUCCAUUUUGGGCAUUGCGAUAUCUGCCCUUAAAGACGACCCCCAAGUUCGAAACUGACUGGGGUAUCGCGAUAUCCUCUUUUAGGUAUAGCGACACUGAUAUCGUAAGGGGGAAAUUAGACAAAAAGGGUAGUCUUUGUCCACCCGAUGCACUAAUCACACAAGGCCCCUGUAGGGGAAAUUUUGGCAACAAAAUUUUAUCAACAUUCAGCCUAAAAUAGCCAAUUUUGGCUGAGGAGGAAAAAGACACACAUUAGUUUAAUUUUUAGCUUUAGUUUCUCUAGGUUUUCUCUUAAUUUUUUUUGGAACUUUUCUAGGAUUUUAUUUUUUCUUCUCCUUUAAUAGUUUUAGAGUUUAUUUUUCUACACUUGCUUUUUGUUCUUAGUGUUCUAAGUGUUAGUUAAGUCAGUUAUCACUAUAACUUAGGUUUAUUUGCACUUUCAGUCUCUGUACCUUGAUUGUAAGACAUUUUUAGUUUAAGUUUAAUGUAUUUCAGUUUCAUUUACUUUAAACCAGCUAAAGUUUGUUGCUUUAGAUUUUCUUAUUGAAUGCCUUUAGUUUCAUAUUUUUUAAGUUUUCUUGCAUAAAAAUCUAAAGUUUAAAUUUUUCUUAAGCUUUACUUUAAUGGUUUCUUUGCUUUUCAUUUCUAUGCCCAUUAGCUUUAUUUUCAGCAUGAGUAGCUAAACCUAAAAAGAGGUUGGUUGAUGGAGAUAUGGGUAAGUUGAUUUUUUUGGACAAGGGAUUAAUUUGUAAUAAAUUAGACUAAAUCGAAUAGACCAAAAAACUUAGGGAUUGACGCCCCUAAGGGAAUAUCUAGACAAGUAAGACCGAGAGGUAAUCUUGUUGUGCACCAAUUCAUUAGUCCCAGAUUAACCGAUGAGAUCGAGAGAUAAACCAUAUUAAUUUGUCUAAAUUGGUAAAAUUGAGAUUGAGAGAUAAAAAUGAGCCACUUAGUAAUUUAAGUGAUUUAAGUCCCUCAUUCGAAGACCAACGAACCACAUCAAAUUCAACCAACCACCGUUAGUCAUCUUGUAAUGGCCUAAAUUCAAAGUUAUCGGAACAGUGGUUUCGUAACCACAAAUCCAAUUUAAAGAAAAAUUUAUUUCAAUAUUUUUGCAUGAAAAUUGAUAUGAUAGGAAAAUCGUAUGAAAAUAUUGAUAGAAAAAUUUUACCGAUUUAGUGGUUAGUUAGAAAAAGAAAUUAUUGAAGAAAUUGGGUAAAAACAAAGUAUCGGGACCUCUAUCUCUUAAAACUGAGUCAAAAAUAAUUUUAUAAAUAUUUAUGAAAUGUUAGUAAUGUGGUAUUAAAAUUUUGUUAGGAAAUUUUAAUGUUUGGGUAGUCAAUUAAAUGAAAAGGACUAAAUUGUAAUAGGUGUAAAAGUUGCUAGAAUGAUUAAAUAGCUUAAGAGUCUAAUGAGAAAGGAUUUAAAAGAAAAUUAGACCCAAAAUUUAUUAUGGCUGGACGGAAAUCAGCAGGAAAAUUGAUAAAUUAAGGGAAAAUUUGAAAUAUUGCAAAAUUAACUAAAUAAAGCUAGGACUAAAUAGGAAAUAUCUAGAUUUCUCUUCAUUUCUCUUCAAUUCCAGCAGCUAAAAAUGCCAUAGGAGGGUUCUCUAAGCUGGUAUUUCAUAAUUUUUGCACCAAGUGAGUUAAUCCUUGCCUUUUUCUUGUAAUUUUUGUGUUUCUAAGACUUUUACAACUAGGUCCUACUAUUAAAUUCAUUAGUUUUUGAUUUCAUGGAUGAAAUUGAAAGUCACCAUGAUUGAGUGCUGUAAGUUUAUCAUGAAAUAGAAUGAAAUUAAAGCUUUAAUUUGUUUAUGAGAUGAUUUUAUUAGGUAAUUUCAAUAGAAAUUGAUUUUUAGGACCUAAUUGUGAAAAUGCUUGGAAUUAAAGUCUAUUGCUGAAAUUAUGAUUCCUAAAGGUUGUAAACUAGUUUAAGGUGAUAGAAUAAAAUGUUAAUCGAGAAAAAUCAGCUCAAUUAAGAGGCUAAUUGAGUAGGGACGAAAUUAUCAUUUAUUAAAAGCUUAGGGGAAAAAUGGUAAUAAACAGCUUGCACUAAAACAGUUUGGACAGCAGCAGUAGACUAACUUUGAAAAAUCACCAUAAAUUUUAAAAAUUGAAUUAUAAGAUGAACAAAAUAUGUAAUUAAAUCUUAUUGAGUCUAGUUUCUCAUAGAAUAAAUAGUGUAAGCAAUAGAUUUGUAAAUUUUGAGACAUAAUGAAUUUUGUGAGACAAGGUCAGAAUGAAUUCAGGUUACACUGUUUUGACUUUUAAAAAUCAUAAAAAAUUUAAUAAAAAUAAUUAGGGGCUUAAAUUUAUAUUUAUAGAAUUUUGAAUGAGUCUAUUUUCAAUAGAAACAAAUGGAAACAUCAUCCAAAUUUUUUAUGAAGAGAUAAUUAAUUUUUAGUGAAGAAGGGUCAGAACUGUCAGACAGCAGAACAGGUUUGACUUUAAAGAAUAAACUGUACUUAUUGGCUGAACCAAAAAUUCUGAAAAUUUUAUGGUAAAAGGAUAUAUGAGUCUAGUUUCAGAUAAAAUUAACGGAUCUUAUUUUGGAGUUCCUUAGCUCGAGUUAUAAAUAAUUUAGUGAUUAUAACUCGAAUAGACAACUUUGAAUAAACUAUAAAUAAUAAUAAUGAAAUUAUAGAAAUUGUUGCAUAUGAACAUGAAAUGUAUUAAAUUGAUAAUUAAAUUUAUUUAUUUAGAUCCAGAAGAUUCAAAUACAAAGCUAGAUCUAGGAAAGGAAAAAGUUCAGGAUUAGUAGAUUUUUGUACACGAACAAGUAUCAAGGUAAGUUCGUGUAACUUGAAUUAUAUUCUUAAAUUGCUUGAGAUUGUAUGUUAUUGAUGUGAAUAUGAUUUGAAUGUUCAUUGUAUGAAAAUUAAUGAAACAUUGAUAUAUUUGAUAAAAUGAGAAGAAAUCUCGUUUGAAUGAAAGAAAAAUUUGAUGGAUCUCUGAAAAGGAAUUGACGGUAAAAAGGAUCUAUCCCGGACGGGUGAUCCUAUCCUGAUAUAGCCCUCCCGAAGAAUAUGUGUAAAAUGAAUUUAACCCGGACGGGUAAUCCGAAUUAGGGUCUGAAUUUAGCCUGGACUAGUAAUUCAGAUCCAAGCUCAUUAGAGUAAUUGUCGUUGCAGAGGAUUUAGCCUGGACUGGUAAUCCCGCUGUAAGGAUGAGGUUCGCAGGGGUGUGCUCUCUGAAAUGAAAAUGUGGGCACAUGAAUGUGAAUUGAUGGACUCCGGAAUGUACACUAAAAGUGUACCUCUGAAAAUCCAUCGAAUAUUCCAAGAAAUUCAACGGGAUAAAUAUGAAAAAAAAAUAUAAGGAAAUGGAAAUCAUGUAUUGAUGAGCUCAUCAAUCAUAGUAUAUAUUAUUGGUACAUGGAAACUUGAAUGUUGAGUUUGUGCAUGUUAGGGUAAUAAUGCAUUGAAUGGAUAUAGGAAUGUUUAUUGUAUUGUAUUGAAAAUAUUAGGUAAGUAUAAUUCUUGUUACAUGUAUAAGCUAAUAAAGUAAAUGUUAACGUGAAAUGAAUGUAAAGUUAGCCAUUAGUAUGGUUAACAAACCUGGUUUUGGGUAUGUGAUGACGUUAUUUUAUAAAUAUGCAUGAAUUUAUCUUGAAAAUAUAUUGAAUUAGAUUGGUUGAUGUGGAUUGUUUUUUGUUUAAAAUUUUAGGGAAGGUUAGAUAUCUAUAAAGGGGUUAUAUUGUGUUAAAAAAAAUUUAAUUCGUAAACUCCGGUAAUACUUCGUACCCUAUUCCGGCAAUGAAUACGGGUAGGGGUAUUAUACAUCUAUUGGUCAAUCUCGUAGUUUUGUACUAUUUACAAUUUGGUCCCUAGAUUAGCAUAUUUAAUUUUCUUGCAAAACUUUCUUAUUAUGAUUUGUCAUACUAUAAUAUCAUAUCAGUAGCCGCUUAGGCUUUGUAGUGCAUGCUAUUUAUCACUCAAUCGUCAUCUCAUUUGGGUUCAAUCCUUGGAAUACUCCAGGGUUCCAUUGUAACACUACAAAUAUUACAACUAACCUGUACGCUUGUAGUAAAAUUGCGCUUUAAAUUUGUUCUAUAAAAUUGUUUGUUUUAUGCGCACGCGAUCAAUGAGCCUGUAAUAGCCUGUUUUUAAUGAAAUUGGAACAGUGGUUUUGAAACUACAAAUUUGAAGUCAGAAAAAUUUAUUUUAUUAUUAUUUUAUGGUUUAUAGUUUGAUAGAAAUACUGUAUAAAAAUUUCGUUAAGAAAUUUUAUUGUUUACAUGCCUAAUUUGAUAAAAAGGACUAAAUUGCAUAAAGUGUAAAGGUUGUGUUCUAAUAGCUAAAGGUAUUAAAUACCUAUAGAAUUUUAAAUUGGAGGUCCUUAUAUAGUAAAUAGGCCAUUAAAAUGCUUAGUGGAUAAGUAUGAAUAGUCAUCAUUGGAAAUUGAAUGAAAUAUUAAGGUUAAUUUUGGAAAUUAGUGAUUAAAGUUAUAAUAAAUAAAAUAAUCUAUUCUCAUCAUCAUCCAAAAAAUAAUAAUAAUAAUAAACCUAGCCAUGGAAGCUUGAAAAUUUAGGCAAGCUUAUUUUUCUCAAUUAGGUAUGAAUCUUUGUCCCGUUUUUAAUGAUUUCUAUGUUUCUAAUAUCGUAGUAGCUUAAUCUAGCUAGUUCGGGGAUUAAUUUGCAAAAAUGUUAAAGUAAUAGGGUUUUUCCAUUGAUGGAUAUGCUUGAAUUUUGAAUUUUGAAUUUUUAUGAUAGAAAAUGAAUGGUUGUUAUUAGAUAACAACUUUUGUAAAGAGAAUUUUGAUGAAAUUAUCAAUUAGGGAUUAAAUUGAAAAAGAUGAUAAAUUUAUGGUAUAAUUUGUGAAUUUUGUGAAAUAUAUGAGCUGCUAUUACUAUGUAUAAAAUCGGCUAGGCUUGAGUAAUGAUUAAAUUAUAUGAAUUUUAUUUUUCGAGCAAUAGACUAAAUUGCAAAGGAUUUAAAAAGUGUAGGGCAAAAUGGUAAUUUUGCCAAAAUUUUAUGUUGGAUUAAAUUGAAUGAGAAUUAUAUUGAAAUGAGUUAAAUUUAUUCGUAUAGAUCUUAUCAGACUUUUAGAUUGAGGCAAAGAGAAAAUAUCUGAUUAGUCGCCUUUGUAUCUACGUACACUUGUCGAGGUAAGUUCGUGUAAUUAAAUUCUACAUUUAUAUGUGUUAAAAUUGAAUUAUUGUUUGUGAAUUAUACAAUUGCCAUGAAUAAAUACCGGUUGUAUAUUCGACAAUUAUCGAGCCCUAUUUGAACCUUAGGAAUCCGUAGGCUACAAAUGACAUGUCAUUAGGGUUAUUGAUUUCAACUCUUAUGAGCUUCCUGAUACUCAGCUCGCAUGAGCUUCCCAUUAUUCAGCUCACAUGAGCUUCCCAUUAUUCAGCUCGGUGGAGCUUAUCGUUUAUAGCUCGUAUGAGCAUACAUGUACAUGAAUUGAUGGAUUAUAGUUAAGUACAUUUUGUGUGUACUACCCUUGUAUCCAAUGAUAUUCUAAAUGGUUCAACGAGCACAGUUCUGUUACGAGAUUAUAUGAGUUUGAUAUGAACUAUUACUGGUAUUUACAUGAAAUACAUGAAAUAUGAUUAUUUGAUGAAUUCAACCAUGUGUGUUGGAUUUUAUAUGUGAUUUUCAUGGCUAAUAUGUUGGUGAUCCUGUGUUUAGGAUUUUGGCCAAAUUGGUUAAGAUAUGCUUUGUUUACUUACCUAUUUUAUGAAUAUAUGGUAAGUUAAAUUCUGUGUUAUACGAACUUACUAAGCUUAAAUGCUUACUCUAUGUUAUUUUUCAUUUUUUAUAGUAAUUCAGAAGCUCGUACGGGUUGAAAACUGGUCAGAGCUAUUUUAGACUAUCCAUCGGCCCUUUUGGUACUUUCAGUAAAUUAAUUUCAGUUAUAAUGGCAUGUAUAGGUUAAUUUGGCCAAUGUUGGCAUAUAAUUGUUUUGUUGAGAUUAGCCACUUAUAUGGCUUGUGUUUGGUACAUUUUGAUGCAUAUAUAUAUAUAUGUGGUCUUACCCUAUUUGAUGUGUGUUUAAUAUGAUAGAUGAUGAAAAGUAAAAUGUGGUUUGAAUAUGCAUAUAUGUAUUUGGUCAUUUAUGUAACACCUCUAACCUGAAUCCAUCGUCGGAAUAGGGUUACGGAGUAUUACCGGAGUUUACAUAUCAAAUAAACAGACAUUUGAUAUCAUAUAACAUUCAUGUCAGAAACCCAUCAAAAUUAAACAUAUUGUCCCUUAUACGAGUCAUUGAGGCCCAAAAUACGAGUUAGAAACAAGUCAGGACUAAAUCGGGUACUCAAAGAAUUUCUUUGAAAAAAUUAAAAAUUUUCAAAAAUGUAGAGGCACACGGCCGUGUGACUCACACGACGAAGAGAUAUGCCUGUUCUCAGGCCGUGUGGGCAUUUGAAAUAAGGACACAUGGUCGUAUCUCUGCCCGUGUCCGUGCCUGUAUAACUCUUUAACUUGGGUCACAUGGCCAAGUCACACACCCAUGUGCUAGGCCGUGUUGAGUAUAUUGACUUGUGCAAUUUUAAAGAUACAGGGGACACACGGCCGUGCCACCUAGCCGUAUGUCACAUAAGUUGAGACACACGCCCGUGUUUCUUCCCGUAUGGACAAAAAAAAGUCAUUUCUAAGCCACAUUUCUCACCCAAUUUGGUACCAACCUAAACACAAAAAUUUGCAUAUCAACAAGCCAUAACAAGGCAUUCAAAUCAAGCUAAAAUCAAGUCUUAAAUAUGUAUUAUCACAAUAUACAACUAAUAUGUCAUUAGGCACCUCAAAUGAUAAAUUAAUAACAUGUCAACCAAAUAUUCAUAUUUACCUAGAUAACCAAAUGCAUAUAUGCAUAAUUGUACCAAUUAUACUAUUUCAAAAUCAAUCAUCAACAAACCUAUAAGUUUUCCAUCAUUUAACCAUAUCAAACACACAUUAAAUAUGAUAAGACCACAUAUAUAAAUACAUCAAAAUAUACCAAACACAAGCCAUUCAAAUGGUUAGUCUCAACAAAAUAUUUAUAUACCAACAUUGGCCAAAUUAACUUAUACAUGCCAUUAUAGCUAGAAUUAAUUUACUAAAAGUACCAAAAGAGCCGAUGGAUAGUGUGAAAUAGCUUCGACCAGUUUCCAACCUGUACGAGCUUCCGAAUUACUAUAAAACAUGAAAAAUAACAUAGAGUAAGCAUUUAAACUUAGUAAGUUCGUAUAAUAUAGAAUUUAACUUACCAUAUUUCCAUAAAAUAGGUAAGUAAAUAUAGCAUAUCCUAAUCCAUUUGGCCAAAAAGCCUAAACACAUGAUCACAACAUAUUAGCCAUGAAAAUCGCAUAUAAGAUCUAACACACAUGGUUGAAUUCAUCAAAAAAUCAUAGUUCAGUAUUUCAUGUAAAUACUGGCAAUAGUUCAUAUUAAACUCAUAUAAUUUCAUAACAGAACUGUGCCCAUUGAACCAUUUAAAAUAUCGUUAGAUACACGGGUGGUACACACAAGGUGUACUGAACUGUAAUCCGUGAAUUCAUAUUCAUAUAUGCUCAUACGAACUGUAAACUGGAAGCUCCUCCGAGCUGAAUAACAGGAAGCUCAUGCGAGCUGUAUAAUGGGAAGCUCAUGCAAGCUGUGGUGUGCCCGCAACACAUGCAGGACCCGAACUAAAUCGGUAACCCUAAUGACAUGUCAUUUGUAUCUUAAGAAUUUCAUAAGGUUCACACGGGACUCGAUAAUCGUUGAAUAUACAACCAGCAUUUAUUCAUGGAAAUUGUACAAUUCACAAACAAUAAUUCAAUUUAACACAUAUUAAUGUACACUUUAAUUACACGAACUUACCUUGACGAGUUUAUGUAGAUACGAAGGUGAAUAAUCUGAAAUUUUUCCUUUGCCUCGAUCUAACUCCGUACUAGGUCUAACCGGAUCUAUACGAAUGAAUUUAACUCAAUUCAAUAUAAUUCAUAUUCAAUUUAGUCCAGCAAUACAUUUUUGGAAAAUUUACUAUUUUUCCCCUAUGCUUUUAAUUUAUUACAAUUUAGUCCCUAGGCUUGGAAAAUGACUUUCAUGCAAUUUAAUCUUUAUUCAAGCCUAGUCAAUUUUUAUACAUAUUAAUAGCAUCCCACAUAAUUCACAAUUUCACAAUUUUACCAUAAAUUUAUCAUCUUUUUCAAUUUAAUCCCUAAUUGAUAAUUUCAUCAAAAUUCUCUUUACAAAAGUUGUUUAUAUAACAACAACUUUUCAUUUUUUUUAUCAUAAAGCUUCAAAAUUCAAGUAUGCUCAUCAAUGUAAAAACCCUAAUACUUUAUCGACUUUGCAAAUUAAUCCCCGAGCUAGCGAGAUUAAGCUACUAUGAUCUCGGAAACAUAGAAAUCAUAAAAAACGAGACAAGAAUACAUACCUAAUUAAGCAAAAAAAGCUUGCUAAUGUCUCAAGCUUCCAUGGUUAGGUUUUCUCUUUUUUUUUUGUGGUAGAUGAUGAUAAUAGAUUUUUUUAUUUUAUUUAAUAUCACUUUAAUUGAUAAUUUCCAAAAUUAACCUUAAUGUUUCAUGAAAUUUCCAAUGAUGACUAUUCAUGCUUAACCACUAAGCAUUUUAAUGGUCUAUUUACUAUAUAAAGACCUCCAAUUUAAAAUUCAAUAGCUAUUUAAUACCUUUAGCUAUUAGAACUCAACUUUUGCACUUAAUGCAAUUUAGUCCUUUUCAUCAAAUUAGGUAUGUGAAAGGUAAAAUUUCUUAACGAAAUUUUUAUACUGUAUUUCUAUCAUAUAGUAGAACAUAAAAUAAUAAUAAAAAUAAAUUUUUUCGACUUUGGAUUUGUGGUCCCCAAACUAGUGUUCUGAUUUUACUGAAAAUGGGUUGUUACAAUUUAAGUAAGUUUGGAUACUUGGUUGACAUGUUUUUAAAUUUUCAUUUGAGGUGCCUAAAGGCAUAUUGGUUGUAUGUGGUGAUAUUUCUUGUUUAAGAGUAGAAUUUGGCUUGUUUUGAAUGCCUUGUUAUGGCUUGUUGAUGUGCAAAAAUGUUGAGUUAGCUUAUGAGAAAUGUGGCUUGGAAAAUGACCUAUUUUCAUCCACACGGGUAGAGACAUGGGGGUGUGUCUUAGCCAUGUGUGACACAUGGCCAAGUGACACUGCUGUGUGUCCCUUGUAUCUUUUAAAUUGCACAAGCCAGUAUGCUCACACGGCUUAGCACAUGGGGGUGUGGCUUGGCUGUGUGACCCAAGUCAGGACGUUACACGAGUUGGGACACGACUGUUUGUCCCUAUUUUGAAUGUCCACACGGUCUAAGACACGAGUGUGUCUCUUGGCCGUGUGAGUCACACGGCCUGGCCACACGGCUGUGUGACCCCUACAACUUUGAAAAUUUUUAUUUUCUAAAAAAUUCUUUGAGUACCCGAUUUAGUCCCGACUUGGUUUUAAUGCGUAUUUUGGGCCUCGAGGGCUCGCAUAAGGGACAAUAUGUUGAUUUCGAUUGGUUUCUGACAUGAAUGUUAUAUGAUAUGAAAUGUUUGUUUAUUUGAUCUGUAAACUCCGAUAAUGCUCUGUAACCCUGUUCCGGUGAUGGAUGCUGGUUAGGGGUGUUACAGAGCCAAUAUUUGUUAAUACAUUUUUACUUUGCGUGCAAAAAUCAUUAAGGACAUAUAUAAAAGAUAAUGAUAUAAAUAACUAAUUUAUUAAAAAAAUUACAAGUAUUUAUGACGAAAUAACUAAACUAAGGGCAUUAGAUUCCGACAGAAGAUACUAUUCAUGGCAUAAUUAGUAUCCGGAAAAUUCACAUGGAAAGAAAGUAUUAAAGCAAGGAAAGUUAUGUGUUGAUGUGUGCAAAUUACCCGUGUGUACAAUCUCACUAGUGCAUUGGAAAAGUAAUAAAUAAAAAAAAUAAAAAAUCAUCAUGAAUUAAUAAGUUAAUUAUCCACUACUUUUUUCUUAAACUGAUUCAAAUAUGUAACAAAGGCACUAAGUCUUAAAAGACAUGUAAUGGGCUUAGGUUAAGGUACCAUAAUUCAAAGUAGAAGACAAUAUAUAACCUCAACUCAAGUUACUUGAGGAUCAAAUUAAGCACAUAAUAUGAAUUCCCAUAUUCUCCAAUUUUCAAAUUGAACAUUUUCUGCUCAUCCUUUUUUCUCUCAGAAUAAAGCAGGUAAAAAUAAUGACAACAAAUUACAAUGAACAUCACUAACACUUUUCUUUUGAAUCUAAAUUUUUCACUUUUUUUUUUCCUUUUCAAAUUUCUUUUAAUUAUUUUUGUUUUCUUUUCCGAAAAUUUUAUAAUAAAGUACACAAGCAACAAAAAGAAAAAUAAGCUUUAUUCUCUCUCCGUUUCAUCCACCAUAAUUUACCUAUCUAACGCCAUAAUUCUUGGGUUCAAACUAGCGAUAAAAAUCCAUCAAGCACUAACCAUCUAAAGCAAACAAGGGAGCUUUAUACUCGAUUCGCGAGAAUAUUCAAACAAAUAAUAAGGUUAAAAAAGAAAAAAAGCCCUACACCUUCCUUGUUGACACAUGUGUUCUCUGUUUUUUAUAUUAUAUAAAAUGGUUAAAUUUUAAAUUUGAUCCUUUUAUUAUGUAUAAGUUUAAAAUUUAACUUAUAUAUUUUAAUUAUUCUAAAUAGUUAAUAUCGUUCACUCUUUAAUUAAGAUAUUAUGUGAUUAUAUAAUUAAGAUGAUCUAAGAGUCCUAAAGCUUAACACAUAACUUCCCAUUUCUUUUGGGGUUGCUUUGUUUUUUUGUUUACAUUAUAAGACAGUGAUUAAAUUUUAUUUUUGACCCCUAUACUAUCCUAUAACUUGAUAUUUAAUCUAUAUACUUUAAUUCAUUAUAUAAACUGGUCUAUUUAUUUUUAUAAUGUCAAUCAAAACGCUAACUUUAAUUUUUCUUAAGAAUACUAUUCCAAAAAAAAAAUUUAUCAUGACGAAAUCGAAUGAAUAUUUUUAAGAAAAAAAUUCACAACAAUAUUUUCAAUGUUAUUUUUAUUGCUACAUGAAUAUCAAGGGAAUAUUUUUUAAUUUAAAAAUUUAAACCGAAGAAUUUUAAUGGUGGUUCCAAAAAAAUAUUUUAUCAUGAUGAAUUUGAGUAAUAAUUUUUAAGCAAAAAAACCCACAAUAAUAUUUUUAUUAUUACUUGAAUAUCAAAUAAAUAAUUUUUUUUCUAAUAAAUUUAAUAGAAAAAUUCUAACGAUAAUAUCCACUCUAAACCUAAACUUUUAAAUCCAAACAGUAAAAAACCUAAAAUCUUAAAAAUAAUACUUAAAACCUAUUCAACCAGUUUAUAAUUUAUCACAAAAAAAAAGAGUAGACAAAGCUCCAUUUUAUACAAUUUGGAAGAACACAAAUAACAAAAAAAGUAGUUAUAAAAAUCUGGAAGAAUAUGCAGAAGAUAAGAUUAAAAACCUUGGAGUUUAUCCAUUUAUAAAUGGCACAACACUGACAGCCAUAAAAAGGUGAAUUAUAUGAAGAAAAGUGGAAAGGGAGUUUGGCACCGCAAUGAUAAGCACAGUUUGUUUGGGGAUGACAAAGAUAAGGUCUCUUUUUCUUUUCAAUUAUUUAUCACUCAAUAUUUAAACUCAUUAGAAUAUUGAAUUUGUAUUCCCAUUAUUCCCAUCCAACCCUUUUUCCUGUUCUCAAUAUAUUAGCAAAUCAUAAUUUUAAUUAAAUUUUGUUAUUAGCUUUAUGUUAUAUCGAAGUUUAAUCAUUGCUAACUUUUAUACUUUUUAAAAUUUUAAAAUUUCAAUUUAAGCUUAAAAUAGUAGUUAUUAAAUUCAUUAACUAUACAUAUGAUAAUAUGUUUGUCGUAUUAAAUUUUGAAGUUAACAAAUUUAAUAAUUAUUAUUUGAAUAAAAAUUAAAAUUUUAAAAUUCAAAAAUAUAAAAAUAAAUCUGUAAAAUUUGACCUUAUUUUUAUUAUCUAUAUAUAGUGGUUUGGCAUCCAUUCUUUUCAGAAACCCCCCCACAAAUACGAGCCAUGCAGAGAUAAGAAGCAGAGCAUGGUAACUUACAAAAGUUGAACACAUGACGGUCUCCAUAAUCAAAAUUUCAUGAUUCUUCUGCCCAUACCAUACCGACCAAUCAAAUUCUCUCUAGUUCUUAAUUUAAUUUAAUUCAGGGAAUUUGGAAUAAAAUUUAGAGAAAAAAAACCCAGAAAAGAAGAAAAAAGAGAUUUGUAUAAGAUGCUCUUUUGGUUGGCAAAAGGCAAGCUCAUAGCUGUAUUUGUGCUUAUUUUAACUUAUAUUUGAAUUAUUUAUGAGUUUUGGGAAUCUCCAAAAUUGAUCGAAUAUUCACUUCAUCGGCACACAUUAAACCAACUCCAUUUUCAUUUGGGAGAAGAACUAAAACACCAAUUAUAGAUUGAUUAGGUUUCAUUUCAUAUUUCCUUAUUAGUCAUAGGGUUGAUAUCAAAAUUAUUGGAUUGCAUUCCAAAAAUGUGAUUAUUAGGAAUAUAAUAUUACUAUUUUUGGUAUCAUUAGAAAAGUACUAAUUAAAAUUAUGAGAAAGUCAUUUUUAUAUAUUUGGUUUAUUAAGGACUUUACUAGUAACAUCAUGGUAAAUUUUGAAAUUAUAUCUAUCAUAUAAAAUACAAAUCUUAAAAUAAAAAUAAAUUAAUAUAUUUAUCUCAAAAUUAAUAUAUGAUAAUUUUUUUAAUUUAAUAUAUAUUUAAUUAUUAUAUAAUUUAAAAUUUAACUUGAUAAUAUUUGAAAUAGAUUUAGAGUUACAUAAUUUUUAUGAUUUUGUAAAGAAAAAAAUGUAUACAAAUAAAGAAAAUAAAGAAAAAAAAAGAACAACUUUGUCUGUAUGUAACAUUUUAACUAUAUGGAAAAUUACCUUGCCAUUAUUACUUAAAAGGAAUCACAUUUCCAUGGUUGGUCACUAGUACAUCAAACUUGGUGAACUCUAUUGGUAAGUGAUGUGGGUAUGGGUACAAAUUUAGGACCAAACAUGAAGGUUCCAUUACUUGGAGAUGUGUUUCACGUACCUAUAGGGCCAAUUACAAGGGUAAGGGCUAGAAAACUUAAGGAGACGCUCAAUGCUCUUAUAUAAGUCGAUUGGGCUGAGUUAGAACAAUCUUCAUUGCAUUUUCGAGUUAACAUGGAACAUUAGCCUUGCAACGUUUUAUUCGUUGCUCAAUAAGUACUUUUGUUGACCAUACAUAUUUCAUCUCCAAAUCAAAAUUCAAGGAUUCAAGCAUUCAUGGAUGAAUUUAAUAGAGGAAGAAUUAAAAAUUCAAGCAUUCAUUGGUCAGGUUUAAUGGACGGAAUUCUAAAAGGCUCAUUCAAGCAUCCUAGGUGACUAUUCGAUUAACCAAAGUCCUUGAUAAUUACCACAAUUCAAGAUGGAAGCUGAACAUGACUUUUGGAAAACAAGUGACUUUUCAGCAACCUCGUGACCUUUGGAGAGAUUAUAUUUUAAUGCAUUUAUGCAUAUCAAGUAAUCAUUUAGUAACUCCCAUGCACAAUUAUUUCCACCAUCCAGAAAAAGGGGGCUGAAUAUGAAUUUUGAAGUUAUUCUUUGUUUAUGAAGUUUACAUGCAAGGUUGGGAGUUAUGUGACUUUUUGUGUACUACAUACAUUCAUGCAUAAUUAAGGCUUUAAACUUCAUGGAUGGGUUGACUAUUCAUAUACCUAGAAUAGUCUAUAAAUAGUUGCUCAUUUUGUAAUUUGAAUAUUGAUGAAUCAAAAUACAUUUUGUGAGAUUUUCUCUUGAGUUCUUAAGAACAUGCAAACUGAACUUAUCAAGGCUUUUGCCUUGUGGCAUUCUUCUUUCAUUUCUUAUACCUUCGGUUCUUGCUUCUUUAUAAAUAAUGGGUCGGGCUUUGUUCAAAACUAAUUCUUUUUUUCAACGGGCUACGUUCCAAUAACGUUGGUUCUUUUCUCGUACAAGUUAUUGUUUCAAGAUCCCUAUCUUAUUUCUUUAGUUAUCAAGUACCUGUAUAGAAACGGUUGGGCAUUCAAAAGACUUGUAAUUCUAAAUUGAUUACGAGCUCACAUUAGUAAACCUAUCUUCUCUAUUAAUGUAGUACAAAUAUAUGAAUAAGUUGAACGAUGGCCAACCAAUGCAUAAACAAAUUAGUCAAAUAAGGAAAGUAUACCCUAAUGACAUAAGCACAAUCUAGAGCUCAAGACUCAGGUUUAGAUGUAGCCUCCUUAUUAAUCCUUUGACUACCACUUAUCUUACCACUAACUCCAAACUUCUUACCCCUCUAAGUUGUAGAACUAGGUUUUGCAAACUGAACAGUAGUGCCCUCGAUCCUCUUUGGACAAUCUUUAUACUAGUUGUCUUGGGACCCACAUUGGAAGCAUGCCCCAAAAACCUUCAAACAAACUCCGAUGUGAUUCUUGUCAUAGAGCUCACAUGAUGGAAUUGAUGCUUUUCUCGAUCCACCAGUAUUAGCUAUCAAAAUAGUUUAUUGGUUUUGUCUACCUUGUUUCUUGCCUCUAUCCCAUAAGAUCAUGUAGGAGAAAAGAAGUGGUCUCGUGAUUCUCUAUCUCUCUUGGUUGAUAAUGGUGAAAAUAAACAAAGGUGAAGCCAGGGGUUGGCAGUAGCCUUGGCUUCCUUAAAAAUGAAAAAAAAAUCAAUUUAGUUCCUUUAAAAUUAUUAAAAUUACAAGUUCGUCUAUUAUAAAAUUAUACUUUGACCCCAAAAAAUAUGAAAAAAAAAUUAUGUUUAGUCCCUUUAAAAGUAAUGGAAUUAUAUAUUAAUAUAUGAUAAAAUUACAUUUUGAUCUUUCAAGUAUUUUAUAAUUCAAUUCGGCCCUUAAAAAAAAUUUUAGCUUCACCUCCUGCAAUGAACUCAUAGUUAUUCUCUUUCCAUGGUUUUUUUUAUUCACCUUUUUCUUCUUAGCAACCAUUUUCUCCAUUUUCUAAGCUCUUCCCGAUAAUAACAAAAACUCACUUAUCUUAAGAGCCCCUACAAGUAGCUUGAUGUCUUCAUUAAGGCAUCACUUGACCCUUGUACACAUUUCUACCUCAGUUGCUACAAGCUUAUUUUCAUAAUUACAUAAUUAACUAGAUUAUACAAGGUAGCUCAUUAAGGCCCACUCAAACCUUAUACUCAUUUCCUUGAUGUCUCCAUUUUUUAACCUUGUACACAUUAAGGCCCCACUCAAACCUUGUACACAUGUCUUUAGACAAAUGAACUCACUUUUUCAUACUCAACCACUAUCAUAAUGUCUUGCUUCAAAUAAAGAGACUCUCUCUUCUUCUCUUCCAAGUAUAAUAGAUUAAUGUACUUCUUCCAGUAUUCAAUUAGAAAGAAGUUCUAGUUUACCCUCUUUAUUAGAGUUACACUUAUCACUGUAACUUACCAUUGAUUUGCCUUAUUAUUCAAAAAACAGAUGGCACACCACAACUUUUCUUCGGAUGUGCAUUAGAGUUCCUCAAAAACUUUUUAGACAUGUUUUAGUCAAUAUUCUACCACAAACAAAUCAUUAAUUUUCUUGCCCCUGAGCUCUUCAACCCCAUACUUUCCAAGCUUCUCUAAAGAAAAAAACAUGUGAAAAUCAUCCAAGUACAUGAAUAAACACACAUUCAAGCUCAUAAUUUAUAAUGGUAAAUCAAUGAACCAAUUAGUUAUAGUGCAUGCAUGCAUCUCAAAGAUUUAACCAUUCAACCAUGGCAGUAAGGACAACUAAAAAAUAAUCUUUAAAUUAUGUCCUCCAACAAAACAUUAAUAACAUCCAACUUCAAGGUCCCCAAGUAAUAUGCAACUAAUAAUAUAUAUACAAUAUGAAUUAAACCUUAAGUACAUGCCAUUAAAAAGCCACUUCUACAUGUAUGUAAGUUUUACACUCUUCAAUACCUUAGGAUAGUGAUAUGAUCCAAAGAGUUGAGUUGGCUUUACGAUCUCUACUCAAAAUCUAUACAUAAUAAUAUAGUGGUGCGUUAUGUAUAAAUGAUUUAGUAAAAACUUAUGGAAAUGAACCUUCUUACCAUGUGUGAGACUUGAGUAAUGGAAGUAAAUUAAUUAAUACAAUAUUAAUAAGUGUAAUAAGUGAUACAAUUAGUCAAGCAUACUUAUUCAUAUGCGCGCGCGCACACACACACAUCAGAGUUCUAAUCAUACUGAAAUAUCCUUGGAAUAAUUAGAGUUCAAUUGGGAGAAGCAGUCCUACUUGAAAUAUAAAACGCAGCUUCCAAAUAGGAGAACACGCUGUGACAUGGCAUAUCACCUCGUCAAGAUGUCCUCUAUGCUUUGUCGUUUCAACAUUGUCGCAUUGUCUCGAUGCCCUGAUACUCCUCGUCGUGACGUUAGACCUAUUUUAGGCUUUCUUCGGUUACUCGUCAAAACAUCUUUCAAAGUACCUUCAAAACAUUUGAUAAAUGCAAUGUACAUCCCACAAAUCUCUAUAUUGACUUGUAUUUAUCACGCCUCCUUUUCCAUGCCCAGUCACGGGCCUAACUUAAAUUUUGUAAGAUACCAAACAAGCUCAACCAGUCUCGAACUUGUAAAUUGAAAGACUCAUAGUCUUUAAAUCAAAGUUGUAUGAUACAAUAAGGGCCAAUAAUACCUGAAUAAAAGAAAAAAAACAUCAACUCUCUUCACUUGACUAUAACCCUUUUCGAGCAACCUUGCCUCAAACAUUCAGUGAACCAUUCAAGUUUUAAAGACCAAAAAGAGAUUAGAUUCUUCUCUAAAGUAGGAACAUGUCUGACAUCUGAUACAACUCCACCUUCAACCAGAUUAUGUGGAGGGUAACGAAUCAUCACCCUUGUCCUUAGUCAUAUUAGCUGUCUCCGUAAUUAUAUGGAACUGCCAUAAACUAAAAUUUGUGAUCCGUUGAACUUCUCGAUAUCCAAGAUCAUUAUUGCAUCAGCGAACGAGUUAAUCUGUAGAAGUUGAACCUUGGUUCUGAUACCAAUUUGUUGGGGAUCGACCCAUAUAAACAACGAGCUAGUAAAUGUAAAAAAGAUCGAACACAAAUAUUUUACAUGGAAAACCCUCCGAAGAGGAUAAAAAACCCAUGAGUAAAGGAGGCUUCAGCUUUUCACUAAAUUAGUAAAAAACAAGAGUACAAUAUGAAGAAAAUAAACCUAAAAGUAUUAAACGUACAAUCCCAAACCUCAAAAACAAAGUCCUAACUCGAGAACAAAUUUCUCUCCAUAGUUACCAUGAAACUCUCACAAAAACUCAUAUGUGACUACAUCUUGUUGCCCUCGAGAAAAACCCUUGUUGAUUGGUAUCUCAAAACAUGGAUACAAUAGCCCUCUUAAAUAGGCUAAGAUUAGAGUUCUAAUCAUACUAAAAUAUCCAUGGAAUAAUUAGAGUCUAACUAAGAGAAGCAAUCUUGCUUGAAGUCUAAAACGCGUCUGCCAAAUAAGAGAAAACAUCGUGAUGUGGCAUAUCGCCUCGUCGCGACACCAUCUUUGCUUUGUCGUUUCAACGUUGUCACGUCGUUCCGACAUCCCAGUGCUCCUCGUCGUGACGUCGAGCCUAUUUUGCACCUUCUUUGAUUGCUCAUCAAAACGUCUUUCUAAGUGCCUGAAAAAAAUUUGAUAAAUGCGAGGCACACCCCACAGUUUCUUAUAGGCUUUCACUACAAGUAAGAGGAAAAUCCACUUUUUUAACUAGGAUACUAUGUUUAAGCUGAAGGAGAUAUGGGAUUUAGAUCUAUGUGUGACUAGAAUUUAACUCUUUGCGCAAAACUUGGAUGGAGAUUAUUGACUAAAAAAGAUAAAUUAUAGGCCAAGUAUUAUAUGGUAAAUACCUUAACAAUACCAACUUACUCGAUGCUCCAAGAAAUGGUGGUAGUGAACACGGUUAGAGAAGUAUCCUUGCAGGAAAAUAUAUCGUUGAUAAAGGGUUAUGUUGGAGGGUGGGUGAUGUAAGUCUAAUUAGAUUACAAACUAACAAGUGGGUGCCUGAUAGAAAUAUAGUUCAUAAAUGCAUCCAAAAUCCUUCACAGAAGUAGUUGCAAUUGUUCAUUAAGGAGUAUAGGGAGCAGGAGGUUGAAACUAUAAGGCUUUAUCACAUUUUUUCUAGAGGAAAUAUUUAGAAAAAAGAACAUGGUAUUUCCUUUCUUGAUGAAUUACCGAGCUAAUGAUGAAUUUAUUUGGGGGAAAACUUUUAAUGGCAUCUUUUUAAUUAAGUCAGCUUAUGAGAUUCAAGUGAAUAGAAAAAGAUUCGCUUAGCUUAAUGGCAAAACUAAUAUAGAAAGUUCUUUAACAUUCGAAGAUCCAAUCAUCUCUUUGGUUAACUUGGAAAAGUAGAAUUAUGAGGAAUUCAAAUAGAAAGAUAAGGUAACUUAUCAUGAUUGAUUCGAGCGAAAAUAUUCGGUGAUCUAUUUUUUCCUUAAAUUAUGGAACAUUAAUUAUAUUAUGCUUAAUUUGAGUAGCAUUGAUGGCAUAGAUUGAAGUCCAUAAUUUUUAUAUACUUAUGUUGAAGUUUCAUCAAUCAUAAUGCACAAUUGUUAUGUGUGGAUCUCUAAUUUCAUUAUAGAUUUUUAUUAUGUGUCAAUUUUAGUUUAAAGUAUUUCGAUUCUUAAUAUGUUUAUAUUGAUUUAAUAAUGCUUUAUAGCUGUUUAAAUAUAAAUUAUUAUUAAUAUAUUUAUAAACUCUAAAAUUAGUUUAUAAAAAAACAAAGCUGAAUUUGGGAAAUAAAAAUACAAGAUAAAUUUCAUUUUGAGGAUGGUACAACUUUUGCUUUAUUACAUUAUUUUUGUUAGAUUAGUUGUCUUUAUUUUGGGCAUAAUUUAUUUGCUUUUUUUUUUUUUUUAAAUUAUAAACCCAAUAAUUGUCGGAUCAAUCAUAGAAAUUCACCAUGGAUUUCAAUUCAAUUCACUGCAAGUAAACAAUCCAAUUAUUAAUUAAUAAAAAGAAGCCUAAUCACUUUAACAUAAUCCACUCCAAUCAUAGGAAUUAACUUCUUGUUGAGCCAUUGGUUGAUUAAUAAUAAUAAUAAACCGAGUAGACCAAAAUGACAUGACAAUAUACAAUAAUUUUUUGGAUGAUGAGUAAAACUAUCGGAAAAGCUUCUUUUCUUUUCUUUUCUUUUUUCUUUUUUUUUUAUAUAUCUAUAUUUCGAAACAUUGAAACGUUAAAUUAAUGGUGAAAAUUAUUUUUUAUGGAUAAAUUAUAAAAAUAUUACUCCAUUAUACAUUUUGUUUUAUUUUGGUCACGUACUUUGAGCUGAUGUCGGCUUUUUUCUUAUUAGUCUAGUAACAAAUUUAACCCUCUAAUGUUUACAUAUUCCAUUAAAUUGGUCCUAAAUAUAAAAAUUUCAAUAAAUUUAGCCCUCAAUGUUUAUAAAUUUUUCCAUUUUAGUCGUAAUUCUAAAAAAUUUCAAUAAAUUUGGCCUUAGUAUUUACAAUUUUUUUCAAUUUAGUCCUGUCUUACAAUUUUUUUCAAUUUAGUCCUAUCUCUAAAAAUUUUAAAAAUAUUUAAUUUUUUUUUCUUUUUUAGCUCUGCAUAAUCGAACUCACCCAUGAAAGAUAUUAAAAUAAGAAAAUAAAAUCCCCUCUUUCAAGCCAUUUGCAACAAUUUCUUAUACUAUAAUUUACGCUUCAUAUCAGACCAAAUCAAUUGAUUUGGAACCUAUCUAGAAUAAUCGGUUGCAUUACUACUCGAACAUAUAACGUUUUUAAUGCCAUUGAUUUUUUGUCAGAUCUUAAAUUUUUGUGUUUUGUCCCAACUUUUUAGAGUUAUUUUGCAAGUGACUUGAAAGAGGGUACAUUUUUUCUUAUUUUAAUAUCUCACAUGGGUUAGUCAAUAGAUUAUAAAGGGCUAAAAAUGAUUUUUUUUAAAAAGUCUUUUUUAAUUUUUAGAGUUAGGACUAAAUUGACAGAUUUUGUAAAUGUUAAUGGCCAAAAAUGUUGAAUUUUUAAAAAAAUUAGAACUAAAAUGAUAAAUUUUAUAAAUAUUGAGGGUUAAAUUUGUUGAAUUUUGUAUAUUCAAGAUCAAAUUGAUAGAAUGUGUAAAUAUUAGAAUGCUAAAUUUGUUAUUAGACUAAUAAAAAAGAAAGCUCACAUCAGCCCAAUGUAACUAAAAUAUUUAAUUUCAAAAAGUUUAAUGACUAAAUAAAAUAAUUAAUAGUUAGGUGACCAAAAUAGAAUAAAAUGUAUAAUUGGGUGACUACUUUAACAAUUCACCCAUAGAAAAUUAAUUUCCCGUAUAGAUUUAACAUUCCAGAUCCAUUACAAAAUACUCAAUUUUUUGGUAGAAGGGUGGAAAUGGAAUCCAGUCGUAAAUACAAGAAGUACGAGUCAUCAUCCAUGGCGUAUCAAUAAUGAAAAAAACAAAAUGAGAAAUAGUUAAAAACUUAAGAAAAAUGUAGAAAUUGGUGGUAUAGGGAUGGGAUGGCAGUGAAUCAUGUGUUCCUAAUCUGUGUAAAAUUUGAGUUUAUUUAUUAUUACUCAUAUUACAUUAAAUUAAAAAGUAUAUAUAAGAGGCGAUCGAAACUUGUCAUCCAUAAAAAUAAAAAAGAUUCAUAAUAAUUAAAAAUAUUUGAAUAUCACAAAUGUCCGAAUUCACCUUAUCUAUCCUCAUUCUUAGUUGUGUAAGAAGAAAUAUGAUCUUGAAUGAAAAAAUGUUACUUUUUUGACCAUCGGAGCCAACGCAAUUUCCGAGAGUCAUUUCCAAAAACAGGAGGGGUGAUGAUGAGUCAGCAAUGGAAGUGGAUAAAGCCCCGUUAGUGAUGGGACGAAACCAAGUAAGAACACGUGGCGUGAUGGGAGAGGUGGGCCCGAGGAAGCGACGAAACAUCGCCGUUUGAAAGGUGCCCCAGACAUUUUGCAACUAUAAAUAGGUUGUGAUGGAUAUUUGAAAGCACAACAACGUGUUUGCCUUCCCCCUUUUACACUCCCCCUCUCUUUCCUCUCUUCUCUUUCCUUCCCCCUUCAGAUAUCUUCCUUUUCAUCUUCUUCCUCUUUCUUUUUCUUCAAAUACUGCCCUCUAUUUUUCUCUACUUCUUGUUAAAAAGAAAUGUGUUUUGGGAGUGUUUAAUUAUUGAAACAAAAUGUGUGGGAUUUUAGCUGUUUUGGGUUGUUCUGAUGAUUCUCAGGCAAAAAGGGUUCGAGUGCUGGAACUUUCCCGCAGGCAAUUCAUCUUUCUUUUUUCUUUUUUGCUAAUUUUGAUGCUUGUGUCUUUAAAAUGGUUGCAUAACAUUUCCCCAAUAGGUUUAGACAAUGGCAAAAUUGUUUUUAUGGUUUGUUGCUGUCAAAGAUCAGCGAAAUAAAAAAAAAGACAGGGUUAUGGUGAAAUUUAACAACCUUAAAACUUGGUCUUGAAUUCUUCAUCAUCUUUAAGCUAUGUCGGGUGUUUUGAAGCAGAGAUACUCUGCAACUUGGAAACGAUAUAAAGGGACAUAAGCAAAAAAAAGUGGCAGUGUCCAUGUUUCAAUAUGCUAGUUCAAGCAGCUCAUGAACAUAAAAGACUAAUAAAUUGAAUUGAAUUUAUUGGUUAAUGAGUAGUGAUUGUCCACGUUGAUGAUGGUUUACCAACAGGCUGAAGCACCGUGGUCCUGACUGGAGUGGCCUCUACCAACAUGGAGACUGUUAUUUGGCCCAUCAACGCCUUGCCAUCAUUGAUCCUGCUUCUGGUGACCAACCUCUCUUUAAUGAAGACAAGUCUGUUGUUGUCACUGUAAGCCUCUUUCUCUUUGCUUCUUUUUAUUUAAUGUUUCUCCGGUUCCACCCUAUAUGGCCACUCAUUUAACUUUUUCAACACUUGAGGACUGCCUAAUUGAUCAAAUCUGUGCUGAAAACUAGGUGAAUGGAGAGAUUUACAACCAUGAAGAACUGAGGAAGAAGUUGGCCAACCACAAGUUCAGGACUGGCAGUGACUGUGAUGUUAUUGCCCAUCUGGUCAGUCACCAUGGAUAGAGCUAAAUUUUUUGGUCUCAAGUUUCUAUUUUGUUUUGUGAAUGAUUGCCUAAUAAGUACUUGACCUAUAUAAUAGUAUGAGCAGUAUGGUGAAGACUUUGUGGAUAUGUUGGAUGGAAUCUUCUCAUUUGUGCUGCUGGAUACCCGUGACAACAGCUUCAUCGUUGCACGCGAUGCUAUCGGUGUCACCUCCCUCUAUAUUGGUUGGGGACUUGAUGGUAGUAAAUCUAGGUUUUUUUUUUCUCCGUUGCAAGUAAUUUGGGUUGAAACUGGUUUUUGCUAAUUUAAUUCUACUUCUUAUAACCAGGUUCGGUUUGGAUAUCAUCGGAAUUGAAAGGGUUGAAUGAUGACUGUGAACACUUUGAAAGCUUUCCCCCUGGCCACUUGUACUCUAGCAAAUCAGGAGGAUUUAGAAGGUGGUACAAUCCACCUUGGUUCUCUGAGGCCAUUCCAUCGGUUCCAUAUGAUCCCCUAAUACUUAGACGUGCCUUUGAAAAUGUAAAACUGAUUACUUGCCGCCCAAGAAGCACUUUAUGCUUUUGGACUAAAGAAAUAAAUAUAUUUUUUUAUGUAGUUUUGGCUUACGGGUUGUAUCCAAUAUGUUCACAGGCGGUGACCAAAAGACUGAUGACUGAUGUGCCUUUCGGAGUUUUGCUAUCUGGAGGACUUGAUUCAUCAUUGGUUGCUUCUAUCACUGCUCGGUAUUUGGCUGGUACCAAGGCUGCCAAACAUUGGGGAGCUCAGCUCCAUUCUUUCUGCGUUGGCCUAGAGGUAAGUUGUAAAGUAUACGAUGAACCAUUAAAGCUCUAGAGGAUUUAAAUGAUUCUUAAAACUUGAUUGUCAAUUUCUCUGCAGGGUUCACCAGAUUUGAAGGCAGCCAGGGAGGUUGCAGACUAUCUGGGAACUGUCCAUCAUGAAUUUCAUUUUACUGUUCAAGUAUUGAGUCGACAUUUUUGUAGCAUUUUCUAUUCAAGAAUUUAGGGUCUAAUAAACUUGUAACAAGCUAGACUGCUCUCUAAUGUGGCAGGAUGGAAUCGAUGCCAUUGAAGAUGUCAUCUACCACAUCGAAACAUAUGAUGUCACCACGAUCAGGGCAAGCACUCCUAUGUUCCUGAUGUCAAGAAAGAUCAAGUCACUAGGUGUGAAGAUGGUUAUUUCUGGUGAAGGCUCCGAUGAGAUAUUUGGUGGAUACCUGUACUUCCACAAGGCACCAAAUAAGGAUGAAUUCCACCGGGAGACAUGCCGCAAGGUAAUAGAUCAUCUUAUUCAGCACUUCACUUAUGAGUAGGGGAGUUGGAACAUAAUAUAUAACGAAAACUGGUCUGUUUUGAUACCUUUUUAUGCAGAUCAAGGCCCUUCACCAAUAUGAUUGCCUGAGAGCUAACAAAGCAACAUCCGCAUGGGGAUUAGAGGCACAAGUCCCCUUCUUAGACAAAGAAUUUAUCAAUGUUGCCAUGUCUAUAGACCCUGAAGCGAAGAUGGUAUGUAAACAAGCAUCUUUUUUCUUAUUGUUCCUGGAAUUGCUUGGUUUAUUCAUUCAUGGUUGAGAUUUACAGACUUAUGACAAAUAGUUCUUUGUUUAUGAAUCAGAUAAAAAAUGAUGAAGGACGCAUCGAGAAGUGGGUUCUAAGAAGGGCAUUUGAUGAGGAAGAACAUCCCUAUCUGCCAAAGGUCUUCUAAUUUCAUUUCUUGUCUUUCAUAUUUGUCAACUAUGAAGCCAAACUAACAUGUCCUAUAUGAUGCCCUGCAGCAUAUCCUCUACAGACAAAAAGAACAGUUCAGUGAUGGUGUUGGUUAUAGUUGGAUCGAUGGUCUCAAAGCCCAUACUGCCCGACAUGUAAAUAUCUUUCUUAAGUGGGUUCUGUUAUAUGCGUUUGCUUAGUUUAUUGUUCAUAAUUUAACAAUUACAAUCUUUCAGGUGACCGAUAAGAUGAUGUCCAAUGCUUCUUUCAUAUUUCCUCACAACACACCAACUACAAAAGAAGCAUAUUACUACAGAAUGAUUUUCGAGAGGUUCUUCCCUCAGGUGAUUUUCUGAAUCUCGUAGUUUGAAUACGUUUACACUUCUAACUUUUUGUCAACAGCAUUAAUUGCUAAAGUGAUCAUCUUCCUUUGCUUGGUUUAACAGAACUCAGCUAGAUUGACUGUUCCUGGAGGAGCAAGUGUGGCAUGCAGCACUGCUAAAGCUGUUGAGUGGGACGCUGCCUGGAAAAACAACCUUGACCCUUCGGGCCGGGCUGCCUUGGGGGUUCAUCUCUCAGCUUAUGACGCAGAGACUCACCUCAGCAACAAGCCAUCCAAGGUUAUUGAUAGUAUACCACGGAUGAUGGACUUUCCUGGAGUUGCCAUACAGAGUUAAUGCCUACCUACUGGAAGACAACAGAAUGUAUGAAUUAUUUAAUAAAAUGUGUUGGUGUAUAAUAUAGGCGAUGUUUACGAGAACUAAGAGAUGCCGUGAUCGUCGGAUCAUCUUUGGUUGUCAUCAACCUGUUGUUUCUUUAAGCUAAGUGUGCAAUCAAUAUUUUGUAGUGGAAGUUAAUUAUGAAUGAGAAUCUUCCCUUUUUUUGGUUUAAUGUGCAAAAAGCUUCAGUUCUUCCACUUUACAAAAAUCUUGCCGUCAAAAGGACUGUAAUGUUAGAUAACUUGGAACUAAGCAAUAAUUUGAGUUGAAACAUGUUGUCUUCUAGUUUAAUCGAGCGUUGAAUCAGUCUAAAUCUUGAAGAUAAUAUCAUAUUUGACUUGAAAGAACUAUAUAAUUAUAUCAUUUAUUAAGACACAAUAUUAAUACAGUAAAGUGCAGUUUAUGCACCCCUCUGCAAACCUAUAAUCAAAAUUAGUAACUAAUUAUAAAAUGAAUUAAAAGCACAUACAACUUAAUAGAACAAGACAGUAUAAAAGAGUUGAUUCUAAGUAUCAGGCAAUCCAAGGAGGCACCAAUGGCUACAAUCAGCUGUGUGGUCUGGGUUAGCCCUCUGAGCAGGGCUUAAGUCACCACUGUAAAUUGAAGGGUGCCCAUCUUUCCUAAGCUCAAACAGCAUGGUUAUGUCCAACAAAUAUGUAGGGAUGUGCAUUUCUCUAAUGACUUCAUCCACCACUCUCAUCUGAUUAGGGUAUGUGCCAGGAUACGUAGUUCUGGUCAUCGGUGUUGUUUCUCCGUAACUGUUUUUCAUUGUCGUCGCAGGUUGCUCUGGUACCCUCGUUCACUUGGACUAUGAAAGCCAUUUCAUGAAGCUCAUUAUAUCCAUGUGAAAAAUCGAAAAAUUUGGACACUCAUGCAUACUGUGCUUAGAGAAACUGGUCCACCAAAAAAUAGCAGUCAGGCAAUGUAUGGUCUCUGUCGAGCAUUUUGCAGACUUUUUUGUUACUUUAUAGUGAAAUUUCUAAGCAAUUUACAAAGAAAGGGUGAUUUCCCACCGACACAAAAAGUGGUUAAAAGAGAUACUUUGGCUGCUCACCGUUUCACAAGGUUACACGAUUGUAAAGAAAAAGCAGUAAAAAUGAACUAAACCCUUUUAAUUAAUUAGAAGUAAUUUGACUAUCUCAUGAAACAUGGGAAGAUGAGGGGAGAACAUAGCAUCAACCAUCUAAGCAGACAAAAACGAAAUUCAUCUAAGCUCAGACUGGACCGAAUUUCUAGUGCUUGGUGUCCAAUUAUUGGUUUUUUUUCUGCAACACAACUAUAAUCAUCGAUCAAAGCAUAGAGUCCACUACACAUUCUAAUUAAUUUCCAUGCAAUUGUUUAAGAGAGAGAGAGAGAGAGAGUUACUCGUAAUGUGUGGGUGAAGUAGACUGGAAAAGAAAUUCGGUUCUAUUUCUAUCGACAUUGGUGUCCACCCAAUUCGACCAUGUUCUCAACCCUUUCUCCAUUGCAACCAAACGAUCCAUGUCCCUGUAAUAUUUCCCCCCUGACUCAAUCAAAUCUCACCUGUCCAGUUUCACCUCAAACUAUUCAAUUAACCAAAGCACAUUUUCCAGUAACAUAAAAAAAUGGUUGUAGUUUUUUGUCUUUUUGGCCUACCCCUGGAGAGAUCCUUCAUGAGUCCAUCAAUGGCCUGUGUUAAAUACCAGCACGUCUGCCAUUCUCCAGGCGUUUCCAUUUUCAUAUAUUCCCUCUAACUUGUGAACUCUCGUCCCUUGUACCACGUCCAUAUCCACCAAAUAUGGAGCCCUGUAAAAUGAUAUGGAUAAAUCACAUUCCUGCAUUUUAUCAUCUAACAAUGAUUCAAUCAGUAAAGGUAUACUUAAAAUUCGAAAGAUUGCUAUUUGUCAACACGAAUUUGUUCAAUUGGACCCUGGUAACUUUUUGGGCAACAUAAUGCUCACUUUGGGUCCUUCAGGCUCAAAAAUGGAUGUCAUCUCUUCACCAUAUCCCUAAACCUUCAUUUUUUUUGGUUAAAAUAUAGAACAGAGUGCUUGAAAUGGCUCUUUGAACAUGAAUUGUGAGAACAAAUGAUUGUAUUUUAAAGAGUUAAGAAAUAAAGGACAAAAGAGGUUUUUUUUUCAUAAGACUCGCAAUAAACCUGAAGGUGGAGAGAGGGUCUCCUGUGAUCAUCUUUGUCUGCAUUCUGGGUGCUGAAGCUGAAAUCAUACAAAUCAAAGAGUCCCAUUGAUUCCUUCCAAGAGAAUCACCAACAAACAUCAUGUUUCUCCCUCUCAUUUCGAUAAAAACACAAGUCCAUCGAACCUGACGAAUAUCAUCCCCCAAUGUAAAAGUAAAACAAAUAACAAUGCACUUUACAUAAAAAAAAAAAAAAAGUACUUCAAAAUUUCCUUGGAAGCACACAAUUGAGAGGCGGCCAUCGAUAUUUGAGGUAAUCAGAAUCAGGUCUUCCAUACAGUUGGCAGUUGAAUUCUGCAUCUAUGAUUGGACAGUUGGAAUAUUGGUACAAUGGGUAACUAUCAUCACGAACCCAAGUGCCUAGAAACAAUACACAAGUACUUUGGUUCGUUUGGAACAUUGGCCUUCAAUGUUGAGGGUGGCCAGGAUGGUUCUUCAAGCUCAUUAUCAAAGCAGAGAAACCAGUUUGAAACUGAAACAACAAGGCUACAAAAAGAAAGGGUAGACAUGACAUGAAGGAGAUUGAUCGGAAGAAAGAAGGGUCAUUUUGCAGAGAAAUGAUAGUAAAGUUAAAAAGCCAGAAGAAGAAAAGAGAGGGGGCAAAUUAAAAAACAAUAGCAUAUAAAAAGAAAGUGGGGUUUACCAAUUCCUGGUGAAGGUUCUUAUAAAAGAUGAUGAGGGGAAAGUUUGGUUUUGGUGUGUCGCGAAGUUAAGCUGAAAUGGGUUUCACUUCACGGGAGCUUAAAUGGUAGUGGUGGACGUCAAUUUAGACCCUUUUGAACCAAGUCUUGUUGGGGGAAUAGGGACGCUUACUUGUCUACAACUUUAUCUCCUUCCAUGUAUUUCCAAAUUCACAGAAAAGGAAAUGGUGCUACUGCAACUGCAUGAAGAAAAGUCUAAACAAGGGAAUAAUGUAGGGGAAUGGGGCCGAAAAUGGCAAUGACCUCACCAUCAUGUAUUUAGAUUCAGUGAGAAACCAAACAAAUACUCUCAAACAUGGGCUUUGGUAGGCGCCACAAUCUUGGAUUCUGUUUAUUGUUUAUAGAAUAGAAAGAGAAAGAAUACUUGCUACCAAAACCAUGAACAAAAGCAAAGAUUUUUUUUUUUUCCUUUUCUACUUUAUAUCAAAGAAGGGCAAAUCGAAAAAGCUAAAUGUUCUUUGCUUUCCUUCAUCCGCAUGCAUAGAACGAUAAUGCAUCUUUCAUCAGUUCAAACCCUUUUUUUUCUUUUGUCAUAAUAUAAAAUGAAUCUGAGGCUACUAUUGUUAUUAUACUUUUCGUCCUUUUUGUCAGCUUUGUGUCCAUCAAGAUUCGUGGGGCGAGUUUCAUAGUGUGAUUCUAUAAAAACUUUACUGUCAUCAGUUUUUUGAACAACUAUUUUGAGCUUCAAAAUUAUAAAGUCAAAGUUCAUUGAUGAUUAUAUUAUUAAUUUAUCUGACAUGAAGUUUAUACUUCAAUAUUUUUGUUUAUAAUUUCAUUCCCUCCUCCCAAUUCCCAUGUAUUUUUUUAAUAUUUUUCAUGACCAUAAAAUAUGAAACUUCAAAUUUAAUCCAAUUCGUUUGUGCAUCUAAUUUUUUAUAGGUAAAAGACAAGAUGGACAAUAACGAGUGAUGAGUGAGUCCCAAGAAAAAAGAAGAGACAGCCCAAGGUUAUUCACUUAAUAUAUUACAACUUGGGACAAUUUCCUACUAAACAUAGCUGUUAGAAAGGGUCCAGACACUACAGUGGGUUGCUUACGGUGAAAACAAACAUUAAUCAUCAACAUAAAUAGAUGAGAAAAUUGGUUGUGGAGUGGUAGUGGGGGAUUUCGAUCUUGUAACUUGCAACAAAAGUUAUGGAACUUGACAGAUUUCAUUUGUUGGAUACAAGGGAGGUUCUUUUUUUUUUUUUUGGGUAGACAUAAAAAAAACGUAAAUAUAACUAAAAAUUAGUGCCACCAUUUAAAUAUUUUGGAGAUUGCCACUUUCCGCGCAAAAUAAUGGAGUUUCCGAUAGAGUGGAUGUUGAAUUCUUUGUUCCAAUAUGCGAAUACCUUGUUGGAGUGUCUUGAAUGUUCGUUCGUAUAGGUUCCAUCUUCCAAUGUACUUGGAUUUGGCACUGGAAAUUUUUCCUCCAUUUUUUACUCCGGUGAUAUAGUUGAUAGGUUGUAAUGAGGAGUUGUCUGAGUUUCAUUAGUGUUUCUCUGACAAGGAUAAGUUUACUAUGUAGUUUGGAAGGCCCCGUGUAGGAUGUGAUUAAUAGUGGCGGCGAAGGGGGGGGGGUUAUCCUACGAUUGCCGCUAGUGCUCCAAAUGAGGAUGUACUCCUGUUGUGAGUGAAGGCUAUAGCAAUAUAGAAUGGUGACCGUUCUUGUCGGGGAUGUGGUUGUCAACUUGGUGCCGCUUUCUAGUAGUUGCAUACUUGCAUUGGUUGUCCUUGAAUGUCUGUGGUUUGGUCCCUGGGUGUGUCUUCACACAACAGUAUUUGAAUCUUGAUAGCUUUGAUGGCAUGUUUGGACGUUCCUGAUGAUUGAUAUUAAGUUGGGAAGUUGUUUCUUAAAACGUACUUCAUAGUUGUUUCUUAAAACGUACUUCAUUUCUGUUUCCAAAUAUGCCACAAAACUAAGACCCAACCAUUGUAGGUGGAUUUUUGGUUGAGGUCAGAUCUAUUGUAUUCAUUAACCCACUAGCUUACCCGUUCCCUAAUAUUUGAGAUUUCGUGUGUGUUCCAUUUAUAUUCAUCAUGAAUAGGUAAUCUAGUGAUUCGUCGUAUUCUUCACAUAAUGAGAAAGUGAGAUUCUGUAAUUAUGCUAUGGUCGCUAAGAGCCUUGUACAAGGAAGUCCAUUGAUCAAUGAGCUGAAUAGAGUGGUUUUUUCUUUAAAUAUAAUAAAGGCUCCAUUUAGUUUUAGGACACAAAGGUUAUUUAGCUUUUUAUUUUGUUAGGAAAAUAGAAAACAUUGAAGAAAACAUGUUUUGUUAAAAACUUUAAAAAUAAUUUUUGGAAAUUAAAAAUAAAAAUACGUGAAAAAUAAAAAAAAUAUUUUCGUUGUUUUUCACUAAAAAUAUUUUGUAAAACUAAAAAUGAUAAAAAAAAAAGAAUUUCUAGCUUUAAAUCAAUAAGCCCUGAUUCAAAUAAAAAAUACAAAUAGUUUUUCAAAUAUUAUAUUUGUAUCUUGAUACGAACCUAUAUAAAUGUAGAAUUUUUUUAUUUUAUUUCUAAUAUUACUAUUAUUAAAAAAAAUAAAUACCAAACAUAUUUUUAUAUUUUUAUUAUUGAAACAAUUUUUUAUUUUAUUUAUUUGUGUUUUUCAAUUUUCAAAAAAUAGAAAAUGAAAAUCAUUCUAUGAAAAUAGAAAAUAUUUUUAGAAACCAAGCAAAACCUAUCUCUUUCUACAAAAUAGCAAUUUGGUAUGUAAGCUUACAACCAAUGAAAGGAAACUACAAUGUUUCUGGUACAUAAAUCCUAAACUACACGUAUCUAAAGAAAAAAGGAAUGAACAUUUGAUGAAAAUCAAAUCAUAUCAGACAAACACUUUAUCCUAAAGCAUUAUAACUAAGGGAAAAUGCCAAUAAAAAAACUUCAUGAAAACAAGCUAUGUUCUAUAGUUUCAACCACUAGAUGGAAACACCGUGAGUUGGUGUAUUGUUUUCGCUGACAAUGGUCAAGCUCUUCCCAAUGAAACAUGUGUAACUUCAUGAAUUUUGCGAAAAAAUAGAACUUUUGUUUACACUAUAAAUUGAAAAGUUAUAUUGUUGAUAUAAGAUUUGGUGGUGGAGAUUGGGCACGGUUCACACCGAAGUUCUAAGAGCCAUCUAACGUGGUUCAAGAGACCAAAGAUAGGGAUGGAAGGUUAUCUAGUCAAAUUUGGCAGUGUUAGGUAUAACAUUGUCUUGGAUAAGUGUCUUUGCCAAAUGGGUAAUUGAUAUGGUCCCUUGAACAAGUUUCAUGGAGAAGAAUAGGCAGAUGAGUCUUGACAGGCGACUUCUAUUUUGUAAGGUUGUAGAGAACUACAAAAAUAAGAACCUACUUGAAAAUAUAAAUUUAGUAGAUAUUAGCGAGUAGAGUCAUAUCUAUAGAGAUUGGUAAUAAUUCUAUUUCUUAAAUGAAAAAAAUACAAAUGAUGGGGGUUUAGAGAACUAAAUUCAAAUUUAAAUUUAAAAAUUACCAAAGAAACCAAUAAUUAAAAUCGAAGGAAAAUUCAAUGAGAUGAAUGUAACACCUGGUUACCAUCAUUGACCCGAAAUUAAGGAAAGAUAGGAUUAAAUUGAAAUGACUAGUAAAUUGUCAGACUCCAACAGGAAAUUCAAAAAUUUUAGUGGCUAAAUUGUGAAUAGUUGGAUUCCAAUUCCAUUUUAAUUAGAUUGGAAACGACUGGUUCCAUAGUGGGAGACAACAUGAUUAAGAAUGAAUUUGAAAUGGCUGGACCGUGCCUAAGGAGUAUAUAUAUAGAUGUGAGUGGAGACAAAAUUUUCUAAAUUUUGUUUACAAAUCUUUUUCUCUCCAUAGCAUCAUCUUCUUCAGUCGUUCUGAAUAAGAAGGGAAUUCAAUUGAAGUAAGCUUUGCAUGUCGCAACAGUAGCAUGAAUUGAAGUCUGGUAGUAGAGAAAACGAGAAAUUGCUGCCAGGACACAGGAGGCUCUAACUGUAACGACCCGAAAGUCAGUGGAGCCGAAAACUAUGGUUUCGAAAUACUAUUUUCCGAUGAUAGGAUCAGUGAAUAUUAUUUAUAAAUAUUUAUGAGGAUAUUACAGUAUUAUAUUAAAGUUUGGUCUAAUAAUUUUGGUUUUUUGGAAGUUAGAUAAGGUACAAAUGUAUCGGUCCUAAAGUCGAUGGUUUCAAAAAAAAUUGAGGUAUCGGGACCUCAUUAUCGUAAAUAAGACUCGUAAAUAUUUUAGUAAAUAUUUACGGAGUUAUUUUUUUUAAGAAACGAAUUAAAUUUUGUUGAAUUAGUGUGUGAUUUUAGUACAAUGACUAAAUUAAGUGAGUGAUAACAGUAGUAAUUAAUAUUAAAUUUUAAAAUGGGAUUAGAUUGAAGGACUUGUUCAAUAAAUAGACCAUUGUUUUUAUAGAUUUUGAUAGUGGAUGUUUAUGAGAUAUUGUAUAUUAUAUAUAUUAAUUAUAUAGUAACAAUUAGUAAAUGAUGUUAGAGAAAAUAAAAUAGAAAAUGAUGGAAUAAAUAAAAAAGAAAGAAACAAAAGGAAAGUGGAAAAUAGAAAGAAAGGCAAUUCUCUUUCUUCUUGCAUGCCGAAUUAUUGAAAGUUGGGGAAGACUUUCGGCCAUUUCUUUCUCAUUUUAGAAGCUCAACUGAUUGGUAUUCUUUUGUCCUUUUAGCAUAAAUUUGAUGUUUUUGGAACCUUAAGAUCUUGAAUUAAUUUACCCAUGUUAAAAUUUUUAAAUUUAGUGAAGUUUGUGGAAGUUGUCAUUGUAGGGAAUUUGAGUCCUUGGUGUUAUUAUGUUAGAUAUUAAGUUUGGUAGAUAAAUAGGAAUAAUUGCUAAAUAAUUUUUGAUGAUACUAAGGUUUAGGGAUUAAAUUAUGAGAAUGAUAAAUUCAAUGAUUAAAUUGUGAAUUAAUUUAAAGUAUAAGUUGUUUUGAGCCUUGUGGAAAAAUUUGUUGAAAUGGGAUUUUCUUGAUUUUAAUUAAAUAAUAUGAUUUAGAAUUGAGGAUUUAAUUGUAUUGAGAGUAAAUGUUGAGUGCAAAUAAGUAAAAAAAAUGUAAUUAAAUGGUAGAAUGGUUUGAAUUUGAACUUGAUAUGGUGUUUGAAUUAGUUAAUAAAUUAAUUUAUUAUGUUUUGAUCAUGAAACGAGUAGAUAGAUUGUAAAUCGAAGAAAAGUGAAGGUUGUGGAAUAAUCGUCUUCAGUUUUAGGUAAGUUCGUUAUCCCCAAACUCGAACUUUAUAAAUUGUUUUAAUUAACUUAGUUACUACUUGAUGUCUUUUUAUAUCCUUAAUGUAUUUGUUAAUUCAAUUAAAUGGAGGUUUAUGGAAUGUGGCAUUAUGGAGUAUGAUUAAUAGAUAAUUAGAGAGGAAGUGUUAUUAAAUUAUGAAAUGUGAUAUUGAGUUUUGAAAAUAAAAAAUAUUAACUUACAAAUGUGUAAUUGACAUCGUCAAUUCGUUCGACUAGCGUUGGGCGCAACUUUCAUCAGUUUAUCUGACUAGUGCUGGGCAAACAUUCGUCGAUUUAUUCGACUAGCGCUGGGCGUAAAUAUCGUUGGUUUAUCCAACUAGAGCUGGGCUCACUAAUUAUUUCGUUGUUUAUCUAACUAGCGCUAGGCGCAAAUAUCAUUGGUUUAUCCAACUAGAGCUAGGCUAACUAAUUAUUUCGUCCGUUUAUCUGACUAGCACUGGACGCAAAUAUCAUUGGUUUAUCGAACUAGAGCUAGGCUCACUAAUUAUUCGUCGGUUUAUCCGACUAGCGCUGGGCGCAACUUCCACCAUUUUAUCUGACUAGUGUUGGCCACACAUUUGUCUAUUUAUCCCACUAGCACUGGACGCAAACUCUUUCACGAAUUAUCCACUAGGCACUAGGUGUCGUGUAUUAAUUGGACUAUACAACAAGGUUUUAUGAAUCAUCUAAGAAGAAUGGUUAUAGGUAUUACUAAAGAAGAUUAUAUUACUUAUAUAAAUACAAUUAUUCAUUAGAAGAUAUGAUAUAUUUUUUAGUUAGAUUAUUAAUGUUGUGAAAUAAAUUAAAAUGCUUUAGAUGUACUUGUGGUUAUUCGAAUAAGUGAAGUUUACUUAAUGUGGAUUUUUUUGUGUCAUAAUAUAAGUAAAUUGUUGAUUGAUAUAUGAAAAGCUAUUUAUAUAACAAGUGAUGUGACUUGAGAUAUAUGUUCAAACCAACUAAAUGUGAAUACUUGUGAAAAUUGAGUAUAGCAUGAAAUAAUGUGAUAAAAUGCAUGAAAUUGAAAUGGUGAUAUCUUGUAAUUAUAUGGUUAAAUAGUAGUAUGAUAGUAUAAUUCAAUUUGAGCAUUCAUGUAUCAUAUCAUGUUUUAAAAAGUUCUGAUUAUAGAAAUAUCACUAAGUUUUAACUCAGCAUGUGGUUUUGUUUUCUGUGCGUAGGUUAGGUACUCUCUUUUGAUCGCCGACUCAGCAUCCAACAACAAUCUCGAUCUCAAGUGUGGUGAUGUUUAAUUUUGUAAUGGCAUGUACCUAUGAUGUCUUUGGUUGUUAGUUGUUUUGUGAAUGAGAGUUGUUUUGUGAAUGUGAGGUAAAUUGGGUUACAAGUAUAUGUUUAUGUUUGAAACUAAAUGUUAGUAUGUCUUUUGACCAAAGGCUUGAUAAGUGUUUAAAACUUAAAGCUUGAUGUAUUAAGUAGCUUUAUGUUAGGCUAAAUUGAGUGAUUUUUGCAUACUUUAAACUUUGAUUUCGUUGAUGCAUUUUGAUGUGUCUUGAUGAUAUAAAAUGUGGUACCAAUGAGGGUACAUUGGUUAGGCACUUAGGAUGAUUGUUUUGGCAUGUUUUGAAUAUGUUUAAUUGUAUUUUGAAUAGGUUAAAUGAUUGGCAUUUGAAUUGCUUAAUGCCCAAGUAAGCUUGAAAUGGUAAACUUGUUGUUCAAGGUACAAUUUAGGUCCACAAAGCCAAAGACACAGGCGUGUGACUCGGCUGUGUAAGACACACGGCUUGGCAACACAGCCGUGUGUCACCUGUUGAAUGAUUAAGGUGCAAGUCAGUUAGUUACACGGCUUGGCACACGGGCGUGUGACACGGCCGUGUAACCCUACUUAGUGAGUUAUACGAGUGAGGACAUGGGCUAAGACACGAUCGUCUGUCCCUAGUUCGAAGGUUGCAUGGCUUGAGACACAGGCUUGUGUCUCAACCGUGUGAGGCACACGGCCAUGUGGCCCCUGUUUUCAAUUUUUGUGAAUUUUUCCUAGUCUUUCCAAAUGAUUUCAAAUUGGUCCCGAUUUGUUUCUAAAGUAUUUUUAGGGCUUCGAGGGCUCGAUUUAUGGACAAUAUGUGUAUGUAUGAAUGGUUUAAGUUAUGUUUAUGAUUUUUGAAUAAAAAUAAUUAUAAAGGUUCCAAUUGUACGGUAAUCCUCAUAACCCUAAUUCAUGAUAGAGACGGGUUAGAGGUGUUACACUAAUGUUUGGACAAGCUGUAAUAUCCAAAAAUUUUGGUUUUAAAUUUUUAAAACUAUUUCAAGUAAUAAGUUUAGCUCAAUAGUUUAAAGUUUCCUUCCUUCCCUUGAGAACUCGAGUUUGAUUCCCCUCACUCGUAUAAUUUUUUAUUAUUGAAUUUUUGCUCAAAAUCCCUAAGGUGCCACCCCUGUCUUUGAAACCCUAGUACAAAACAUAAAUUUGUACAUUGCUUUCAGUUUUUUUGAGCAAUUGACACCCUAUUGUCGCCCCUCUCACUAUUCACCUCUUCUUUCUUCAUUUUUUUUCCCUUCUCCCUCCAUUUUCUCUUCUUUCUUUCCCUAUUGAAGCUUAAUCUCUGCAUUUCGAGUCUAAGACGGACAGCGUAAGUGUGGUUUCAACUUAUCUAAUUAUUCUAUUUUAUUUUUUAAAAUUUCUAUAAUGGUCGACUAGUGGUGUUCAAAGCAUGGUCGAAACUCAUUGUUUUCCUUUUUGUGUUUCUAUCUUUCAUGUUUUGCAUGCAUCGAGAAAUUGUGACAACCAAAUAUUAGCUCAUUGGUUGUCUAAUUUAAAAUUGAUGAUAAGUGGCAUUGUAAGAACAUUUAGAUUGCGAGAAAGACAACUUACUUCAGUAGAUAAUUUAAACGAGUAGUAAUCCCAUUAGAAUCAAAGUGAGCAUUUGAUUCAAAUACUUAUAAGGAUUAUUAUGUCACCUACAAUUCCAACUGGGGAGAUGGCUAGUCUUGGUUAUCGAAACAGUUGACUCCACAAGUAGAGACAUAGAUAUACUCAUUGGAAGAAUGAUACACUGGACUGGACCCAAGUAAAAUUAAUUUUGAAUUCGUCUGUGAAUUAAUUCACUUGUGACAUUCAUGGUGUGAUUUACCUAAAUCCCAAGUUAGUCACUAACCAUGCGUAUGUAACUCAUGUGCUUUGAUUUAAGUGGAGGCUUAUGCUAUAAGAUGACCGGGCCUAUAGCCGAAAUGUUGGGUACAUGACUUGUAUAUGAUAUGAUUUUACUAGCAACAAUGAAAUUUAUAGCUUGAUUAAAGAGUUAACGAUAUCCUCUCAUUGGAAUUGUAUAGAUUGAUAAAUAUGGAACAUGGCCAUGGGUUGCUUGUUAUCAAACGAGCAAUUUAUCACAAUCAUUUGUUGAUAGUAAUCAUAUUAAUUAUUAAGAAGACACAAUUGUGAAAAUGAGAUAAAUAAGAUUGUAUUGAGUGAAUAGAUUUAACUAAAAGGAAUCAAGGGUAUCAUAUAAGGGUAACACACACAUGACGAGGUCAUUGGAUAAAACAGUUGGAUGAAUAGCUUUCAUAAAGAGUAUACAAUAAGGAGUUCUCAAUCAUGGUACUUCUUGUAGAUUGACUCCAUGAUUAAGUAAAUUGUAAAUUAUCGGAAUUAUACUUCUGGACAUAAUUGAAAUUACUAGAGUCUAAUUGUAUAUAUCUGAUUGGUCCCUCCGCUAGCUCAACAAAAUCUUGAUCAGUCUGCAUUUGAAUUAGAAGAAAAUUUUACGACUUUGGAAAUAAUUUAAUUGAGUCGAUUUAUUUGAUGUGGAAUUAAAUUAAGCAGUCAUGAGAAUUGUUCAACUAGAGAAUUUGAUUAAAUAAUUUUUUCUUAAAAUUAAUUUGGAAAAUGUAAGUGAUUUUUGGGAAAAUUAAUUUUAAUAAAGUAAAAUUAAAUCAUCAAAUUAAUUAAUAUGAUAUUUUUGAAAAUUAAUUUUCAAGUCAGAAAAUUAGCUCAAUGGAUAAUUGAACUUGAAAAUUGGACCUAAUAUCGAAAAUUGAGCCCAAAACCCAAAACCAAGAUUGAGACCCAAACACUGGUCGAACCAGGCCUCGUAUGUGAAAUCGGGUCGACGUUCCAAUCAUUUGUUGGAUAAUUUAAUAUUUAUCUUAAUAGUAUUUUAUUAUUUUAAUAUUAAAUUUAAUUUAAUAGUUAUUUUGUAGAUAAAUAUUUUAUUAAUUUAAUAGAUUUAAUAUCAAGUUUAAUUUGAUAAAUUCAAUUUUAAUCUAAUAUUAUCUUGAUAAAUAUUAUAUUAAUUUAAUAUUAAAGUGAUUAAGUUUAAUUAUAGAUGAACUUUCUACACUCUCCUUAUAUAAAGAGUCUUGCGUCAUUAUUUUUCACACACUUGAAUUCAAGAGAAAGCUGUAGAGAGAAAAUUCUUUGAAAAAAUCAUUUCAGAAGAUUUCUAGAGAUAUUUUUCUUAUUUAUAAUUUAGCCCAAAGGUUUAGGGAAAUUACAAAAUUGCCCUAUUAGUAAUUUUGUGAAAUUUUUUUGAUUCAAAACGAGCCCACACUUAGCAUAUGUGAGCUUGAGGAUAGUGAAGAAAACUAUUCGGUCGAAGUAUUCAUCCUAGACGAAUUGAAAAUGUAUAAUUUUGAUUAAGUGUUUAUUAUUUUAGAUAACACAAUCAAGUUUUAGUUUUGGAAAAAAAAUAUUUAAAACUCUAAUUUUUCCUCAAAUUUACUUUUCGCUACAUUUUUCAAACCAGAUUUUCUAACAAGGUUAAUGUGCUUACCUACAUGGCAUGCCCUACGUGUCAAUUUCUUAUUACUUUCAUCAACAAUUGUUAGAGUUGUGUGACCCAAAUUCUUGUUAAAAGAAGUGACAAAGUAGGGAGAUAUGUGGGGGUGAAGGCUGAGGGCUGAAGUGGAAUCCAUAUAGAAGUACAUUUCUUCUAUUUGAUAUUGAUUAGAAUAAUGUGUUUCAACUUUACUACAUUGCUUCUAUUUAACAUCGAUUAGAAUAAUAUUUUUCAACCUAUAAAUAGAUAGUCUAAACUCCUCUUAUAUUAUUCAAAUUCGACAUUAGUAAAUUUUCUUCUUCUCUUGUCCAUAGAUUUUAUAUUUUUUUUCUUUCUUUUUUGCUUUGCGAUCAUUUUAUAUUGUUAUUGUCGACAUUCAACUUUUACAGCCAUGUUAAUGUUUGUUCACGGUCAAACUGGUUAAUGAUACUUUCUGUUAAUCUAAUGGUUCAUUUGAUUUUAUUUUCUCAACUGAGUGUUUUUUAAAAAUGUUUAAUUGAUUUUCAUUUAUUUUUUUCCUGAAGACAUCUUUUACCCUUUAGCCUAUAAUUAAACUGUGGCUUUUAGUAAUUUCAUUACUAAGUUGAUGUCACCUAAUCAAGUGAAACAAAAACACAAUCAAUUCCUUAAUAAUAGUAUAGACAAUUUACUCAAUAAUAAUAAUUUAUAGGUAAAAAGUCAUCUUUAAUACUUUAUAAUUUUAAUAUUGAGUAAAUCAGUCUUUCUAAAAAAUAACCAAGACAAUUAAAUCCCUAAUAAUUUUUAAAAUAAGCAAUUAAAGAUAAUUUAUCGCAUUGUUAAUAUUAUAUAUGUAUGUUAUUAAAAUAGAUUAUUGAAUCACUCUCAUGGGUGAUCAUUGUUACAUGUGUCGUGUACUUAAUCUAAAGUAAAUUGGAGAUAAUAUUAUGACUUUGUUUUUGUAUCAUAUUCAAUUAGAUUUAAUUUAAAACUUAAAAUAUACUCUUAACUCUUCAUAAAUUUUAUACAUUUGAAAUUUAAUUUCUACUUUUAUUUUUAGGAAUUUAAGUUAUUCUAUUUUUUAAAUUUAAAAGUUUAGAUCCAAAUGUUACCACUAUUAAUUUUUUUUAUUAAAUUCACCGUUGUCACAUUUUGAAAUUAAAAAAAAUCACUUAGUAGUCAUGUAACAAUAAAAAGAAUGUUAAAAAUGUUUAUAUGAUUUUUUUUCUUAAAAGCACUAUUUCGAACUCGUCAUGAUAAAAUAUUUUUUUUGUUAGAGUUGUGUUCCUAAGAAAAAUUAAUAUUAGUAUUUGGAGUGAAAUAGUUAACAAUAUUAAGUAUUUAGACUAACUAAUAACAUUAUAAAAACAGAAUAAUCAAAUUAUAUAAAAAAUUAAAAUAUAUAAAUUAAAUCUUAAGUUUCAACAAAAUAUAGAAGCUAAAACUGAAGUUUAAUAAUUGUUUUAUAAUUUUUUUUUAAAAAAAAGGGCAUGACAAACCCAAAAAAAGUUGAAAGCCACGUAUCCGUCUCUAAGACUUUAUGGAAUUGAUAUUAUAUAUGACCUCGUAAAACUUAAAGGUAUUAACUAUUUAGACUAAUUAAGAAAAAUAUAAAAAUAUAGGAUCAAAUUACGUUAAAAACUAAAGUGUAGUACUUAAAUAUCAAAUUUAGGCUUAAUAGAAGGGCAAAAAAAUUUAAUGGUAAAUUACAUAAACAGUCACUCAACUUUGGGGUAGCUAACAAAACAGUCAUUAGGUUUCAUUUCAGUCACUCAACUUUGAAAAAAUAACAAAACUGUCCUUUUUUCCAUUUUUCGUUACAAACGUAACGAAAAAAUGACAUGGCAUUUAACGGUGGGUUAGAUGUCAUUUUAACAGUCAUUUUUAACCCUAAACAGCCUUGGGUAGUAGAAUAAGAAGAAAAAAGAAGAAUAAGAGAAGAAACAGAGAAGAAGAAGAAGAAGAAAAAGAAGAAGAAGAAGAAGAAGAAAAAGAAGAAAAAGAGGAGGAGGAGAAGAAGAAUAAGAGAAAAUGGAAGGAGAUAAGACUAGUGCUCAAUUGGUUGAGUCUGCUGCACCAACGGUUCAAAGAAGUUUUGCUGAUUUUAGAGGCUCUCAUGCCGAUUCAUCCUUUACUGUAACUUCUGUUAUGUAUAUAUAUUCCUAUCAAUAAAUACCACUUUUCCUCCAUUUUUUUUCUUCUUCUUAAACUCUUUCUUUUCUUUCUCUUUUCCCUUUCGAUGAAAAUCUAGGGGAUUCCGCUAUUGUUUUCCUUUCCUUACAUAUGAUUGCAUAAGAUAACAUAAUCUAGAAAAGACUUAAUUGUUUUCCUAUUAUCACUAGUUUAAUAAAAUAUUAAUUACUAGUAGUAAUAAUAAAUAAUAAAAAAUAUUAACUAGUAUGUAAUAUUGCAUGUUUAUAAAGUUUGCAUUAGUCAGCUUAUGGAACUUAAGUUGCAACGAGCUAGCAUUACCACCUUCAUUUAGAAUUUAAGCAAUUCAACCUCUCAAUCCAUAUUGGUCUUAGAAGAAAUAAUAUUUUACUUUCAAAAGAAGACGUCUCAUUUGAUUAGCUUUUUUUUAAAAAAAGUUGUUGAGGAAACUACAAGCAUUAUUGCACCAGCAGCCGCCUAUGAAGAAACCGACGAGCGAAGAAGAAGAUAUAGGGGUGUUAGGCCAAGGCCAUGGGGCAAAUGGGCGGUCGAAAUACGUGAUCCUCACAAAGAAACAAGAGUUUGGCUAGGCACCUUUGAUACUGUGAAAGCCGCCGCAAGAGCCUAUGAUGAAGCUGCUUUGAAAUUCAAGGGAAGCAGGGCCAAGUUAAAUUUUCCUGAACUUGUAAGGCUUGUUCCUUAACCAAUGCAGAACUUUCCUACUACCCAAACAUUAGUUUUUAGUUCUCUAACAACCUAGUUUGGCUACCUUAUUCAACGCCAUUGCCAUCGCUUUAUUAUUCCCAACAUCUUCACAGCCCUACAACUGAUAUGUUGAGAGAUUACUGGCAGUACUCACAGUUGCUACAGAGUUCUGCUGAUUUCUAUGGACAAUAAGCUACGAGCUUGAUGGAACAGAUGAUGCAAUCAUCUCAGUUACCUAACUUUUAACACCCAUUCCUAUCUUCUUCUUUGUCACCUUUUACUUCUUCAUUUGUAGCUCAUUCUUCUGUUGCUUCAUCAUCUUCUUCUUCCUCUGCUUCUUUUCCUCUGGUUUUUGGUGAGCAUCAACAAUUGGACGUUUUUAGGCAGCUGUCUAAUAAAAGUCUGACAAGUGGGUCAAAUUUUCUAGUGCCUCUAUGGUCUCAUCUAGUCAUUAUCCUUCAUCCACUGGUUCAUAGUAAUCCCAUGGUUUUUCAAGGAUGCGGGUAGCUUGGGGUUGUUCAGCAACUGUUGUUGUGGCUCCUGAUUUGUAGCCAUUGUUCUGUUGUGGGAGAAAGAAGAUGAAGAGAAAGGAGAUAAGAACAAGAAAAAAUAAAAUAAGCAUAAAGAGAAAGAGGUUGAGGGAGGAGAAGAUGAAGAGAAAGAUAAGAAGAAAAAUCAUUCUGACCAAUCAUCCUUUCUUUUUUUAUUUUUUCCUUUAACUAUUCGUCCAACAUGGCAAGUUAACUGGCCACAUCAGCUAGUUAACUUGCCACGUCAGCGUUCCUGUUAACCUCCUAACAGAAACUGUUAAUCAGUGACUAAUUUGUCACUUUUUCAUAACGUUAGUGAUUGUUUUGUAACUUUUCGAAAGUUGAGUGGCUUAAAUGAAUCCUAAGUGACUGUUUUGUCAGCUACCCCAAAGUUGAGUGACUGUUGGUGCAAUUUACCCAAAAUUUAAUCAUUUUUAAAGGCAAAAAUUAAAAUUCUUAUAAAUAUUUUUUUUUAUGUUAAUCUAGAUACUUCAAAUUUCAACUUGAUUUUAUUUCUCUAUUUUAUAAUAUUAUUAAUUAUUUUAAUUAAAAUGUGUGUCGAUUUUUCUUAAUAUUAUUCUAACAAUUUUUUUAUGUUAUCAAGUUGAGUUGAAAUGGAUUUUUAAAAAAAAUUAAAUUAUAAAAAUAUAUAAUCUUAAAAAAAAGUACUAAAUUUUAAACAUACAAAAUGUUUAGAGACUUAUAACAUAAUUAAACAAAAUAACAAUAAUUAACCAUUCCACUAAAAAUAAUGCAGUGCAGCGCUCCAAAUUGUCACAUGGACCUGGACUCUUGAUGCUGUUAACAAAAUAUGAAACUAUUAGUGUUGGGCCCAAAAUGCCAUAAUUGUUGAUCAUCAUUCAUCAAAAGAAUUGUUAUUUGGGUUUGUACUUUGUACUGAUCUAAUCCUAGAACUAAGUUUGAGUUUAAAAUGAGAUUUUGAUUUAAUGUUAAAUUGAGAUUAGACAAGUCUCAAAAUGAGUAAAAAUGAUAUUUAUUGAAAUUUUAUUGUGGUUUAAGUUUUAUUAUGUGUCAACAUUGUCCAGAUUUAUAAUUAUAACUAUAAGGAUAAAUUCUUAAAAAAAAAAAAAAUAGUGAAUUGCCGGUGUGGUAAUCUUACAGGCAAGCACAACAGAGGCCAUAAAAAAGAUAUAAUUAAUAUCAUAUAAAUACACAUAUGUCAGUGGUUGUUCAAACUAAUAAAAUGAUGAAUUCAACAAAAACGAAUAAAAGGAUGAUGACUCUGGUAUCAUCUCUUAUUAUGGUUUAAACACCAUAAUAUUUUCUCAAUGCUACAAUGGCGACUUAACUUAUUAAAUUAGGAUUGCUUUAACUUAAGGAGUAAAGUUAUGACCAUGUAAAAUGCUUAAGAGGUAAAAGGAAAUGUUGGUAUCUUCUUUCCAAGCAGCUUAAAUCUAUAAAUAGGAUAUUGUGCUUUCUACUUUUACUUAACUUUGAGAAUUAAUUAAAUAUACUCAUGUGAAGUUUUUUUAAUGUUGGUUAAGGUAUUAUGUCCCAAGUUUAAUUAGGAAUGAUAAAAUUUAAAUCCUUCAAUAGAUUUCGAAUCGAUUCAUUUUUAAUAGAGUGAACUUUUUUUUUAUUUAAAAAGUGAAUCUAGGGCGGGGUAGAUUUUUUUUUUUUUGAAUAGUGGUAUAGAGCGAUUAUGGUAAUUGCUUAUCUCGUCCUAAUUGCUUCAUUAUAUGAAAUUACUAUUUUAUUUUUGUAUAUAUAAAUUAUUAAAAGGAUAAAAAAAAGUAAUAAUAUAAUAUAGAAAAAUAAUAUAUUUUAUGUUUAAAUAUUUACUUGACUUUAAAAAGAUUGAAAAUAAAGAUAAGUAGAAAAAUUAAAUUGAAGCAGGGCGGGGCGGGGCGGGGCGAGGCGGGGCAGGGUGGAGUGGGGUGGGGAUGGAUGCCUCCAUCAUCCAUGGAGGUGGUAGUGGUUUCCAAGAUUUAUACAUCCUUAGUGAAGUAGGGCGGGUGGUGGAGCAAAGCAUGCCAAUUAUGGAGGAGUAGUGGAUUUUGCAAUAUUAACCCGCGCUCUGCUACAUUAUCAUCCCUAAAUGAAAUUGCAUUUGCCAUCGUUACUUAAAAAAAAGGGGCAAAUUAGCCCUUAUAUGCUCGAAAAAGUUCAAAAUACCCAUUUUGUUAAAAAUUUCAUCCAUUUGUGUUGUUAAGUGAUUAUUUGGUUUUUCUAGUUUUUUAAAUGUAAGGGACAUGGAAUUAAAGGAUGAGAAGGAUUAUGUAAAAGUACCAUUGGAGUCAAAUUGCUUUUUAUACCCUCUACUUACAAAAUGAGCAAAUUAGCCCUUGUAGAUUAAAUCAAAGACAAUGAUAUAUAGUAUAUCAUAUGUACCUUAUGCUGACAUAAUAUUUUGUCCCCUCGACAAAUAGUUAAAAAAUUAAAAAUCUUAAAAAAUAAAUUUUCAAACAACUAUUUUGAAAACCACAUCCAAGAUGAACUUAGCCAACUAAGUUCAUCACAAACAUAUUUUUUUUUAAUAAUUAAAAAAUUAAAGAAAAUAGUUAGAAAUUAUAAAUUUAUUAAAAAUGAUUAAAAACAACAUCCAAAAUGAACUUGGUCAAAUGGUUGUAGACAACCAUUUGUCUAAGUUCAUUUUGGAGUGAUUUUUUAAAUAGUUAUUAAAAAAUACAACAUAUAAAAAAUUAUUAAAAUGGUUAAGAAUGAUAAGAAAUUAUAAAUACUUUUUAAAUUUUUUAAAAUUAAUAAUAAAAAAUUUAUUGUGAAAGGUUUCUAUUGUAUAUAUUUGUGUAUAUAUAUAUAUUUGAAUUACAUCAAAAAAAUAUUAUGAAUUAUAAGAAAUUAAUAAAAUAGGACUUGUCAACUUGAUUAAGAAAGUACAUAUAUACAUAUUGAAUUCUUUAAAUAUGCUAUAUGUAUGUGUAUAUAUAUAGUUUUAAUAAUUAUAAAAAAAUUAAAAAUUUUAAAUGAUUAUUUUUAAUUUCUUAUAAUUCAUAACCAUUUUAAAUAAUUUCAUUUAAUUUUGUAUAAUUUUUUAUAAUUAUUUAAGAAACCAGUAUAUGACUAAACAAUCCUUUUUUGCUAGUUAAUUAUGAACAUUUUAAAUUAUUUUAGAAUAUAUUUUUAUUAAUUUUCAAUAUUUUAUAAGUUAUUAUAUUUCUUAAUAAAUUUUGAACAAUUUUCUAUAUUUUUAUUUAUAAUUAUUUGAAAAAUCAAUGUCCAAGAUGAUUAUCCAGGUUGUACAUGUUCAAAUGAACCUGGAUAACCAUUUAUUCAAGUUUAUCCUAGAUGUGGUUUUUUAAAUAAUUAUAAACUACAUGUAUUUUAAAAACUUUUAAAUAUUCUCACAUUAACAUGAGGCACACAUGGCAUGCCACAUGUCACUGUCUAGUUGCUCUGUCAGCCGCGUUAGCACUUACUGGUAGAAAUAGAUGAAAUUUUUUAACAAAAUGACCAAUUUACUUUUUAAUCUAACUUAUAGAGACUAAUUUUUCUAAUUUUUUAAUAAAGGGGGCAAUAUGCAAUUCAACUCCUAAUAUAAGUGCCUCCAUGGUACUUUUACUUUUUUGUACAAAUAAAAAGUUAAUUUUAUAUCUAACAGAUCCCAAACCUUAGCUGCAAAAGGGCAAUCUCAAAAACCAUAUCUUAAAUUCGUUACACCACCCACACACUUGGGGCAAACAGCAAAUCUAACUAGCCGUUUAUUGUAUAAAUUGUAGAAAUUAAGGAUUAGAUGAUGAAAAAUAUGUCAGGCUGUAAUUUUAAUCUUUCCUGACAAGUUGAGUUGCCAAAUCUUCUUGUAGAAAAUAUUGUAACCACUAUUGUUAACAAUAGUGUUAGGUAUUCUAAACCCUUGUAAUAGAGUCCUAUAGCCACUCCUAACUGUAUAUUUGCUCCCCAAACAAUAAUAUCAGGCUGCGGGUUCAAAGCGAGCCGGAUACACAAAAUUUUGCUCACCACCUUGGUUCUAAAGCAACUAGUAAUUUUAGCUACAUCCCAUUUUCUUUCAUGUUGUAAAAUCAAGUCAGAAAAUUCAGUGGCAAAGUACCUUCCAAAUUCUGAAUUUUACAUUCUGCUAAUCUAGGGACCUAGACAUCAUCCCAAAUACUAAUUUUUGAACUCGUUCCCACCUACCGGCCCAUUCCCUCUUUUAGCAGACCCUUUGCAGCCUAUAUGUUUUCCAGGUAUAGGAUGGGUAAGUUCCUAGAUUUGCAUCCAAAAAAUCAGUAGUAGGAUAGUAUUUGGCUUUAAGAGAUCUGGCUAAUAACGAACUUCGAUCUUUAAGCAAACGUCACCCUUGUUUAGUAAGAAAGACAAAAUUUACCAAGAGUCUAGAAUCUCAUGCCACCAUUCUUUUUCAACUCCCACAACUUCGACCACUCACACCAAUUUAUCCCCCUUUUCCCCCUAAAUUUUUCUUACAAAAAACGAGUAAUCAUACAUUUUUUAAUCCAAGCACAAUGAAGCUGACAAUAAAAAACAAGACAUCAUAAAAGUGGGAAUGGCCUGUAACACACUAUUUAUAAAUACCACAUUCCCCCUUUGGACAAAAGCCUCACACACCAACUGUUAGUAUGACUCCUCAAACAAUUCUUCAACCCUUGACAAGCUCUUUUUUCACUCAUCCCUACCAUGUUUGUCAAUCCCAAAUGUCGCUUAAGAUCAUAAGAAACACAAACCCCCAAACAAUCUACUAUCCUCCUCCUCCUCUCUCCCUCCUCAACAUUCGAACUAAAAUAAACAAUUGAUUUAUCAUAGUUCACGCAUUGCCCCAACGUCUCCUCAUGCUUCUUCAGAAUUUACUUUAGGAUCUCCACUAUAGCCCCUCCAAAUAAAAUACACUCAUCAGCAAAUAGAAGAUGAGAGACCUCCGAACCCUUUCAACAUAUUUUUACACCCUUAGCCAAUCCAUAUUAGCUUGCCAUGCGCAUUAGAGAAGACAACCCUUCACUAUAUAUUAGAAGUAAAUAUGGGUUAAGAGGAUACCUUUGUCGAAGAUCUCUUCUUGGAGAAAAACCCUCCCCACUUCACCAUUAAGAAUAACAGAGUAUGAUAUGGUACUCACAGAUUGGAUAGUAAAAUCCACCCAAAUUGUCAAGAAGCUCAUCUUUAACAUCAUCUUCUCUAUAAACUCCCACUCCACCCUGUCAUAUACCUUACUCAUGUCAAACUUAAGAGCAAUAUGCUUCUUCUCUUCAAGCCUUUUCCGCUUAUACACCUCUAAAAUUUCAUAUGCAAUGAGGAUAUUAUUUGUUAUUAACUUUCCAGGAACAAAAGCGCUUUGUGCAUUAUCCAUACAACAAUUUAAUACUUUUUGAAAUCGGCUUCCAUUGUUUUGGAGAUAGUCUUAUACAACACCGAACAAAGACUAAUAGGGCAGAAAUGCUUCAUGCUAGUAAGAUUAGACACUUUUGGAAUUAGAACAAUAUGGGUAUGAUUUAUUUCAACUAAAGACAUACCUUCAUGGAGAAUAUCAAGAUAAUAAGACCCAACAUCCUGCCCAACGAUAUGCCAGUAAGUUUGGAAAAAUAAUGAAGGAAAAUCAUCAGGCCCCGAAGCUUUAUUAGGCGCUUUCGAAACCUUUUUUUUUUAAAUUGACUUAUAUUUUGAAAAUGAAAAUGGGAGUCGCCACUAAUCUUUUUUUAUGAGAUGUGAUCGGAUCACCUUGUAAUUUGAUUGUUUUAAUAAAAGGCUUGAUUUACUAAAACAAUGAUUUUUGGUCUACAAAAUCCAAAAAUGAGUUCGAAAGUCGGUUACGCAUGAGGAAGGAUUAGCACCCUCGUCACGCCCAAAAUUGGUACCUAAUUAAUUACUUGAUGUCUUAGAAUCGAAAAUUAAAAAUUUGAAGAGAAUUUAAAGCGCGGUCCCACUUUGCAUAAUGUUAUUUUAAAUUAAAAUCACUUGAAUAAAUCAAAAUGUAUGUAAAAGGCUCUCUUAUCUCGAGGCAACAAAAGGUCAUAUCCCAUAAGUUAGGAUACGACAUCUCGAAUCCUCAAGAAUAAGCUUACUCUUUAUUUUAAUUACUAUUUAAAUCUCAUGUGUUUUAAUUUUGAAAGGGAUGUUUGACUAUCUAGGUUCAAAGAGAAAGUCAAAUCCCGUUAGUUAAGGCACGAUAUCUCGAAUCUCUAACUGCGGAAUAUUGCCUUAAUUUUAAAAAUUCCCCUUUUUGCAUCGUGCAAAGACGAACAUAACAUUUGAAGAAGCAUGUGUUUAGCUUAUUCGGGCAUAGCAAAAAAAAUGCGUAAUAUGUUUAAAUACGAUUCAUGACAUGGUUAUAAUAAAAUAAAAUGAUAGCACCAAUGAUAUACAAAAAAUAAAAAUAUUGUACUAAUAAACGAUGAUGAUAUAACUAUAAUAAUAAUAAAACACCAAAUAAACAAUGGCAAUAAUCAUAUUAUAACUUCUAAUUCUAUACUAAUUAAAUAAUAAUAGAGAAAAUAAAUAAUAACAAUAUUAAUGAUAAUAAUAAGAAUAAGAAUAAUACGAAAAACAAGUGCACAAAUAAAGAAAAUAUAAACAUCAUAUAUAUAUAUUAACAUAUAAAAAGCUAAGAGAUAAUAAAUAGAUAAAUAAAUGAAAUAAUAUUCGAAUUCUAAUAUAAAUAAUCAUAACAUAAAUAAUAAUAAUAAUAAUAAUAAUAGGGUGACAAAAUGUGCACAUAAAAAAGAACAAUACAAAUUUUAAGUGUAAAAGAAUAAGGAAAUAAACAAAUAAACAAAUAUAAAGGAAAAUAGUUUAUAAAAGAUUGAAAAUAAGGGACUAAAUCAAAAUGUAAAUGAAAUUAAGGGUGCAAUUUGUAAAUAAAUAAAUAAAUAGAUGUUCGAUGGAAAGAAAAUUAAAAAAAUUUAAAUAUAACAAAAAGUAAAGGAAUAAUAAGAAAAUAAGUAAACUAAAAAAUUAAAAAAUUAAAAUAAGUAAAGGACUUAAUCGUAACUUAAAUUAAAUUAAAAGGAUAAAUUGGGAUAAAAUAAAUAAAUAAAAGAAUAAAAUGAAAAGCACGAAAACAAGCGAGGACCAAAUAAGAAAUUAUCCCAAUUCUCAGGACACGUGUCCCUUCUCCAGGAGAUUAGCGAACCAGGGACUAAAUUGAAACGCAUGAAAAUUUUAGUGGCAAAAUUCUUAAUAUAAAAAAAGAGUGAAAAAUGACUAACUGAAGCGUGCUGCAAAAGCGGAAGGGCUAAUCGCGCAAAUAUACCAUUUCGUCAAAACACGCGGAUCAUUUGAGUCAAAUUGGGUCGGCGCGCAGGUCAAGGGUGAAACGACGUCAUUUUGGGGCUAUUGAAGCUAGCCCUAAAACGACGUUUUUUUAGGAGUCUAUUUAAACCAAUUUUUUUUCAAAAAAAAAAUCAUUUCAACCUGUUAUCUAAAAAAAAACCUAAAGCCCUCUUUUUUUUCUCUGAAAGCAGCCCAGAAUCCAACCAAGGAGCCGCUGAGCUCCGCCGCGAUGGUGGCUCGCCACCGGCGACGGCUCCACGUCCACAAUGGCCAGAAAACGAAAAAAAAACUUCCUUUUUUUUUUUUGCCUAUUGACUUCUAAAGCCUAGAUCUAAUGGCUAAAAGUCUAAAAAGGUAAAAAUAAAAAUAAAAAGUUUCAAUCUUUUUUUUGUUCGUCUCUUUUAUAUAUAUAUAUAUUUCUUUCGAAAAAUAAAUAAACACAAAAAAAAAAUCUUUGAAGUAUUUUUUAUUUUUGUAUUUUGAUUGUUUUUUUUUUACAAAAAAUUCCCCUUGUUUCUUACAAGAAAUUAGCCUUUAUAGCAGUUUUAAAUUAUAACAUUUUUCUUUUCUUUUCUUUUUCUGUGCUACUACUAUUUUUUGCUACUGUUUCUGUCCUUUUACGUGUUGCUUCUUCUUUGUAGGUCGUGGUUGAGUCAACGAUGGCAGAGGCAUUGACGGUGGCAGACCUCGGGGGGGUGAGCAUACUGAUGUGGCACGAGGAGCGGCGCAAAGGACACUAGGGUUUUUGUUUUUUUUCUGAAAACAGUUUAGGUUGUAGGCUACUGUGCUAUUAGGUUUUUUUUUAGGCUAUUUUGGGUUUGAUAUUUUUGCAGAUGGACUGUUUUUAAUUUGGACUUUAAAUUUUUAUUUUAUUUUUUUGGCUUGGUUUAGGCCUGGGCAAAAAUGGCCUAUUAUAGGCUCCAUUGCUUUUAAGGCUGAAGAUCUCUUCCCUUUCAUAAUAGGUCGUAAGAUAUUUAUUCAUCUCAUCUUAAAUGCAUAAUCGUACCCCUGCUAAAAUAUUAUCAGAGUUACACAUUUCUUGUGAAGUGAAUAACUCCAUAAAGUACCUAUUAGCAAUGCUAGAUAUUCACCAUCGUCUCUAGCAAUAUGACCAUCACCCCUAUUUAAUCCUUUGACUCUAUUAGUCCACUUCCUUUGUGAUGCAACCCGAUGAAAAAAAAUUGGUAUUUUGGUCACCAUGUUUCAACCCAUUCACACACACCCUUUAUUCUUAAUACAUCUCCUCCUUAUCCAUCUCUAGAUUCAACUCUAGUUUACUCCCUAAAAGGUCCAAGAUAUUGUCAUCAUUUCUGUCCUCCUAAUUAAGCUUAACAAUUCUAUCGUACAAUUUCUUUAUAUUCCUACCAUUUUCCUUCCUUAAUCGAGUACCCCAUGCCUUCAAACCUAACCCCAAUGAUUCAAGGCAUUGAGGAACAAUCUCUAUACUACUUCCUUAAAGUUGACGAACCUCUACCUCACAUGAUUCCUCCAACGUCCAGCAGUCUUGAAAUUGCACAGAAAACGAAUGCGAAAAAUGUCGCACAGAGAAGUUUGAGAAUUUCUCCCACCAACUUGAGUUAGCAACUCCUCUGUCCAACCUUUCAUUGAUAUUGUUAUGUUCAAAAUUACCUCUCUUCCAAGUAAACCAAAGCCCCUCGAAACCCAGAUCCUCCAACUGACAAUCCGUUAGCACCCUCUGAAACUCAUCCAUUCGCCCCUCCUCUCGACUAACCCCCAUUUCUUUUCAAACGAAUAGAUUAUCUCAUUAAAAUUUCUGUACACCAUCCAAGGCAAACUCUGAUCUCUACCUAACCCACGUAAUAGAUUCCAUAAAUCAGCUCAACUCUUUGAAUCAGUUGAGCCGUAAAACCCUGUCGUCUUCCAUUUAACAUCACUCUCAUACUCCUGAAUCUCCACAUCAACAUGGUUUUUGGAGAAACUCCUUAAGCUAACUAUGACCUUAGGAAGCCAACCCAGACUGUGCCUGCCCAUAGAUCCCUCUGCUAGUACAUAAAUGCUAUGCAAAACCCCUUUUUUUACACACUUUCUCUAUUAAGAUCGAAUCCAACUUGGUCUCCAUAAAGAAGACGACUUGGGGAUGAUGAAGUUUCAGCAUCUGCUAAAGCCUCCUAUUAGCUCAUGGACUCCUUAAUCCACGAACAUUCAAACACAUAAUCCUCAUUGUUGCCAGUCGACCUAUCCCCUAGUUGUCACUGAUAAUUCAUCCUGGUAAGCCAAUGAUCACUCACCCAUAUUCUCCCCGGAAUUCGAAGUUUUAGAAAUCCUACCAGAGAAAACAAUUGUUUUUUGCCUUUUAUUACCAUCCAAACUAUCAUUCAAGUUCUCCUCUAGAUCAUGAAUCAUUGGAUCCUGCCCAAAUCCCAUAGACAAACUCGCAACCCUUUUAAUUCCUUCCUUUAGUCUACCUUCUAAAUUCAUUCCUAACACCAUAUUAAUAUUACUAUACCCUUAGACACGAGGAAGCCCCUUGCGACCCUUACCAUUCUUGACCCCAAUGAAUUUCCAACCGAACCCACCAUACUCCCCUCUCGUAACCACACACUUUUAACUAUAGCGGCUCACCUUGUCAGUAGAGACUAUAAUGAAAUAUCCCAUCCCAUUUCAGCUUCAUUCACUUCCAUCCUUAACUGGAUAGAUCAAAAACUAUUACUAUGCCCCAGGCAUCCAUACAGAAAACAAAACAAUGUAAGUUUUUCAUACUGAAACCUCACAUAAAUAUGGUUUUGAGGAGACAAUUGAAUUUUCUUUCUUCGUUUCAAUGGGGAUCUACUAUCAACUCUAACCCUAAUGUAAAGCCUAGUUUUGGCCCGAGCCCAAGCUAACAAAAAUAAAAAAAAACAUAAAAUAAAUAAAAAAAUGUCCAAGUUCAGUACCAUUACAAGAACAACCCAAAAUAUGACUGGCCCAAUGCAGUACCCAAUUUUACAAGCCCAAUCCCUAGCCCAAAUUUAUCAGGAAAGAAAGAAACCCUAGGGUUUCUAUGCUAGCACCUUGCGCCGCUACCCAUGUGCCUUUCGUAGCAUGCUCGACACCCGAGGUUCGGCCUUACACCAGAAAAGCCAAAACAGCAUCCCUGGCGAACCUGCAAAACAAAACAGAGACGACAGAAACAAAGACAAGCAAAAACAAAGCAAAACAGUAGCAAAUAGAAAAUUAAAGCCUUUGUAUUCGGCUAUAAAAAAGGCCUCAAAUUUACAAUGUAUUUUUUACUAACACUGAAAUAAAAAAAGAAGAAGAAACAAUUGGAAGAAAAAAUCUUAAAGGUGUCUCUUUUGUUCAUUGUUUUUCUUUUUUCUUUUUAUUUGAAUCUAUUACAAAAAUACAUAAAAGAGGGAAGGUUUUACCCGUAUUUGGUGUUGAUAUCCUCGGCAUCUGCUUCUCUGGUCCGAAAGCCGACGGAUCCCUAGAGAUCCGGUUAAAGCUUCGACGAAGGAAGCCAAGAGUCGAGAAGUUUUUGCUGUUUUAAGGGUUUUGGGGUUUAGUUUAUGGUUUUUUUAAGUCUUAAAUCUUUUUCUACAAGAAAAGAGGGUUUGAAUGAGGGAAUUUUGAGCUCUCCGGCCACCGUAUACGACGGCGCCGUCGCUGGUGGCCGACGGUCGGCACGAUGGAUGUUCGCCGGGGCCAUUGACCGGAGUUAGGCCAGAUCCUAAAGAGGUUGAGAGGAUUUUUGGAUUUGUUUCUUAAGAGAAAGGGUUAAAAAUGAGAAGUUAUAAAAUUUUUUGACUUUUAUAUAGCUUGCAAACGGCAUCGUUUUGGAGUAUAAGCUCAGGGACCAAAACGGCGCCGUAUAAGGCCCUCAACCCGCAUUCUGACCCCACCCAAAGGGGGAUCCACUCGUUUUUUUCUGAUUGGGUUAUUUGAGGAUCCAGUCCCUCAACUUUUUAGCCAGUUCGCAAUCAAGUUUCUUUUUAUUUUAAUUUGCGCCAUAUAAUUUAUUUCAGUUUUCAAGUUAGCCCAGUAUGAAGUGUCGCGUUUUGGAGGGAGGGAAUAUUUUCCCCUUUAGUCCCUCCUUGUUGUUCGCGCACUCGAAUGGGUCCUUUCCUUUUUAUUUUUAUUUCUGAUUUACCCCUGAAUUUCUAUUUUAAGAUUCAAAUCAAUCCCCUUUUGUCAUUUUUGCUAUUUAAUUAAUUAUUUUAUUAUUGUUCUAAUUAUAUUUUUUUCACGCCUGUUAUUAUAUUAUCAUAUCAUUAUUACUAUAAUUAUUAUAUCUCUAGAUAUUUUCUUACUCAAAUACUAUUAUUUAUCUAUUUAUAUCUCUAUCAUCAUUGUAUUUCUAUAUAUUGUAUCUCUAUUUGUACUUAUGUACUAGUAUCAUUAUUUUAUUAUUAUUUUAUAUAUCAGCAUAUAUAUAUAGAUUAUAUUAAAAUUGUUUUUUAUUAUAUAUAUUAUUGAUUUCAUGUUGUCUUAUAUAUAUAUUUCCUUUCAAAUCUAUUAUGCAUAAUCUAUUAUGCAUAUAGUUUACUUCUUAAAAAAAAUUAUUUUAUACUUUUGUUACUUAAAGCUCUUUCAUAUAUUAUUAUCCCUUUUAUAUAUUAUUUAUGUUAAGUUUUUUAUUGUAUAUAUAUUAUCAACUUUAAAUAGACAUAUUUUGUUUUUUUUUAAAUAUUUUGUACAUUAUUUGAUCCAAACUCCCUCUUUCAUGACAUCUAUUUUAAUAAUCAUUCAUGUAUUAUUAGUUUGCAUUUUAUAUAUGAACAUUAUUUCAAAUUCUAGCAUGUGUUAUUCAUUUUAAAUUUCUCAUAUAGUUUUUAAAUUGUUUUGUAUCAUAUUGGUUCCUAGUUCCAUAUUAUUUUGUAUGUUAUCUUUUUUUUUUGUUUUCAUAUUCUUUCAUAUAUCAUUGUUUCAUAGUGUCCAUUAGUCUUUUGUGUUGCUAUCUUAAUUUUAUUUGUCUAUGUUUGACAACUUGUUAUAGUGUUAUUCUGCUUUGUUUCUUUAAUUAGCUGUAUCUUUAGUUUUCAUUAUUUUGAUUAUGAUUGUUUGGAUGUGAGUUCAUUGCUAUUGUGUAUGUUAAUUUGUUUUUUUAUUUUUAUACUAUUUUCAUUCAUUAAUAGAGUUUGCUAUCCAUGCAUAUUAUCUUAUGUUUAUGAUUUCGCCUUUCAUUUGUAAUUGUCGCAUUGUAAUUUUCAACUUAUUGAUCCGAAAUUAAUGAUUCCACUUUAUUUCAAGUCAAAUUAAUGCAUUUCAAGCUGGUUUUGUAAUUAUUCGUUUGAAAAUUCCUUAAAACGAAGGCAAUAUUUGAUGUUUGGAAAUUCGGGAAAUCAUGCCCUACCGUGCUGGGUUUCGAUUUCCCGUUUGAUCAAAAUAAUUGAAUAUUCCUUUAGAAUUUCACUCAUGUUUUCCAAAUUCUAAAACAAGGUAAUGUUCAAGGUUUGGAAAUUCGAGGAAUCGUGCCCUAUCGUGCUGGGUUUCGAUUUUCGGUUUAUUCCAAAUAAUUGAAUGCUCCUUUAGUAUUUCACUCGUGUUUUAUAAAUUCUAAAGCAAGGCAAUAUUCAAUAAUGGAAGUUCGAGGAAUCGUGCCCUACUGUGCCGGGUUUCGGUUUUUCGUUGGACUAAAUAAUUAGGCAUCCUUUUGUGAUUUGCUGCAACACCUCUUACCCGUGUUUGACGCCGGAACACGGUACGAGGCAUUACCGGACUUAAUCACUAAUCAUCGUAUAAAAAUCGAUUCAUAAUUAGUAACAUAAUCAAGACUAUCUACAUUAAAUGACUUUAUACAAUAGAGACCUUCAAAUAACAUAGGUCAGUAUUUGAAGCCAAUUCCUAGCAACUUAAUAACAAUUAAAUGAGUCUCCAUACAUGCCAAAGACAUAAAAUACUUUAAAACCUUUAUAUAUCGAUCAAUAGUUUGAUAGUGUGAUUUAACCUCCGGCGACCUCCAACUCGAGCUAACAUUUGCGACACUAUAGGUAAAAGGAAAGGAAAGGAGUAAGCAUUAUAGCUUAGUAAGUAAGCAUGUAAAUAUUAAUAAACAAUAUAUUAUCAUACUCUAAACAAAGUCACAAUAUGUUCCCGGAAUAUUACCAUCACAAACACACAUACUUUCACUAUUACAAUCAUAAACAGGUUCAAAAUAAGCUGUUUAGCAGAGUACCAGAAAUUAAAUUAUUUAUUCCAGAGCUACAGAACUCCAAAUUACAAACUGUUUAUUUUCCUUGAAACUAGAUUCACAUAUUAUCUUACCAUAAAAUUUUCAGAAUUUUUGGUCUUGCCAAUUAGUACAAUUUAUUCAUUGAAGUUACCCCUGUUUCACUGCUCAACUGUUCUGACCACUCUUCACUACGAAUCAAUUUUAUCCUCGUACAGAAUUCAAAGGAUGUUCUCGUUUAUUUCAUUUGAAACUAGACUCAUUAAGGAUUUCAAGAAUAUAAAUUAUAUCCCCUAAUUAUUUUUUUCAAUUUUUAAUGAUUUUUCCAAGUCAGAAUAGGGGAUCACAUAGUCUUUCUGAACCAGUCUCUCAAAGACUUAAAUAUCUCAUAAUAUAGAAUUCUUUUGCUUGCUCUGUUUCUGUUAUAUGAAAAUAAACUCAUUAAGCUCUAAUUUUAUAUCUUAUUCAGUCUCUGAUUCAAUUUUUACUAUUUUUGGUAAAUUUUUAGAUUCACAUCACUGCAACUAUCUAAAACAGUUUUAUUGUCAAUUUUGAUCUUUCACACUUCAAUUGUAUUCAUCACUUUCCCAUAACAAUCUUUCCAAUUUCCAAUCACAUAUCGAGCAUAUUGCUCAUAAGUUACACACGUAUAUACUUACACUUAUCAUCACAAAGUCAUACACAAUUUCAUUUAAUCAAUUUCCCAGUUGAACGCUUUGGAAUAAUAACAGAUACGUGAUGGUAUCGCACAUAGCCCACCUUUAAAAUCGAAGCUCUCUUGUACACAUAGUGGCCUUCACUUAGCACCACUCAUGUGACCUAGCUCGAUUGUACACAUAAUUUUGGCUCUCUUGUACACAUGGUGAACACUUAGUACCACCCAUGUGACCUAGCCAAUUUAUCUCGUAGCUCUCUUGUCUACAUGGUGUCCUUCACCUGGAACUACGCAUACGACCUAGCUAAAUAUAUCCCGUAGCUCUCUUGUCCACAUGGUGUACACAUAGUAUCACUCAUGCGACCUAGCUACAUCAUAAUGUCUCGUAGCUCUCUUGUACACAUGAUGUGCACUCAGCACCAUACAUGUGACCUAGCUACAUACCAUUUGUAUCAUCCAAUCUUUCCAAAGGUUCAACCGGGAUUUCUCUCUCUUUCUAAUACUUGAUUCCAUACUUCCAAUAGUCAAUUAUGAUUCAAAAAUCAGCUACAAUACAUAAAAUAUGCUGAAAUACAAAAACUUAAUAAAGAUAAUGUAUUAUUUACAUACAAACUUACAUAUUUUCUCAUUUCCAUGUCGAAUUAAUAUUGAACAUUUAAAUCAUCAUAAUUAUACUUACUUUCAACACCUGGGAAAUCAUAGUAAAUAUAUCAAUUUUACAUUGAAACAUGCAUAAAUUAAUGCUUAUUAUACAUAUGAACUUACCUCGAUACUAAAAUGGCCAUUUUACCAACUUUCUCGAUUUUCAAUUUUUCUCCCAUUCUAGAUUCAAAUCUCGUUUUCGGGAUCUAAAACAUCAUAUUUUACUUAUUUAAUUAAUGUACUAUUCAAAACAGUCCUUAAGUCAAACUUUGGCAAAAUUACAAUUUUGCCUAUAAACUUUUGCAUAUUUACACUUUUGCCCCUAGGCUUGGGAAUUAAACUUCAUCCCUUAUUCUUAUUUUUUAUGACAUGCUGAUCAUUUUUCCCUUCUAUUGCAACAUCAAAUUCUCACUCUAACACAUAGUUAUGAACAAUAACAACUUUUACCGAUUAAGCCGUUUUACUCAUUUUUGCUUAAAACCGCUUAGCAAAAGUUGUUUAACGUAAUUUCAGCCUUCAUAUUCUACCAUAAAACAUCAAAAUAAACACAUUUCACCUAUGAGUAUUUUUCCAAAUAUGAACCCUAGCUUAAAUUAUUGCUAGAAUAAGCUUAAUCAAGCUACCAGGAUUUCAAAAUCGUAAAGAACUUGAAAAACGGGGCUAGAACGGACUUACUAUUGAGCUUGGAAAGCUUGAAAACCCUAGCCAUGGCUUGCCCCAUGCUAAUUUCGGCCUCCAUGAAAAAGAUGAGUCAAUUUUGGCUUUCUUUUCCCUUUUUAUUUCUUUUAAUUACCAAAUGACUAAAAUGCCCUUAAGGCUUUUCUUUAAAAUUUUGUCCUAUUCAUGCCCAUUUUUUUUCAAACAAAUAUAAUGGUCUAAUUUCCAUUUACGGACCUCCUCUUUAAACCCCCAUUUCAGUCAAGUAAUUAUGAAUUAGAACACAUAUUUUGCAACUUUUGCAAUUUAGUCCUAAAAGUCCAAUUAAGCACUUUAUCAGUAAAAUUACUUAACGAUAUUUUUACACAAUAUUUUAAUCAAUAAAUAAACCUUAAAACUUAAUCGAAAUAAAUUUUUUGACUUCGAAUUCGUGGUUCUAAAACCAUCAUUCCGUUUAGGCCCUAAAUCGGGCUAUUACAGCAACUUCUGCAAAUAAGCCCUAAUAGGCAAAUUAAACAUGAAAUCUAUAAAAUUUAUUAUCAAUACUCUAACACAUGCAUCUAAUCACUCGGUAAAUCAUAAAAAUUAAUCGAAAUAAACUUUUCUAUCUCAGAUUUGUGGUUUCACAACCACUAUUCCAAUUAGACCCUAUCUCGAGAUGUUACAUUUGCAACAUAUAAAUUUUUGGAAGUCAAAAGUUUAUCAUGUUUUUGAGAGUAUGGAGGAUCGUGUACUAUCGUGCCGAACGUGAUGCUAUAUACCCUUGAAACGAGAAAGUUUUGACGACCAACUCGAACCAUCAAACGUUUUAAAAGGAACCAUAUUUCAAUUUUUUUAAAAAAAUUUAGGCAUAAGGGCAAUAUUUAAUCAAUUCGGUACCAAUUUUGGGUGUAAUGAGGGUGCUAACCCUUUCUCAUGCGUAACCGGCUCCCGAACCCUUUUUUAUUUUAUUUUACGUAGACCAAAAUCGAUUUAGUAAAAUGUUUUAUCAAGUGAGCCAAUCACACCUAAGCAAAAAGAUUGGUGGCGACUCCACACUUUGUUUUAAAAGUCGAUCCCCGUUUUUCUAAAAAAUGGUUUCGACAGCUUGGCGACUCCACUGGUGACUGAAUAAGAGAGUCAAGCCAUAAAAUUGAUUAAUUUCUGUCCUUUUGUCUAAAAUUGAAAUUUUGAUUUGAUUCUUUGUUACAUUUCUUUGCAUGAUUGUUGUUGUUCGAGUUUUAUAGUGUACUCUUGCAUUGCAUUGCAUGACCGGUAUGGUCACACCCUCUAAGUGGGAGUGAGAAACUACGCCUUCGUGAGGUUUUCAUCUCCGUAUGGGCUAGUGGAUUACUUCCGGGAUACAUCCGUACCUACAAUUUCGUGAGAUUUUCAUCUCUGUAUGGUCAUAGGGAAAUGUAUUCCUCUGAACUGAACUCAAUCCAUAUUAGCCUAUAAUGGGUGAAGAUUGAAGAAUCUGCUGGUUCAGGUACCCUUUCCCUAGAACUGAGCCACAUAUAGUGAACCUUGAGAGUCCACCUUAGGUAAGACCUUGCCCAAAUUUAGUGGUCACCUGAACAAGUACUUUAUUUAUGACUACAUUGCAUUACAUCAUCAUAGAAAGGAGGUGUUGAUUCAUAUUUGAUUGCUAAAUAGAACAGUUUGUCAUAAAAAAAUGAAUUUCUUGAUAAACUGGAUUACAAUACGGUUGUCUGAAUAUGGUCCAAGUAAACACGACAGAAGAAGGCUAACAGUUCGUGGAAGAAAAUAAGACUUUACCUAAGGAUUCAAGCUGAUAAAGAUUAUUCAAAAGCCGUCGCAUCCCGACUUUCUUAAAGGAGCUAAUCAACAUUGCGAGGAUAGUAAGUCGUGGCCUGGAUCAAGCAAAAAGGAGCUAGUAGAGGCAUUUAUUAGAAGCUUGCGAGAUUUGACUUUCACGAAGAAAAGGGAUCAGUGUCUUCACCUGGAAUAUGAAAGCAAGGCCGUAUACGUAAUCCGUUUUAUGUAAAAGAAUUUGUUUUCUAGAAAAGUUGUUCUAAGAAAAUUGAAUUCAAAAACAACAUAUUUCUUUCCUUUGCAUUCAUCCCAUGCAUUUGCAUUACAUUGCAUCAUUUGCAUUAGAUUUUCCCAAAAGGACCCUAAUUAGGUAAAAUUAUUUCAGAACCUACACAUGGACCAAAGGUUGAAGAGAAUAGAGCAAAGGAAAAUACAGAUGCAAGAGCAAUUGAUCAAAAUUCAACAAGAUAUGCGAGAACAAAUGUUAGAACUCCAAAGAAAUAUGAUGGGUCGGUUAACCUAGUUACUGGCCGGAGAAUUUGAAAAAAUAAGUGGCCCAGUGGUCAAUAGUGAGAAUGAUAAUGAAGACAUCAUCUAUUCCCCAAGUUUUACCCCAAUAAGCGUCCUGACCCAACCAAACAUUCAAGGGGUACCCGUCAUUAUCGGCCCCCAAUAUCAGCUGAUACAUCGACACUGUUAAGGUUCCUGACGGGUUCAGGUUUUAACCCAGAAGAUGAUCGAGCCAAACCAAUUGUUCUGGUAGAAACAAAGGAAAUGGGAGAGUGGAUUUUAAAGGCCCCGAAGAAGAAGGAAAAGAAAGUAAAUAGUACGAGUAGGUAUAACAAGGGUCGUUCGGAGCCGAUUAUAGUAAGCCAGCCAAUGACGGUAACUACCAGCCGUCAGGCCUCCCCAAAGCAAGAACCCAAUCGAAGACCGAACUCAGAAAAACCCCAAGUCACGCCCAUCCCAAUCACGUACAGGGAGUUGUACCACAUUUUGUUUGACGCACAUGUUGUAUCCCCUUUUUACAUAGAACCAAUACAACCUUCAUACCCUAAAUGGUACGAUACAAGCGACCAAUAUGAAUACAAUACAGGAAUCACGGGGUAUUCCAUCGAGAAAUGUACUGCUUUUAAAAAUUUAAUGAAAGAUUUACCAAAUUGGGCAUCGUGAAAUUCGAUGAUCCCUUUGGUACAGAAAAUCUAUUACCCAAACUUUCUGUUAAAGAGGUAAACAUUAUGAGUUCUAUGAUGGAUAGGGGCAUGAUAUCUAAGGGUGCAUCAAGCUCAGAACCCUAAUGCAAGACUUGAUAUUGGGGGAUCUGAACGUUAACGACGUAUCAGAAGAGGGAACCUGGGAGUAGAAUUUUUCAAGCAUCUGGCUUUACAUACUUGGGAAUGUUUUGAACCAUGAGACUGUGGAAGAGAUCCAUUUACUUUUAGAGCUAAUUUAGAGUAAUAUUCAAAACACGCUUGUUGCUUUAAGCCUAGAAGAAAUAAGAAUCCUUUUGUGAAAUAGGCUUAUAUCCAAAAUCUUUAUUUCAAUAAAAUGCAUAUUUGUUAUCAUUUUGAGUAAAUAUUCUUUUAUUCUUUCUAUUUUAUACUGUGCAAACAAUUAUUCUUAGAUUCUUUUAUUUUUGGACAUUCUUUCGAAUAUUUUUCAUUCAUGAUCAUACCAUACAAAUAAUCAUCCUUGGAAUCAUUUAUUCUUUGAAAAUUGCUUUUGUAUCUACAGUAGGUGCCCAGAUAUCAACGACAUGAGUGACGUUGCUACUGACUCAGAAUCUCCUUUUGAGCGAGAUAUGUGUCUUUAAGGAUCUCAAGACUUGGAAGAUGACAGAGAUUGUAACAUAUCUCUUGGUUUGUUAAGGAUGGUGGAGUAAGAUGAAAACAGAUCCUACAUUACAAAAGUCAGUGGAUAGUAAGCCUAGGACAAGAGAAAGAGGCAAACACCGGAGUCUGUAUCACCACAAAGACAAAGCGAGACAUCAUUAAGUCGUUUUAAGAAUUCAAAGAUGUUUUCACAUGGUCGCAUCAAGAUAUGCCUGGGCUACUAAGGCCUAUGGAUGCUAAAAGGGGUCCAUACGAGCGUCAAAAGAACACAUGCUUAUGGUCUUACGUUAGCCAGACUAAUCAUGAGGAUUCGGGUACUACUGAUCCACCAUGGAAGGGGAUUGUAUCAGUCAAGCCAUGAAUGCCAAACGGAGGAAGACAAGACUUUUAUGCCUCCUUAAUUUCUUCACAAAUUUUCUAUAUGUGGGGCAUGGAUAUUAUGGGGCUGAUCUCGUCAAAAGCUUCUAAUCGAUAUCGAUUCAUCUUUGAGGUCGUCGAUUACUUCGCGAAAAGGGUGAAAGUUGUUUCAUAUGCCAAUGUUACUAAGUCGACAGUCAUCAGAAUUUCAAAAAAAAAGGGGGAUUAUGUGCUGAUAAGAAAUGCCAAAAAGAUUGUACCUAACUGUACAAUGUCAAAGUUCAUAGUCUGUUCAAAGAACAGACGCCACGUCACCUCAAAGACAAACAAAUACAGUGGAGGUAGCCAAAAUGUAUAAGAAUAAAAAUAACUAAAUAAGGAUCAUACGAAAAAUGACUGAGACUUGUAAAGAUUGGCGUAAAGAAGUUACCAUUUACCCUCUAUACUUAUCAAACGUCGGCCAGGACCUUCUCCGGGGCAACACCUUCCUUAUUAUGAAAUAGAAGUGGUUUGCCCAUUGAAAUCAAGAUCCCUUCUCUCCAAGUUUCGAUUGAGUCAAAAAUUAGAUGAAGCAGAAUGGAUCCAGUAAACUUAAUUGAAGAAAAGAGGUUAAAAGUUACCUGUCAUGGUCAAAUGUACCAAAAACGAAUUAUGCGAGUGUACGACAGAAAGGUUCGUCCCAGAUAACUCCACAAGGGAAACUUUAUAUUGAAGAAGACCCUUCCUAUACAAAAGGAUUUUAGAGGAAAGUGGAUGCCAAACUGGGAAGGACUUUAUAUAGUAAAAAAGGUCUAUUCUGGAGGAGCGUUGAUGGUAAAGAUUUGCCCAAUCCAGUGAAUUCAAAUCCAGUCAAGGAGUAUUUUACCUAAAAGGGGAGAGACCAAGCUAAAAACUUGCAAAGGGCGCCUUGAGGCCAAAAAAAAAGAAAAGAAAAGGGAGAGCCAAAGCGAAAACCCGCAAAGGGCGCUUUGAGACCAAUGGGAAUUUGAGUUGAAAACCCAAAAAGGGCGGCUCAAAUAUGGAUCAAAAUAGGGAAUGCAGUAGUCUUACUAUGCUUGAAUUAACAAAGAAGAAGUAUGUUACGUCUUAAGGCAUCGACAAAGUACUCUGGAUCCCCUAAACACAUAUUGAACUCAGAAGGAUCCUCAAGAAGUUGGUAUAGAGAAGCUCAAGCUGCGAUAUCUGGGGCACCUAGUUUUCCAUUUUACCCAUUUUGAAUUGGCUAUCUUUGAUUACCUUAUUCUUUUCAAGAUACGUCCCAAUAAAUUUCCUUCUUAAUUGCAUUUGCUAUUUUUCGACUAAUUUAUUCAUUUCGAGAUACGCUCCCAAUCAAUUUCCUUCUUGUUCAUUGUUAUGAUCUUUUUCAAGCAUUUUGCAUUGAAAUAAAAAUUAAUUGACCAAUAAUACUUUCAUAAAAGAAGUUCUGCAUAUUACUCUGGAAGCUUCUAAAUAGUAUAGGAACCUGAAACAGAACCAUUAUUUAGAACUCACCAAGCCUAAGGGUUGAUAAUAUUUGAGAGAUAGGAGUCUAAAUUGUGGUUAUCUCUCUAAAUUCUUUGUUAAAGAUAUCAGUUGCAUAAGAAACAAGACAUUUCAUCGAUGAGACAACCUCGACAAAUAACGAGCAAUGUCAACGCAAAUGUAAAAGGGGGUCAUUCUCGAGAAAAGGAAAAAUGGUAUUCUGUAUUCACGCAGAUAUUCAGCAUACACAUCUGGUCAUAAUACUAGGUAAUGGUGUAACAAAUCAAAUUGAUUAAAGAUGACACAAAUCCUAUACCUCUGAGUUACAGUAGGAUGGAUAGAAGAAACCAAAUGUUACUCUCUUGAAGUUGCAGUGGGAGGUACAAACUUUAUGCCCCAGAAUGUACGGUGGAAGAGACUCUAAAAUUACAGCGGGUCAAGCUUGCUGAGCAAAACAUAAUUGUUUCUUUGACGAAUGCCAGCCGAACAAGAUGGUAGUAUAAUACGUCAGUGAUAAUACUCUGAUGAAUAAUGAGUGAUGACACUUUAAGAUUUUAUGAAGGAAUCAUUCUCAUGACAUUUGUACAUUCAUAACACAUCUAGUUAGGAGCAUUUGAUUCAUUUCGAUCAUAGCAUCCUAAUUAUUUAACAUAAGCAUCACAUCUAGUUAGGAGCAUUUAAUUCAUUUUGAUCAUAGUAUCCUAGUCAUUUGGCAUAAACAUAGGCAUACAGGACAUGUUCCCUAGAGAACAGUGUAGUGACUAGGCUAAAGAUUGUAGAUCUUGUCUCCCUAAACAGUAGUGGAGCAAGUCGAAGAAGUAAGUUUUAACCCUCUAAGUAGUAGGGUAACAGGAUAAAGAUUGUAGAUCUUGUCUCCCUAAACAGUAGUGGAGCAGAUCGAAGAAAGUAAGCCUUAACCCCCUAAGUAGUACGGUAACAGGCUAAAGAUUGUAGAUCUUGUCUCCCUAAACAGUAGUGGAGCAAAUCGGAGAAGCAAGCCUUAACCCCCUAAAUAGUAGGGUAAUAGGCUGAAGAUUGCAGAUCUUGUCUCCCAGAAGUUACAGUGGAACAGAUCAAAGACGGCGAGCCUUAACCCCCUAAGUAGUAGGGUAACAGGCUAAAGAUUGUAGAUCUUGUCUCCCUAAACAGUAGUGGAGCAAAUCGAAGAAGCAAGCCUUAACCCCUUAGGUAGUAGGGUAACAGGCUGAAGAUUGCAGAUCUUGUCUCCCAGAAGUUGUAGUGGAACAAAUCAAAGACGGUGAGCCUUGACCCCCUAAGCAAUAGGGUAAUAGGCUGAAUUACAGUUCUUAUCUCCCUAAACAGUAGUUGAGCGGAUCAAAGACGGUGAACCUUAACCCCUUGAAUAGUAGGGUAGCAGGCUGAGAAUUACAAGUCUUGUCUCACUAAGCAGUAGCGGAGCAGGUUGAAAUCAACAGCAGAUCUCCUUAGAGUUUCAGCGGAAUAGAUCGAGGCUACAAAUCUCCUCUCCUUGGAAUGGCAUUGGAGCAGCUCGAAGCCACAAUUCUUAUCUCCUUGAAGUCCCAACAGAGUAGAUCGAAGAUACAAAUCUCUUCUCCCUGAAGUUGCAGUGGAACAGAUCAAAGACGGUGAGCCUUAACCCCCUAAGUAGUAGGGUAACAGGCUAAAUUAUAGGUCUUGUCUCCCUAAGCAGUAGUGGAGCAGAUCAAAGACGGUGAACCUUAACCCCCUAAGCAGUAGGGUAAUAGACUGAAGAUAGUAGACCUUAUCUUCUUGAAGUUGCAAUGGAGCAAAUCAAGCUAUAAUUGCAGAAGAAUAUAUUAAAGCCACAAACUUCAACUCCCUGAAGUUGCAGUGGAAUAGGUUAAAGCUACAAGUAGUCACAGUGAAGUAGAUCAAAGCAACAGUUCUUAUACCUCUGAGGAUGUAGUAGGUGAGAAUGAGGCUACUCGAAGAAGAGAAGCACCAAAGAAGUCAAGACUCGGUAAGGCCGAGAAAAAUUGGCCCUCUCUGAAGUCUUUGCUCUAUUCUCGUUACACGAAAAUAAGCAAAGAGGGGAAGCUGUAGAGCCCAAUUUUGGCCCGGGCCCAAACUAACAAAAACCAAAAAAACAUAAAAUAAAUAAAAAAUGUCCAAGUUCAGUACCAUUACAAGAACAACCCAAAAUAUGACUGGCCUAAUGCACUACCCAAUUUUACAAGCCCAAUCCCUAGCCCAAAUUUAUCAGGAAAGAAAGAAACCCUAGGGUUUCUAUGCUAGCACAUUGCGCCGCUGACCAUGUGCCUUCUGUAGCACGCUCGACACCCGAGGUUCGGCCUUACACCAGAAAAGCCAAAACAGUCUCCCUGGCGAACCUGCAAAUCAAAACAAAGACGACAGAAACAAGGACAAGCAGAAACAAAGAAAAACAGUAGCAAAUAGCAAAUUAAAGCCUUUGUAUUCGACUAUAAAAAAGGCCUCGAAUUUACAGUGUAUUUUUUACGAACACUGAAAUAAAAAAGAAGAAGAAACAAUCGGAAGAAAAGAUCUUAAAGGUGUCUCUUUUGUUCAUUGUUUUUCUUUUUUUUUAUUCGAAUCUAUUACAAAAAUACAUAAAAGAGGGAAGGUUUUACCCGUAUUUGGUGUUGAUAUCCUCGGCAUCUGCUUCUUUGGUCCGAAAGCCGACGGAUCCCUAGAGAUCCGGUUAAAGCUUAGACGAAGGAAGCCAAGAGUCGAGAAGUUUUUAUUGUUUUAAGGGUUUUGGGGUUUAGUUUAUGGUUUUUUUAAGUCCUAAAUCUUUUUUUACAUGAAAAGAGGGUUUGAAGGAGGGAAUUUUGAGCUCUCCGGCCACCGUAUACGGCGGAGCCGUCGUCGGUAGUUGACUGUUGGCACGACGGAUGUUCGCUGGGGCCAUUGACCGGAGCUAGGCCGGAUCCUAAAGGGGUUGAGAGGAUUAUUGGAUUUGUUUCUUAAGAGAAAGGGUUAAAAAUGAGAAGUUAUAAAAUUUUUUGACUUUUAUAUAGCUUGCAAACGGCAUCGUUUUGGAGUAUAAACUCAGAGACCAAAACGGCGUCGUAUAAGUCCCUCAACCCGCGUUCUGACCCCACCCAAAGGGGGAUCCACUCGUUUUUUCUCGAUUGGGUUAUUUGAGAAUCCAGUCCCUCAACUUUUUAGCCAGUUCGCAAUCAAGUUUCUUUUUAUUUUAAUUUGCGCCAUAUAAUUUAUUUCAGUUUUCAAGUUAGCCCAGUAUGAAGUGUCGCGUUUUGGAGGGAGGGAAUAUUUUUCCCUUUAGUCCCUCCUUGUUAUUCGCGCGCUCAAAUGGGUCCUUUCCUUUUUAUUUUUAUUUCUGAUUUACCCCUGAAUUUCUAUUUUAAGAUUCAAAUCAAUCCCCUUUUGUCAUUUUUGCUAUUUAAUUAAUUAUUUUAUUAUUGUUCUAAUUAUAUUUUUUUCACGCCUGUUAUUAUAUUAUCAUAUCAUUAUUACUAUAAUUAUUAUAUCUCUAGAUAUUUUCUUACUCAAAUACUAUUAUUUAUCUAUUUAUAUCUCUAUCAUCAUUGUAUUUCUAUAUAUUGUAUCUCUAUUUGUACUUAUGUACUAGUAUCAUUAUUUUAUUAUUAUUUUAUAUAUCAUCAUAUAUAUAUAUAUAUAUAGUUUAUAUUAAAAUUGUUUUUUAUUAUAUAUAUUAUUGAUUUCAUGUUGUCUUUUAUAUAUAUAUUUCCUUUCAAAUCUAUUAUGCAUAAUCUAUUAUGCAUAUAGUUUACUUCUUAAAAAAAAUUAUUUUAUACUUUUGUUAUUUAAAGCUCUUUCAUAUAUUAUUAUCCCUUUUAUAUAUUAUUUAUGUUAAGUUUUUUAUUGUAUAUAUAUUAUCAACUUUAAAUAGACAUAUUUUGUUUUUUUUUAAAUAUUUUGUACAUUAUUUGAUCCAAACUCCCUCUUUCAUGACAUCUAUUUUAAUAAUCAUUCAUGUAUUAUUAGUUUGCAUUUUAUAUAUGAACAUUACUUCAAAUUCUAGCAUGUGUUAUUCAUUUUUAAUUUCUCAUAUAGUUUUUAAAUUGUUUUGUAUCAUAUUGGUUCCUAGUUCCAUAUUAUUUUGUAUGUUAUCCUUUUUUUUUGUUUUCAUAUUCUUUCAUAUAUCAUUGUUUCAUAGUGUCCAUUAGUCUUUUGUGUUGCUAUCUUAAUUUUAUUUGUCUAUGUUUGACAACUUGUUAUAGUGUUAUUCUGCUUUGUUUCUUUAAUUAGCAGUAUCUUUAGUUUUCAUUAUUUUGAUUAUGAUUGUUUGGAUGUGAGUUCAUUGCUAUUGUGUAUGUUAAUUUGUUUUUUUAUUUUUAUACUAUUUUCAUUCAUUAAUAGAGUUUGCUAUCCAUGCAUAUUAUCUUAUGUUUAUGAUUUCGCCUUUCAUUUGUAAUUGUCGCAUUGUAAUUUUCAACUUAUUGAUCCGAAAUUAAUGAUUCCACUUUAUUUCAAGUCAAAUUAAUGCAUUUCAAGCUGGUUUUAUAAUUAUUCGUUUGAAAAUUCCUUAAAACGAAGGAAAUGUUUGAUGUUUGGAAAUUCGGGAAAUCAUGCCCUACCGUGCUGGGUUUCGAUUUCCCGUUUGUUCAAAAUAAUUGAAUAUUCCUCUAGAAUUUCACUCGUGUUUUCCAAAUUCUAAAACAAGACAAUUUUCAAGGUUUGGAAAUUCGGGGAAUCGUGCCCUAUCGUGCUGGGUUUCGAUUUCCGGUUUGUUCCAAAUAAUUGAAUGUUCCUUUAGUAUUUCACUCGUGUUUUAUAAAUUCUAAAGCAAGGCAAUGUUCAAUGUUUGUAAGUUCGAGGAAUCGUGCCCUACUGUACCGGGUUUCGGUUUUUCAUUGGACUAAAUAAUUGGGCAUUCUUUUGUGAUUUGCAACAUAUAAAUUUUUGGAAGUCAAAAGUUUAUCAUGUUUUCGAGAGUAUGAAGGAUCGUGUCCUAUCGUACCGGACGUGAUGCUGUAUACCUUUGAAACGAGAAAGUUUUGAUGACCAACUCGAACCACUCAAUCAUUUUAAAAAGAACCAUAUUUCAAUUUUUUUUAAAAUUUUAGGCAUAAGGGCAAUAUUUAAUCAAUUCGGUACCAAUUUUGGGCGUAGUGAGGGUGCUAACCCUUCCUCAUGCGUAACCGGCUCCCGAACCCAUUUUUUUUAUUUUACGUAGACCAAAAUUGAUUUAGUAAAAUGUUUUAUCAGGUGAGUCAAUCACACCUAAGCAAAAAGAUUGGUGGUGACUCCACACUUUGUUUUAAAAGUCGAUCCCCGUUUUUCUAAAAAAUGGUUUCGACACCUAAUACUCAUGAAAUGUUUAAAGCCCUUAGUUACCUAUUUCAAAUUGUAUUCCUCAAAUACCCUAAUAAAAUUCCCUAACUGUUUAGUCACUAUUUUAAAGUAAAAUUCCGGAGGUAAGUCAUGAACUUGAACCCAAAAAUAAGAGUAUACCAAAGGCACCAACAAUGGGUCCUCCAUAUCCCCUAAACUAUGAAACAGCAAUAGAUGAUUAUUAAAUGUCCAGUGCGCUCCUUUCACAACUCUUUCAAUGUCCACCUGAUGAAAAAACCGAAAUAGAUAUCAUUUCUCCCCUAGAUUCGAAAUCUCAAUGCCCCCUAAUGGAUGCCAAAGAUUCGCUAAAGUAUUGCGCAUCACCAGAAAUUGGACCACACUGGAUGUGAGGAAACAACCUACAAGACAAAGAUCAUACAUUCUAUUUUAGCCUUCCGAGACUCCGGCAACCUGCAACACCUCAUCAUCAUCAUUGAUACGCAACCCCGCCAUCCUAUUUUCUAUUGACAGAUUCACACGCACAAUCAACAGCCUCUACGAAGAUCACAUAAAAGACAAGAAAAAGAGAACUCAAAAUCGUAAAGAGUCCAAAAUCGAAAAAACACUAACAAAAUGAUAAGAAAAAAACCCUACAAACAUGCUACUUUAGAGCAGACAGAGACGUGCCAUUAGGUAGAGUUUAAUUAUUUUAUUUAUAAUUAUUUGAAAAUUUAUGUCUAAGAUGAUUGUCCAGGUUGUCCAUGUUCAAAUAAACCUAGACAACCAUUUGUUCAAGUUUAUUCUAGAUGUGGUUUUUUAAAUAAUUAUAAAAUACAUUUAUUUAAAAAAAAUUAAAUAUUCCCACGCCAACAUGGGGCACACAGGACAUGCCACAUGUCACUAUCUGAGUGCUCUAUCAGCCGCGUCAACACUUACUAGUAGAAAUGGGUAAACUUUUUAACAAAAUGACCAAUUCCCUCUUUGAUCUAACGUAUAAAGACUAAUUUGUCCAGUUUUUUAAUAGAAUGGGCAAAAUGCAAUUCAACUCCUAAUAUAGGGGCACCAAUGAUACUCUUACCAUUUUGUACAAAUAAAAAAUUAAUUUUACCUUGAGUAUUACUUUCCACGUCAUUGUUUAAGGGUGAAUUUUGUACAAAAGAUUGCAUCUUUUUUUUCUUAAAAUAUAGGGGUUAAUUUGUUUUUUUAUAGGGGGACAAAAUGCGAUCUAACUUCUAGUGCAAGGGUUUCAAUGAUACUUUUACACUUAAUGUUCAAUUCUUGUUUUCUUUAAAGUUGCAAUAAUUUAUUUCUUCAAGAUUCUGGUGUUCCUCUUCAAUAUAUUAGGAUUUAUUAAUCUUAGAGAGAUUAAAGUCGAUAGAUUGCUUUUUGAAAUCAAUUGAACUUGAAAUAAAAUCAGUACAUAGAAAUGGAAAGCUUAACUUUAUUCAAAGUUUGUUGCAAUGGGAGAUAGAACAAAAACUAUAAGCCCAUAAAAGUAAAAAAAAAAUGGAGAAGAAAUAAUAAAAUCAAAUGUUGUUAAUGCAGUUUAUACAUAAUGGUCCGACGUUUGCAGAACUUCAUUCAAGAUAUAAUAUUAUUCAAUCAACCAACAAGUCAACACACCUCUAUCAACUAAAACCCUGAAACCUCCUCUACAAGUAAAGUUCAUAUGGCCUCAAUAGAGAGCUACGAUACAACUGGCAUACACCUAAUAUUACUCUAAUACCAUAUAAGAAAAUACUUCAACACUUAGACAAGAAUAUGAAUAUCUCAAUACAAAAAAACUUAGAUCAAGAUUAUUUGAUUUCCCAUCAUUCAAAGUCACACACCCACAUCAAGAAAAUAAGUCUCCUUUAUAUAAAGUCAACCAGCAUGUUAAAAGAUCUUGAUAAGUUUUUUGAAUCAAAGCUUCACAUUCAAAGGGCAACCAAUAAUGAUAGUUCACUCAUUUUUAUCUAAUACACUGUUCAUGAUCACUUAUACAUUAGAUUAAAGAGAUGAUGAAAGACAUAAAAUUUCCCAUAUCAAGGUUAACUGAAUGAAAGUUUUACUAUCUUGAUUUGUCGAAGAUGCCACUCUAUCUUUUUAGCUAAAAAAUACCGUGUUCGACCAGCCCAAAGAAAACGUGUCUUCAUUCGAAAAUAACAUGGAACCAGCAAAACAAAAGUCAAAAGGGUUACAACAACAACUUCAUCAACAUCAAAUCAAUUUAAAUGUUCUUAAUUUCAGUUCUUUUUAAGUUCUAAAUUUGAUUCAUAUUAAUCUUAAAUUCUGAUGACAUCUUGUAUAUUUUCAGAGUUUCAAGCUGCACAUCCUCACUCCAAUCCAAGAUCCGCACAAAAACACUAGUUUAAUGGAUCUUCAUCCUUAUUUCACAUCAUACCAAUUAGAUUUGUGAUUAUCCCUCCUAAGGAUGUCAUUUUCCAUUAAAGUUCAAACUUGAGUCCUCAUCCUUGAAAGUACAAUGCAUUUUACCAUUUCAUCCAACCACUUAUUGAUAAUGAUUCAAGUUUUUUAAAUUAUAAGAGUGAGUAUAUCAUAUCAUAUUUUAAACUAAUCUCAUAUCCUUUAAUCAAAUCCACCUCAUAAAAUUAAUAACAUUUUUUUCAAUUAUCAUAAAAAUAAUCUUUUUUUUACUGAUCUACAAGGAUCUUAUUUUAAAAAUAUAAAAUCCAAAAUACAUUCCACACUACAAUAGAACAACUUGUAAAGAAGAUUCUGUUUACAAAUGUAAUUAUAAAAGGGUUUACUAUUUUGAUAUAUAUAUAUAUAUAUAUAUACACAUAAGCUGAUAUCAUAUAAUUCUGGAGAUACAAAAACAAAUAGGUGAAAGACGGUUUUGUAAGCAAGUGAUGGAUAUGGAUUCAUAUGAAAUUGAGUUCAAAUGACAUGCAUUGGCACAACUAGUUGGGAAUGGGACAAGGAUAUAUGAAGUGGGUUUGUUUAAUCAUUCAUGAAAGGCAACAAUAAACUAAGAGACAAAUUUCACAUGGGUUUAUCAAAUCAAAAUCUAGUUUUGUAUCUCCAAACUCAACAUCAAAAUUCCCAACUAUCCCAAACUUCAUACUUUUGAUAUGAUGUUGGGAAAUAUAAUUAAUCUUCCAACUUUAGUUCAAAAUGGAAUUAUAUUAUAUGGGUGUCCACACUUUUAUUAUCCAAAAGCUUAUAAUUUAUUGUAUUAUUCUGUAAACCUAACUAUAAAUAUUUAUUAACCAUAGACUUGAAAUUCUAUAUUUUAUUUAAAAAGGAAAAAGAAAGGAAAAGAAAAACAAUGAACCUCUCAUUGAGAAGUGUUGGAGGACAAGUAGUAGGUGUAGUUUCAUCAGAUAGGGUCCCCCAAAAGAGGCCAAAUAGCAUUGAUAGUGCGAAAAAGAGAAGUUUCUCUUUUAGCAUCCGAAAGAGAAAGGAGACUUUCUUUUCUCAAACUCUUUUUUAAUCACUAUUUUACCACUAUUUAUCACCAAAAAUCGUUUGGAAGUAUUUAGAAAUGGAAUCAAUUGGACUCCAGCCUUCAAUUUCAUCCAUAUUUAAUUUAUAUUACUCAAUAUGAUUGAUAAUUUUUAAAUUUUAUUUAUUUCAUAAUUUUAUGUUAAAAGAUGCUUUAUCAAACACUCUAAUCUUCUAAUAUCCAAAUAUAUAAAUACUAAUUUUUUUUAAACAAAUUAAAGCUAUGAACUACAAAUGAAACAUCAAAUAUGUUUCAUCCUUAUUUUAUGUUUAAAUUUGAGAUUUAAUUCAUAUACUCUAAUUUAAUCAUUCAAUUUUAUAAUAUCAUUAAUUAAUCCAAAUAAUUGAUAUAUAUUAACAUGAAUUUUUCUUAAAAAGAUCUUUCCAAAUUUAUCAUGCUAACAUAUAUUUUGGUAAUUUACGACAUUAUUUUAAAUAAAAUGAUCAUAAUUAUUUGGGUAAAAGGAUCUUCCUAAUCUUUCUCAAUUUCAAUAUUAAGUAAAUUGGUUCCUUUUUUAAAAAAAUGAAGUAAUUUAAUCAUUAUUAAUUUUGAAAAUAAGCAAAUAAGGACAAUUAAUUACGGUGUUAAUGACUUUCGUCAAUUGUACAAAAUUUUGACUGAUAUAAUAACAAAUUUAACCCUCAAUGUUUAAAUAUUUUGUCAAUUUGAUCUUGAUUCUAAAAGAUUAAACAAAUUUAGUUUCAACAUUUACAUAUUUACACAAAUUAUGUGGCCUAAAUUUGUUAAAUCAAGACCAAAUUAACAGAAUGUGUAAACUUUGAGAGGUACAUUUGUUAUUAUAUCAAUCAGAAUUAUAUACAAUUGAUGGCAAACAUUAACACAAUGAUUACUUGUCCUUAAAUGUUUACUUUCGAAAUUUACAAAAACUAAGUUGCUUCACUUUUUUUUUUUAAAAGAAACUAGCUUGCUUAAUAUCGAUAUUGAGAAGGCAGAAAAAUCUUUUUACCUUAUUUGAGCUAACUGAAGAAAAAUAAUAUUUUAGUUUCGAUUUGAAUUAUUAUUCUUUGUUUUGUUACUAGUUCAACAGCGUAAAAAAACAUAUUUGAUACAUAUACAUUAAAACAGUUGGUCAUGAAAUAAAAAUUUGCUACAAUGGGUUGGGGUAUUACAGUAGAGGAUAAAGUUGUGGCCUAGAGUUGUAGGCUGACUUCCUAGGUAGAGGUAAGUGGAACCUAAAUGCCAAAACACGCAAAGAUUUGCUACAAUGGGUUGGGGGUAUUUGGACAAACUUCUGUGGGGGACAAAUUGAAAGCAAAGCAUGCCUUUCUAAUAUUUGUCCACUCAGUAGCUUUCAUUAUUGAAAUUUCAAUAAGCAUUCUCCAGGAUUCUACUUUUUCAUGCCACAUAAUUAUCGGGGAAAAAAAAUCAAACAAUAAGAACUACAUUUUUUGCUGCCUGUGACCUAAAGAGUAAUGAAAGAGGCAGGAGCUUGAUGAUAGAAGUGAAUCUAACAUGUAAUUAUCACAUUCGGUAAACUUAAUGUUCAAAUCAUGAUAUCUACAGUCCUUUAAUUUUAUUUCCAACUUGCAGUGAAGAGAUAAUGAAACCAUAUAUAUAUAUAUAUAACUGCAUUAAGCUUUGAACCUUUGGAGGCCAACUUUAUAGCCUAGAGUCCUGGUGUCUUUUUGCACUUGUUCUUGGAAAUCUUUGUAAGUAAAAGGUUUAUAUUUUGAGCUGUGGAUCACACUCUCUUCAGCUGGGAAUACAAAGUAGCAGAUUGAUAGCCGCUCCUCCUGCUUCUUCACUCUCACUCUAUGUUUCACACUCAUGUAUUCGUCGUCACUUAUAGCCUAUACUCAACACAAUUUUAAUACCAAAUAAGUAAGAUUUUCAACAUUGAUAAAUAAAUAAAUAAAAACUAAAGUAUUACUGUUGAGGGUAAGAUACUCAACAAGCUAUAAUAUUAUUUUCGAUUGGGACUUUUGUCUUUUUACUCAGUCAAGAAUUCUUGGCAAGUUCACAAAGUAGAGCUUGCCUCAUCACCUAUGGCAUAUAAGUAACUAAUGAAGAGCAUGCUACUACUUGAGUGUUCCGCGUGUUCAAGCACUAAGCGCUUUCACUUUAUAAAUCUAUACAACUUUUAAUGGAGUAAAAAGUCAAAAUCUCAAUCAGGGAGGAUACCUCAACAAUUACCAUAUAAUAUAUAAAUGAAAUUUGAAUGAAGUGGGUUGUAUAGACCUGCAUCAUGUCACCGAUAUGAACUACAAGAGUGUUGGGAAUUGGGUUAACCAAGUGCCAUUUAUUGUCCUUGAAAAUUUCUAGUCCCCCAACAUGAUCUUGGUUCACUAUGGAAAGCACUGAGCUAUCGGUGUGUGGGAUCAUGCCCCAAGCCUCGCCAGCCAAGGAGCGGCGCGGUGGAUACCUGUAAACCCGAAUGAAUGCAGUGGAUUCAUCUAACUUAGACUCGGAUUGUUUAGGAUCAAGAUCGAGAUUCUUCGCCAUUGAUUCAAACAAGGUUGUGGCAAUCCUUGAAAGGUGCCUUCCAUAUUCUUCCAACAAAAGCCUAGUGGAAAAGACAGUUAAGGAAAAAAAUAUCUAGUUAGCAAGUAAGCAAAAUGGGGUGGGGCAACUUAAUCGACCAUGGGAGUCAUUUCGAGAACUGGGAAAGCAGAUUCGUUUUAUUAUGGGAAAAAGAUGAAGACCCAUGUUUUUGUUUAUAUAUGUUAUGGCAAAGAAUAAUUUGCCAUUGAUCGAAAGGCUAAGCACAUUGAGGGUGGUGGUGGGGGACUGUGUUCUUUCACUUAUGGAACAUAUCAAUCAAAAGCUGUUCCAAAGUCAUUCUUGUUCCUUGCUGCUUUUGCAUUUCGUGGCCUUACCUCACUAUCCAUGCUUUAUUUUACGGGGAAUUAUAAGCUCCAUACACAAAACAGCAAGGUGCUUUAUGUUCCUGAGAGGAUCCUAAGACAAACUCAAGAUGAAUUCAAAAUUUUACUCCCAAACAACUUUGAUUCUCACCUAUCACUAUUUCUUUUGCAAAAUCACUAUGCUUUAACUCUAAAAUAGUUACCAAAAACAAACCAUGAUUUCAAACCAAAAAGUAAGACAGAUAAUCAGCCUUUCAAAUCAAACCAUAUUUUUAACAUGAUAAUUUAAUCUAAACUAAAAACUCUAAUAUAUUUUAUUAUUUAUAAAAUCAUGUUUAAAAUAAAUAUUUUUUUUUAUAAACACCUUUUGAUAACAAUGGAAAACAUUGUCAAUUUUUUUCAAAGUAUUUUUUAAAAUUACUUUUUAACCUCAACGAUAAACAAAUUUUUAAUGUUUCUAUGUACAAACUGAUUGAGCCUUAACUCAUUCGAUUUCGUUACAAUUACAAUAAAUAGGAGGACAUAAUUUCAAAUACCUAUUGGAUACUCAAAUUUCAAACCUAUUACAUAGGACUAGGGCAAAAGGAAAGAAACAAACAAGAGUUUUGACCUUCUUCAUAUUCUUUAUAUGAUUAAUGUUAUUAUAAUACUACUACUAAUAAUAAGGAGUUUAUUUAGCCCCAUAUUUAUAAUUUGACUAAUUUUAAUCUUGAGUCCCAUUCUACAUAAAAUUCUCGACUUUGUCAUUGAAUCUGAUUACUUGAUUAUAUCAAGUCAAAAUUUGAAUUCAAUUAUCUUAUAAACAAUGAAAUGGAACACUUAAUUAUUAAUUUUGUGGAUGAAAGUUUUAAUUGCUAAAGAUUAAAGGACAUGAUCAAUCAUGUAUAUAUCCAUCCAUAUUAUUAUUAAACUGGAGUUAUAAAUUAAUUAAGGACUAGUUCAAUUAGAAAAUAAUUUAAAAAUAAUUUCUUAACAAAAUAAAAAAUAUUAUUAUAGUUAUGGUUUUGUCUUUUCAUAAUUUCCUAUAAAAUCUUUACCUAAAACAACUAAAAACUAAUUUCCUAAAAAAAUACUGACUAAAUGUUUAGGAUACAACAUAAGAUUUGUACAUAAAAUUUUUACUACUACACUUAUAAUUUAACUAAAAGUAAUUUUUUAUAAAUAUAGAAAUUAUUUUAUAAAUCUUUUUCACCAUAUUAUUUAUGGUCCAUUUUCAAUUAUUUAAUAACAUUUUAAUAAUUUUUUUCAUCUCAUUAACACAUAAAUUUGGCAAUUUUUUUACUCUUAACCUUAAAUCUUGAACCUUAAACUCCAAACCCUGAACAUUGAACCCCGGCCCUUGACUUUAAACCUUAAACUCUAAACAUUAAAUCUUAAAUCUUGAAUCAAACCUAAACCCCAAAUUUAAAUCCUAAAUCUUAAAUCCUAAACUUUAAAUUUGGGGUUCGAGUUUAAGGUUUGGGAUUCGAGGUUCAAGUUUUAAAUUUUGAGUUCAGGAUUUUGGAUUCUAUGUUUAGGAUUUGGGUUUGAAUUUUUGGUUUAAAUUAGAGAUUAGGGUUUGAAAUUUAAAUUUUAGAAUUGAGGGUCAUGGUGGAAGGUUCGGUUUCGUCUUUGCUACAUGAGGAUUCACUAUCUUAGCUCGACAUUGAUGAAAUAAAUUAAUCAUCAUUGGAACUAUACAUUCAUCCUCCUAUCAAUAAACCAUACAGGAAAUAUACUAUUUAUCGUACUGUUAUCAAUCCAUGAUUGUUAAUCCUACUGACAUAAUUGGUCCCACAACCUGAAAGUUGUUGAUUAAUCUUCGUUACGACUUACAAGAAUGAGAACUCAAAAACUGUGAUAGUUUUCAUUGAAAAUUAAAUUCUUCCAAUUUUCAGUUGAAUCAUAUAUAUGGUGAUGGCGAGGAAUGUGGUAUAUAACUAUGUAUGGGAAAUUAAAAGUAAAGAAAAUAUGAUGAUUGGUCCAUUGAAACUAUUUGCAUAUUUUGUUUUGGGGACAGGGUCUUAAAAAAGUUAUUGAUGCUGACCUUGCAAUCUUCAUUUUUUGCAAAAAAAAAUCUGGAACAGUUCAAUCAGUUGGUCACUUCGUAGUGAUUACUGCCCACCCAAAAGCAAUACAAAAUCCAAAAAGAAAAACGCCAACCAAAAGCAAUCAACAAAGAAACAGUACCUGAAACAAUGAAGCAUAGGAUGUUCAGAAUGGAAGUGUGGGAGUUGAGUGAGUGGAACAUUAAACCCUUCGAGCCAGUUCAUAGUUGAAGUCGAGGCAGCAGGGUUUAGAGCAGUCCCAGAUGGGGUUAAGGCAGGGGUGCCCCAGAAAUAAGACAUAGGGUUAGUGAUUAAGGCUUGCUUGGACUCAAAGGAUAAACCAAACAACAUCUUGGCAUGGUACUGAAGUUUGGUCAAAAGGGUUGAAGGGAUCCCAUGGUUAACCAAACGAAAAAGACCCCAAUUUUUACAAGCAUCCCCAAGCUUAUGCAGGCUAAGGCACUCAAGAUCCACCAUAGGGAUUGGAACUGAAUCUUCUUGGGUGGUGGUACUGGUGUCUUCCAUGGAGUAGUUGUUCUUCUUCAAUUGAGCCAUCAUCUGCUGCGGAGGAUGAACACCCCCACCGUUCAGCUGGCGAAACACAGGAGGGUAAGAUCCAACGUUGCUCAUUUGAAGCAUGUUUCUAAUCAUAUACCUUAUAUAUUUUCUUCUGUAUUUCAGGGUUCAGUACAGACGGUAUAUAUAGAGCGAGGGGAUUAGGUUUUGUCCUAAAGUGGAAGUGAAAUUAUAUUUAGGUAGGGACCCAUUUUGAUAUGUUGUGACACGUGUCGAUAUAUCGUCACCCUAGCUAAGCUGACUUGUUUUUAUUUGUCAGUCACUGCAACUUUAGUGAAUGCCUAAAAGACCUCCCUCAGUCAGCUGAUUUGCCGGCUACUGCCUGCUCUGCUCCGGUAUCGUCUUAGGAUUUCUCACAACACUGCUUUAAGUAUAGCAAUUGGUGAAGUUUCUUGUUCCUUUCGGAGACGCGGAUAUCCGUACGUCUUCGGCUGAGAUACAAAGCUCAAAUUUGGUCAAAAUUACACAUGUUUUUAAAUAUCUGUGAUUAAAAUGUGAUUUGAUAAUUUUUAAAUGGUCAAAUACUAUUUUUUUUUGAAGUUUUUUUGUUUGUUACAAAAGUACAAUAAUAAUAAGUGAGUUAAAUUAUUAAAAUUAUAAAAUUUUAAUUUCUUGAUUUGAAUUUCUAAAUUAUAAUUUUAGUAACGAAAAUUAAUUUUUGUACCCAUUUUUUAUUGGUACAUGAUAUUUUUAACCAUAUAGACUUGCUAGCAAUAAGUUUUGUUGUACGGUAUAAUAACAAAAAAGUCCUUCAUACUUUACACCUUUGGACAAUUGAACUUUUUGUUGAAGUACUUUAGCCCUCAAUGUUUUAUUUCGUUAAAUUUUAACCACAUGAAUGAUUGUACAAUACAACAUGGUUUAAAUGCUCAAGAAAAAUUGAAAAUCUUACAUAGAAUUAAAAUAUAUAUAUUUUUUAGUUAAUAAAAACAAUAAAUUAUACAAAAAAACUCAUAUUUUUAAAAUUGUUAAAAUUUUAUAAAUAAUACAUUUGUAUAAUUGAAUAUAAUAAAAUCAAUAUUAAAGUAUUUUAUUUAGAAUAUAUCAAUUUUUUAUAAUAUUUACAAAUAUUUUAAUAAUGAUUAAAUUUUUUAUUAACAUUGUGAAAAGAAAACUGAAUAAUGAAUUAAGACUUUUUAAUGAAAUAAUUGUUCUAUUGAAUAAAAAAGAAGAAGCUAAUAAUUACUUUCACUAUUCCAAUCACCGUCCUUAAUUUUGAAAACGCCAUAGGAUUGUUACUUGCUUCGUUUUAAGAAUCUCGAAGGUACAAGUAUAUAAAAUCUUUCAACCUACCCCUGCGUUUAUAUAUUUUUACUACCUCAACAUGCUAAUUGUUUUUACAUUGAAAUUUAAAAAAAAGUUUAUUCAACUUAGUCCUUGAAUAUGAUAAUUGCUUUCACGUUGAAAUUUUAAUUUUUUUUGUCCAAAUAGUCCUUGAACUUGGUAAUUAUUCUCACAUUAAGGAUUGAAAUUUUUUUUUUCAAGUUGGUCCUUGAUAUUUCUUUAAAAACCAUAAAAUUCAAGAUCUAAUUGAGAACAAUUACCUAAUUUAGGCCCCAAAUAGUUAUUUAACUCGUACAUAAAUUAUGUCCUACUUUUUUUUUUUUGAAUAAAACAGUAUUUAAUUUAUGAACUUGGCAAUUUUUUAACUUGAUUCAUGAAAUUUUUUUUGUCUACUUUAGUUUUGGAAUUUGGCAACUUUUCUCAAAUUGGUCCAUGAAUUAAAGUAAUAAUGACACUACCACUAAAAUUGUGUCAUGUUAUUACCUAUAUUUAAAAAAAAAUGUAUAAAAUCUAAAAAAAUCCAAUAUAUAUAUUAAAUCAAGUAAUGAUAUGACUCAAUCUCAAAGUAUCACAUUAUCGUAUUUUUAUGAAAUUUAAAUUUAGGGACUAAAUUUAAAAAAUUAAUCAAAUUUUGAGAUUAAUAUGGACAAAAAAAUUUGGGGGCUAAGAAAAAUUUUCAAAUUCAAAAACUAAAAGUUAGUUUAUCUUUUUUUUUUUACCUAAACAUUUCUGCCUAGUUUAUAUAUUUUCUGCUUUUUUUUUUUUUAAUUCAUUGAGGAAAUGGCAAUAGUAGGCUUAGAACUCGAAGGCGUUUCAUGGUUGAUCGGGUUGGUUAGGUCCAGUUUUGGGCCAGGCUUAGACUUUGGAUCGACUUGAUCUAGUCAGUUUAUUAUUGAAAAAUAAUUAAAAAAUAUUAAAUUAAAUUAAAUUUAUAUUUAUAUAUAUUUUAUAAUUAAAUUUAAAUAAAAAUAAUUUUAUUAUUUUUCAAACAAUAGAACAGAUUAUUGAGAUAGACGAAACCAUGUUCGAGCUGGAAAACUUGUUUAAAAUCGAACCACGACCUAUGUUAUUUAGUACAAUUAUGACUCAAAGUUGCUUCAUUCUCAGGGGAAGUCAACAUCUCAAGUUUAAUGGUUUAAAUUCAAUUUAAUCAUUUAUUUAUUUUUGAAGGUAGGAGAAGGAUUAUGAACUUUUUGUAAUGGAAUAAAAUUGUAAUUAGUAAUUCAAAUAUUUAGUUGAAUGGAAUGGAAUAGAAUAGAAUAGAAUUGUAAUAGUAUUCUUAUAUUUGGUUGAAUGGAUUGAUAUUGGAAUGGUUUAAGAAAGAAUUGAAAUGACCAUAGUACACUUAACAGAAAUUUUUUAAAUAAAUAUUUAUUAUUUUUAAAUUUUAAUAAGAUUAGUACCAAAUUCAAAAUUAUUAUAGGCCCAAAAUGGUGAGAUAAAAAAAGCCUAAAAAUCUGUAACAAUAGCCCAAAUUAAAAUCCAAAGAACGAGCCCUAUGAUUUUUCCAAUUUCAUUUAUACGUUUUCAAAUCCACACAGAUCCUCAUCUUUCUCUCUGCUUCGAGACUCUCUGGAACAUCACCAAAGCCGACUUUCAGGUCACCCUCCUCCUUUUCUUUGCUAACUCAUAUACCCGCUCCAAGCUUGCUGUUUGCUUUCUUUUAUUUUCCUUUUGUUCUUUUUUUAGUUUUUUUUUUUUUAUUAUUGGUUGGUCUGCAAAUUAAAUUUUGUUAGUUAUUUUGCUUUUUAUAUGGUGCAAUUAUCUUAUAAUUAGGGUUGUAGCAAUACUAGGAAGCAAAAGAGAAUUAAAUGAACAUGGGUAUCAGAAUCUUAUUAAGUCCUGUCUUUGAUUUGUGAUGUUGGUUUUUGGAUUUUUCUUUAUAAUACUCUUUUGUAACCUCUUAAUAUUGAGGAGAACUUGAGUGUUUAUCUUAUAAUUAGGGUUGUGUUAUGGCUAAUUAACUAUCCUUCCAUAGCAGUAUCUAGGGAACAAAAGGGACUUGCAUUAGUAUGAGUAUUAAUAGGAACAAAAGAAGGGAAUCAGGGUCUUAAUAAUUUCUGUUUUUUGUUUUCUGAUGUUGGGUUUUUGAAUUUAUCUUUAUAUUACACUUCUUGUAUUGUUUGAUUCUUUUGCUUUUCUGUUUCAGAUCUUGGAACAACUAGGAACAAGUUUGGGCAGUCAUGGCUAAGCACCAUCCUGAUUUGAUCAUGUGCCGGAAACAGCCGGGGAUUGCAAUAGGACGAUUAUGUGAGAAGUGUGAUGGCAAGUGUGUAAUCUGUGACUCUUAUGUCCGCCCUUGCACGCUCGUGCGAGUUUGCGAUGAAUGCAACUAUGGGUCGUUUCAAGGUAGGUGUGUUAUCUGUGGAGGGGUGGGGAUAUCCGAUGCAUAUUACUGUAAGGAGUGUACUCAGCAAGAGAAAGAUCGCGAUGGUUGUCCAAAAAUUGUUAAUCUCGGGAGUGCUAAAACAGACUUAUUCUAUGAACGUAAAAAAUAUGGUUUUAAGAAAAGAUGAUUGAUGUUUACCUGCUGUGAUUAGGUCUUGCUGUGCUUAUGUCACAGGGAAUGCCGGAUUUUAGAAUAUGUUGGUAUCACAGAGAGACUUAAGCUCUUUAGAAUUAUGUUAUUUUAAGAACUGUAGUUGAUUGUACUAGGGGCCUAAUUUAUUUACACAGAAUCUGGUAUGGAAAUAUCUGGUUGCAUUGUUUAUGGAGUUCUAUUGCUGAUUUACACCUAUUGAUUCGUAGUUUAUCCUAUGUAUUUGCAUGUGGUUUGUGGGUGAGCUUUUGCAAGCAAAGUUUUCUCAAAGUCAUCGUUUUAGGUUUUGCAUAUCUCGUGCUUGUGCCUGUCCUCGUUUUAGGUUUUGCAAAGUUUUUAAGUGCUUUAUUACUUGCAUUAUCUACUUCUAUAUGCUCUACAGUCUUCUUGUGUUACUUGUGCAUGAAGCAAAUGAAAAUUGUUAUCGCACUAUAAGACAAUCCUGGUUCGAAAUCGACUAUGUUGCAGAGCAACCAAGCGGCCGAAUGAAUCUCAGCAAUAUCUCCUAUUCUUGCAUGUAAAUUGAUUGACAACUUACUGUUUUUCUGGGGGUUAAUUACACCAAAGUCCUCAAACUAUAGAUCAAAUUUAAAUUGAUCUUUUGAAAAUGUUUUAAUUGAAUUAUCAAACAAAAUUAUUCUUCUAAUCAAAUUAUUUCGUCAGUCUAAUUGCCAGCUUUAACGUUAAAUAUUGUAGCUUUGUUUUUAAACACAUACAGAUUGACAAUAUUUUAUGCACGUCAGAUCGAAGCUGAAGUCGAAGCUUAAGGCUAAAUUGACUCUUACCAUUAUCAGGCUUCGCUUUCAUGAAGUUUGAUUCCUCUAAAACGAGAUCUAUAUUACCUUAAUAAUUCAAAUCAUUUUUUGCAAAUCAUGUGGACUUGUACUGUGAUGUUAAAGCCAAUUGGAGAUGGUGAAAGCGAUACAAUAUAUGUUCCAAACAUUCCCUUUUUU